UGAAAUACUGGGCAAAGCUGACCGAUGUAGCUCGAUGGCGGAAGGUCUGAAAGCGAAGGAACGGCGGCCAACAGCUUUUGAUCAACGCUCAGCCCUUUUAAGCCAAGGCUAGAUCGAGUCACAAUUUACUGAUUGGUUUCAGACAGAAUGAACCUGUCUGGCAGGCAGCAAGAAGAUUUGGCUGCUUUGAAAGCUAAAAAUAUUUUAUUUUCUACUUUCAGGGACGUUUGGGUUACGCCACAGGACCUGGUAGGUAUGAAUCGCAUUGUUAGAUUACUUUUCGUCCCAUGGACCCGUCAGCAGGGACGUACCCUAUAGGGUUUAGCUAAACGCGGGUAUCCUCGUUCCGUGAACGUUCAGUAAACGUUCCGUGAACGGUUACUCUCAACGGUCACAUUUUAGUGAACGUUCACUGAAUUUCAGCCAACGAGUACGAACGUCGUGGAGUACAGGGGCCCUAUGCUUGGUUUCCCAAAGCCCUGAAUUUCUUGCAUAUGCACAUGUGCAGAUUCAUGGUGAAGGUAGGCUGGGUAAAUCGUUGUGCUCUGCCAGGAGAGUGAACUCUGUCAAUGCAUCACGCGCCUCGUUUGCUGCCUUCAAGAAAACUGUACGGCUUACAAUAUAUUGCCGGUGGCACCACCAUAAUUAUGGUUAUAACCGCACCGGCGGCCAGUGGCUGAAGCUCCAACUGCUGCUCUGAGGCCUACUUGGUUUGGCAGGGUUUGGCAGGGCAGGGAAAAAGGGGAAUUAACUCCUGAACCGCGUACAGCAGUAUGGAUCCGGAGACGCGCAGUAGCAAGCUACAUUUACCUUAGAAUAUCUUUAAGCUAUUAAAGCUUAAUCACAGUAACAGUACAGUCCCGUAGUUACGAACCAUACUCGUUAACUGUACGAACUCACUUUCUGUUGCGCUAUCACAACCUAGCGUACGACACCAAGACUCCAGGAAUGGAGAUGGCGGCAGGUGGGCCGCAUCUAAGCCACCCAGGUGAAGUGCUUCGGCCAGACACUUUCGUAUCACUAUACCAGUGUUCGGAGUUCAAGACUCUGCUGUCACCAUUCUCGACGUAUGUCUUCGAACUCCGACUUCUCGUGUCUUUUCUCGCGCCUAACGCUGGGCCGUCAAUCGUGGUCGAGACCCUCCUCAUCCACGGCCUUACAUCUAAAGUCUUCCGCUAAAACAGCUAAGGUAAGAGACGGCUGUUACACGCGCUUGCUGUCCACAUGUGGUGUGUCAUGCUUACGUACUCCAGCUUCUACAAGGUCAUGAAUAUCAAUCAGAUCAGCUAACGUCUCAAUGAAGAGUCCAAACAGCUCCGUAGAUAAAGGACACCCUUGCUUCAUUCCUUGCUUAGACUCAAACUCUAGAGGAGAUCUCCUCCCUCUUUCUCAUCCACCUCCUGUACCUUUUCUCAGAGCAUCUAGCAUGAUAUACGUGUAUCUAUAUGCACGUAUAUAUACAUAUACGCAUGCACAUCUUGACUAUUUGACUGUGUGCAUCCCUGCCUCCCCUUUAGCUGUUUCCUGUUUCCCGCCAGGCAGAUGAUGAACAAGCCAAGGCUGCCAAGCAGCUUGCAAACAGUUUCGCUCGCUUAAAUAAUUGCAGGUAUAUAGAGUUAGUGCAUGUUAUCACUCGGGGAAAGACUUGGUCAUGGAUGGGUUUUCCAGUCAUGGAUUUGGUCAUGGAUGCGGUCAUGGAUCCGGCCAUAAUUUGCCAUCAAGUCAUGGAUUUGGUCAUGUAUGUGGUCAUGGAUCCGGUCAUAAUUUGUCAUUAAGUCAUGGAUCCGGUCAUGGAUCAGUUCAUAGUUUGCAUAAGCAAGUGCAGGAUAUGACUGGUUGGGGUCAUGAAAUGCGUGGUCAUGAUGUCAUUUAUGAUGGGAUUUAUGACAGGUCAUGGGACCGCAAUAUGACCGUAUUCAGUCAUGGCUGCACUUUAUGACCCCAUGAGGUCAUAAAGGUGGUCAUGUACCUGCUCAUAAAUAUGCGGAACAUGACCAGGUCAUAUUGUGCAUGGUAUUCCAUGAUGCAACAAUGCAGGCCAUGACCACCCUGGCCCAUGUUUUGCACUCAUUCCAUGAGUCGUACACUGCAUUCCAUGACCACCCUGGCCCAUGUUUUGCUUGGUUUACAUGACGCGUACACUGCAUUCCAUGACCACAUUGGCACAUGUUUUACAUUGUUUACAUGAGUCAUACACUGCACUCCAUGACCACCCCUGGCCCAUGUUUUGCGCACAUCCCAGAAGUUGUUCACUGUGGGCUUAUAAGUCAUGACCAGCAACCCAUCAAUAUGUGGGCUCCAGACUCCAAGUCUGCUAUCGCAAAUAAAUGUAUGUACUCCAACACUCCACACCGUUAAGGUGACAAACCUCAAUGUUUCAGUGGAUCAAUCAGGUAAAUCACCCACCAGUAGCAUCCUAUAAAGUAAGCCAGAUUACCUGCAGCUCAACUACAUUCCUGAACCACAACUGCCUUCCAUUAUCAAUAUCAUAACUAUGAACUUCACUCCUUGCAGGUCUCAAUCCGUAAACCUUCAGGGACUUAAGUGUGUGCCCUGGCAGCUUGUUUCACUGCAGCAAGCUCAGCCCGCAUCUGGUGAGCAGUGAUGGCGGUGCACCACAUGGUUUCAUGGUCAGGCAUCCCAUAUGCACCACCACCAGUGCCACCCGUCGCCAUGGUGUCCCCAUACUCUGCAAUGACAUCGUCAAGUCUCUCGCCAAUCAGGUCCUCCAGGUAGUCACCCUCUGGCUCACAACCAGCUGGCCCCAUAAUUGUUUUGCCAGCAAUCACAGCCGCUUCCGGUGCAGCCAUGGCCAUCUGAGCUGAGACCUGCUAGCAGAACAUCAAGAUGUGAGCAUAUGUAAGACCCAAAAUGCAUGAUACUGGUGCCCUGCGAUGUUCAGGAACCUACAAGCAACUGCAUGACAUGUGCCAUGGAUACAUCCACAAUGACAUGUCAUAAUACAUCAUACCCAUAACCCAUACCCCGCGUACCUGCUGCUGCUUCGGUGGCACCACUGUUCAUCUCACCCAUCAUGACGGCUGGGGCCGUGGCAGGGGUCUGGCAGGAUCCCUGCAAAUGCAGCAUAUGGGCCGAAUUGAUAUAGUCUGUUGGAAUAAUAGUUUAGCAGCUGGAGGGAUGCUCGGGGGGCCCUUCCUCGUCCAUUCACCCGGACAUCCGAAGAGACGGAGGGUUCAGAAAUCACCACCUUUCCAGCGUGCAACCUGAUCAAUCAACUUUAAAAUCAACUCCACAUCUCAGCAGCUAGCUUACCCUCGUUCCCCCGAACUUGGGGAUCUCCCCGGGAAUCCAACCCUGGAUCUUAAACCGCUAAACACAGUAGAGUCAGCCCAGAACUAUUUAACAACAUGUACUUACAGCUGCCUUGGCAUUCACAUAUGCCACUCGGAUGAUCGAUGCCAUGAUUGCCCGCUUCUUCUUUUCAAGGCACGCCUGGCUGAUCCUCCAGUACUCCAAUGCAGACUUGGACAGCACAUCUGCGUGUUAUACAAGGAGUUGUGCAGUUAUGUGGGGUUUCCAAGCAUGCAACUGCAGCUGCAAUAAAUGCCACACUUACAGUUUGUGUGGCAGUACACAAACUCGAUGGCAUCCUUCCACUUANNNNNNNNNNNNNNNNNNNNNNNNNNNNNNNNNNNNNNNNNNNNNNNNNNUCACCCACCAGUAGCAUCCUAUAAAGUAAGCCAGAUUACCUGCAGCUCAACUACAUUCCUGAACCACAACUGCCUUCCAUUAUCAAUAUCAUAACUAUGAACUUCACUCCUUGCAGGUCUCAAUCCGUAAACCUUCAGGGACUUAAGUGUGUGCCCUGGCAGCUUGUUUCACUGCAGCAAGCUCAGCCCGCAUCUGGUGAGCAGUGAUGGCGGUGCACCACAUGGUUUCAUGGUCAGGCAUCCCAUAUGCACCACCACCAGUGCCACCCGUCGCCAUGGUGUCCCCAUACUCUGCAAUGACAUCGUCAAGUCUCUCGCCAAUCAGGUCCUCCAGGUAGUCACCCUCUGGCUCACAACCAGCUGGCCCCAUAAUUGUUUUGCCAGCAAUCACAGCCGCUUCCGGUGCAGCCAUGGCCAUCUGAGCUGAGACCUGCUAGCAGAACAUCAAGAUGUGAGCAUAUGUAAGACCCAAAAUGCAUGAUACUGGUGCCCUGCGAUGUUCAGGAACCUACAAGCAACUGCAUGACAUGUGCCAUGGAUACAUCCACAAUGACAUGUCAUAAUACAUCAUACCCAUAACCCAUACCCCGCGUACCUGCUGCUGCUUCGGUGGCACCACUGUUCAUCUCACCCAUCAUGACGGCUGGGGCCGUGGCAGGGGUCUGGCAGGAUCCCUGCAAAUGCAGCAUAUGGGCCGAAUUGAUAUAGUCUGUUGGAAUAAUAGUUUAGCAGCUGGAGGGAUGCUCGGGGGGCCCUUCCUCGUCCAUUCACCCGGACAUCCGAAGAGACGGAGGGUUCAGAAAUCACCACCUUACCAGCGUGCAACCUGAUCAAUCAACUUUAAAAUCAACUCCACAUCUCAGCAGCUAGCUUACCCUCGUUCCCCCGAACUUGGGGAUCUCCCCGGGAAUCCAACCCAGGAUCUUAAACCGCUAAACACAGUAGAGUCAGCCCAGAACUAUUUAACAACAUGUACUUACAGCUGCCUUGGCAUUCACAUAUGCCACUCGGAUGAUCGAUGCCAUGAUUGCCCGCUUCUUCUUUUCAAGGCACGCCUGGCUGAUCCUCCAGUACUCCAAUGCAGACUUGGACAGCACAUCUGCGUGUUAUACAAGGAGUUGUGCAGUUAUGUGGGGUUUCCAAGCAUGCAACUGCAGCUGCAAUAAAUGCCACACUUACAGUUUGUGUGGCAGUACACAAACUCGAUGGCAUCCUUCCACUUACUCUGUGCAGAAGCCGAUGUACAGUGGUGCCUUGAUGGACAGAGGCAGGUUCGAUGCCUUGAUUGUGGCCUGCAAGCAAGUCAGUGCUUCAUGAGUGUGUAGUGACAAGUUGUGCUGCUGUUAGGGGCCUUACCCGGCAGAACCUCUCAUUGAAGUUGUGUUGGACAACUUCAUCCAUGACUUUAUUAACCUCUGCAACAAAAUCCCGGUCCCAGGCAUCCCGCUGCUUGCGUCCCUCGGCGAGUAUGUCAUCCUUGCUCUUCUUGCUUGAUUUUAAGUUUGCACUUCUCUCUCCUGGGAAGCUGUGGGGUUCCAAGGGAAGAAGGAACAAGGCAAUUCCCAGGUUGUCAUGCUUAUGCUUUUAAGGGCAACAACAGCAGCUUUAAACCAGCCAUCUUGGCAAAAAAGAAAAGAAAAUUCAGUGCAUUUCAGUUAGAAAGGGCUAAGCAGAUUGAAGUCGGCAGCUGGCUGGGAACCACAUUUAAAUGCCAUUGUUGACGGCAGGUCAACGAACACACCUGUUCCCGUGGGAAGCUCCUUCACACCGAAUGUGUCAUAGAAUAUGACAUGUUGCAGAAGACAAUCCUCUGUAAGGGCACCCGCAAGGGCUUUUGAUACUUCGUCGCCAUUGGAGGUGAGGACCGAGUUCAUUAUCAGGGUCCGCUGGGCUGCAAAGUGCUGGAGGUAACCGACAGGCUUCAACGUGACAUUGGCCCGUCUAAUAAGAAGUGCGGAAUGCUGCACCGCCGACAUUCUGCGCAAGCUCGCAGUCAAAGGAAAGUCGAUGACUUUGGCUGUCGUCUGUUUGGUCAAAGAGUAUGAGUAUAUUAAGUAAGAAUUACAUGUAUUUGGCACAGUUAAGUGCCAGACACUGUAAUGCCUUUCCGAUUUGCAGCUCCAUGACAGGUACAACUUGCACUGAUGGAUCCAGGAUUCACACAUGCAAGCGCAAGGGCAUCUUUUACUGUCAUUAUUCGAUCUCAAAAUCUAUGCAAUUCCAUGAGUAUAAUGGAUUUGUGUUCAUACGUGUGGUGUCCGUUGCCUCUCGGACAUCUGAUGUCGGGCUUUGCAGAACCAUUGAUCCCUCCCACAGGCGCCUGUUCCUUCACAUAUGGUACUGAGUAAUGGCUCAAUCUUAUAUCAGUCCGUAUUGGAGCUGCUUUCCGAUCGACACAGCAUUUCAGUGUCAAAACACUGAUUUCCGCCAUCACUCCACAUCAUGCCAUGGCAUGGAUGAUGGCGGAAGUGCUGUGGUGGUUUUGGUAGCGUUCAGUUUUGGUGACGGUGGCAUUGGUGAUGGCGGGGAUGGUGAUGGGAGCCUGGGAUGCUGUUUUGCCAUCCCCAGACUGCGGCCAUGGUGACAUUGAAGCGAAUGCGUCGCCUAGGUUGCGGGGGCCCCCCGUCAUACCCUUAAACACGCCCUCCUAACCAUUCCGCCCCGCCGUGUUUUCCCCCUUUCCCCCCUCGUUUUGCCAUCCCCGGACUGCGGCCAUGGUGACGUUCAAAUGAAUGCGUCGCCUAGNNNNNNNNNNNNNNNNNNNNNNNNNNNNNNNNNNNNNNNNNNNNNNNNNNNNNNNNNNNNNNNNNNNNNNNNNNNNNNNNNNNNNNNNNNNNNNNNNNNNNNNNNNNNNNNNNNNNNNNNNNNNNNNNNNNNNNNNNNNNGCGGCGGGAAAUAGCAACACAGCAGCAGCGGCAGCGACGUUGAAGGGGCUUGGAGGUGCAGUAGCCUAAAUGGCAGGCGUGGCAGCGGCAGGAAAUAGCAACAGCAGCAGGCGCAGCGGCGGCGGGAAUGAGCAACGGAGUAGCAGCAGCAGUGACGGCGGUGGGGUUGGGAGGUGCAGUAGCCUGAAUGGCAGGCACGGCGGCGGGGGGAAAUAGCAACACAGCAGCAGCGGCAGCGACAGUGAAGGGGCUGGGAGGUGCAGUAGCCUAAACGGCAGGCGCGGCAGCGGUGGGAAAUAGCAACAGCAGCAGCACGGCGGCCGCAGGAAUUAGCAACGGAGUAGCAGUGGCCGCGAUGAAGGUGGGGCUGGGAGGUGCAGUAGCCUAAACGGCAGGCAUGGCGGCGGGGGGAAAUAGCAACACAGCAGCAGCGGCAGCGACGGUGUUGGGGCUGGGAGGUGCAGUAGCCUAAACGGCAGGCGCGGCGGCGGCAGGAAUUAGCAACGCAGCAGCAGCAGCAGCGACGGCGGUGGGGUUGGGAGGUGCAGUAGCCUAAACUGCAGGCGUGGCGGCGGCGGGAAAUAGCAACGCAACAGCAGCAGCAGCGACGAAGGUGGGGCUGGGAGGGCCAUUACUCUCAACAGCAGGCGCGGCGGCGGGGGGAAUCAGCAACGCAGCAGCAGCGGCAGCGACGGCGGUGGGGUUGGGAGAUACAUUAGUCUGAACAACAGGNNNNNNNNNNNNNNNNNNNNNNNNNNNNNNNNNNNNNNNNNNNNNNNNNNCGGGGGCCCCCGUCAUGCCGUUAAACACGCCCUCCUAACCAAUCCACCCCGCCGCAUUUUCCCCCUUUCCCCCCUCGUUUUGCCAUCCCCCGACUGCGGCCAUGGUGACGUUCAAAUGAAUGCGUCGCCUAGGUUGCAGGGGGCCCCCGUCAUGCCGUUAAACACGCCCACCUAACCAAUCCACCCCGCCGCAUUUUCCCCCUUUCCCCCCUCGUUUUGCCAUCCCCCGACUGCGGCCAUGGUGACAUUCAAACGAAUGCGUCGCCUAGGUUGCAGGGGCCCCCCGUCAUGCCCUGAAACACACCCUCCUAACCAUUCCACCCCGCCGCGUUUUCCCCCUUUCCCCCUCGUUUUGACAUCCACGGACUGUGGCCAUGGUGACGUUCAAAUGAAUGCGUCGCCUAGGUUGCAGGGGGCCCCCGUCAUACCCUUAAAUCGCCCUCCUAACCAUUCAGCUCCGCCACGUUUUACCCCUUUCCCCCCUCGUUUUGCCAUCCCCCGACUAAGGCCAUGAUGACGUUCAAACGGUGUCAGAAGUAGGCUGGGCAGGGAGGGUGUGCACAUGGGAUGUGCCUGGCAUGCACCUUGAUGGGCCAGCAGCCUUGUACAGGCUGUGCACCCCAUCUGGUAGCGCUGGGUUGACCAGGUGUGCAUGGUGCAGGUGGCGAGCCAGCGCCUCCAUACAGGCGUAUGUUCCUCUGCCCCUGCAUUCUGGCAUCCUGUUGUUGUUGGAGGGGUUGCGCUGUGUGGCUGUAAUGUGUCAGAAGUACAGGCGCGGAGGCGGCGGGAAUAAGCAACGGAGUAGCAGCGGCAGCGACGGCGAAGGGGCUGGGAGGUGCAGUAGCCUAAACGGCAGGCGUGGCAGCGGCGGGAAAUAGCAACAGCAGCAGGCGCGGCGGCGGCGGGAAUUAGCAGCGGAGUAGCAGCGGCAGUGACGAAGGUGGGGCUGGGAGGUGCAGUAGCCUAAACGGCAGGCGCGGCGGCGGCGGGAAAUAGCAACACAGCAGCAGCGGCAGCGAUGGCGAAGGGGCUUGGAGGUGCAGUAGCCUAAAUGGCAGGCGCGGCGGCGGCGGGAAAUAGCAACACAGCAGCAGCGGCAGCGACGGCGAAGGGGCUUGGAGGUGCAGUAGCCUAAAUGGCAGGCGCGGCAGCGGCAGGAAAUAGCAACAGCAGCAGGCGCAGCGGCGGCGGGAAUGAGCAACGGAGUAGCAGCAGCAGUGACGGCGGUGGGGUUGGGAGGUGCAGUAGCCUGAACGGCAGGCACGGCGGCGGGGGGAAAUAGCAACACAGCAGCAGCGGCAGCGACAGUGAAGGGGCUGGGAGGUGCAGUAGCCUAAACGGCAGGCGCGGCAGCGGUGGGAAAUAGCAACAGCAGCAGCACGGCGGCCGCAGGAAUUAGCAACGGAGUAGCAGUGGCCGCGAUGAAGGUGGGGCUGGGAGGUGCAGUAGCCUAAACGGCAGGCGUGAUAGCGGCGGGAAUUAGCAACGGAGUAGCAACGGCAGCGACAGCGGUGGGGUUGGGAGGUGCAGUUGCCUAAACGGCAGGCGUGGCGGCGGCGGGAAUUAGCAACGGAGUAGCAGCGGCAGCGACGAAGGUGGGGCUGGGAGGUGCAAUUGUCUGAACAACAGGCGCGGCGGCGGCGGGAAAUAGCAACAGCAGCAGGCGCGGCGGCGGCGGGAUUAGCAACGGAGUAGCAGCGGCAGCGACGGUGAAGGGGCUGGGAGGUGCAUUAGUCUGAACAACAGGCGCGGCGGCGGCGGGAAAUAGCAACAGCAGCAGGCGCGGCGGCGGCGGGAAUAAGCAACGCAACAGCAGCAGCAGCGACGAAGGUGGGGCUUGGAGGGCCAUUACUCUCAACAGCAGGCGCGGCGGCGGGGGGAAUCAGCAACGCAGCAGCAGCGGCAGCGACGGCGGUGGGGUUGGGAGAUACAUUAGUCUGAACAACAGGCGCGGCGGCGGCGGGAAAUAGCAACAGCAGCAGGUGCGGCGGCGGCGGGAAUUAGCAACGGAGUAGCAGCGGCAGCGACGAAGGUGGGGCUGGGAGGUGCAUUAGUCUGCACAAUAGGCGCGGCGGCGGUGGGAAAUAGCAACAGCAGCAGGUGCGGCGGUGGCGGGAAAUAGCAACGCAGCAGCAGCAGGAUCGACGGCGUUGGGGCUGGGAGGUGCAUUAGCCUGAACAACAGGCGCGGCGGUGGCGGGAAAUAGCAACAGCAGCAGGCGCGGCGGCGGCGGGCAUUAGGAACGGAGUAGCAGCGGCAGCGACGAUGAAGGGGCUGGGAGGUGCAUUAGUCUCGACAGAAGGCGCGGCGGCGGCGGGAACUAGCAACGGAGUAGCAGCGGCGGCGAUGGCAGUGUGGCUGGGAGGUGCAGUAGCCUAAACGGCAGGCGCGGCGGCGGCGGGAAUUAGCAACGCAGCAGCAGCGGCAGUGACGGCGGUGGGGCUGGGAGGUACCAGAUGGUGCCAUUUGCACAGCAAUCACAUAGUGCUAAACGCAGUGACGUUUCUUAUUGGUGCUGCAAAUUGUCCACGUUCACAUAACUUCUGGGCAGCAAGAGGGGAAAAGCCGUACAAUUCCGGACCCUGGUCCGGAAGUGUACAGCAUGGUAUGAAGUUCACAUGGCUGCAAAUUCAAAUCUGGGAAGUUGUUUCGUGGCUACCGAACUUUGUUGAUUGCAUCAUUUAAAUCCUGGCCAGAACCUGCCAUAGAAUAGGAUGCUCUUUUGUCAUGGCGGGACCAAAUGCUUGCUUGCGUAGAAGCAUUAGAAGCUCGACGAUUGAUGCAAACGUGAAUGUUCUGGUACUCCUACACAUUGUGAUCAUUCUUACUGGUCACAUUAGCCAGUUUGCCAUGUCAUUGAAUGCGCUGGAGGUGGCAUCCAAACCACGAAAGAUCAUUUACAGACCGGAUGUUGCUCCGGACUCCUCCCAGCCUUUUAACUGCACCAACUGUGCCAACUGGUUUGGUAGUCGGUCACAUGCAUAUCGGCACCAGUGCAAAGACAGGGGGUGGAGUAUGGCCGCCGCCGCGCCUGCGGUUAAGACUAAUGCACCUCCCACAUGUUUUAGCUAGUUACAUCAACAAUGCUGUGCUGUNNNNNNNNNNNNNNNNNNNNNNNNNNNNNNNNNNNNNNNNNNNNNNNNNNCGGAGUAGCAGCGGCAGCGACGAAGGUGGGGCUGGGAGGUGCAUUAGUCUGCACAAUAGGCGCGGCGGCGGUGGGAAAUAGCAACAGCAGCAGGUGCGGCGGUGGCGGGAAAUAGCAACGCAGCAGCAGCAGGAUCGACGGCGUUGGGGCUGGGAGGUGCAUUAGCCUGAACAACAGGCGCGGCGGUGGCGGGAAAUAGCAACAGCAGCAGGCGCGGCGGCGGCGGGCAUUAGGAACGGAGUAGCAGCGGCAGCGACGAUGAAGGGGCUGGGAGGUGCAUUAGUCUCGACAGAAGGCGCGGCGGCGGCGGGAACUAGCAACGGAGUAGCAGCGGCGGCGAUGGCAGUGUGGCUGGGAGGUGCAGUAGCCUAAACGGCAGGCGCGGCGGCGGCGGGAAUUAGCAACGCAGCAGCAGCGGCAGUGACGGCGGUGGGGCUGGGAGGUACCAGAUGGUGCCAUUUGCACAGCAAUCACAUAGUGCUAAACGCAGUGACGUUUCUUAUUGGUGCUGCAAAUUGUCCACGUUCACAUAACUUCUGGGCAGCAAGAGGGGAAAAGCCGUACAAUUCCGGACCCUGGUCCGGAAGUGUACAGCAUGGUAUGAAGUUCACAUGGCUGCAAAUUCAAAUCUGGGAAGUUGUUUCGUGGCUACCGAACUUUGUUGAUUGCAUCAUUUAAAUCCUGGCCAGAACCUGCCAUAGAAUAGGAUGCUCUUUUGUCAUGGCGGGACCAAAUGCUUGCUUGCGUAGAAGCAUUAGAAGCUCGACGAUUGAUGCAAACGUGAAUGUUCUGGUACUCCUACACAUUGUGAUCAUUCUUACUGGUCACAUUAGCCAGUUUGCCAUGUCAUUGAAUGCGCUGGAGGUGGCAUCCAAACCACGAAAGAUCAUUUACAGACCGGAUGUUGCUCCGGACUCCUCCCAGCCUUUUAACUGCACCAACUGUGCCAACUGGUUUGGUAGUCGGUCACAUGCAUAUCGGCACCAGUGCAAAGACAGGGGGUGGAGUAUGGCCGCCGCCGCGCCUGCGGUUAAGACUAAUGCACCUCCCACAUGUUUUAGCUAGUUACAUCAACAAUGCUGUGCCUGUGGGACGGUGCGAGCUGGUGACUUAACUUGUCAUGCUUGAACACAGCAGGAGAGAAUCUUUGCUAAUUAAACCUUAAAUACAUGCCUUAAGUAUGUAACAUAUGGCUUCAAAUUAACAACAGGGUGUAAGGGAGCUGACCGAGUAAGGCUUGGCAACAGGCCAAAAGGAAGUUGCCCUGCUAGCUGGCAUAUACUGAUCUUUUGCGUUGGAUAAGUGCAGCUAAGCCUAAGGGCUUUGUUUACGGCCGCGCCUGAAUGCAUAUCAAGUCACUGCAAGUGGCUGAAACGAAGGUAAUUCAAGUGCACUCCAGAAUCCCGGCAGGGAUGCUGUAUAGUACAUUAGCAACGGAGUAGCAGCGGUAAUAUACUAUGCAGCAUUUCGGAAGGGAUUCCGGAGUCCAUAUGGCAUAUAAUUGUCAUUUUUUAGAAAGGAACAAAACAUGAACACAUAGCCAGCAUAUGACCAUUGGGAACAUGACUGAAUUUCAACAUAUGAGUGGCGAUUCAUGAUCAGUCAUGCUGCACAAGGAGCAUGACAACUGUCAUGACCAUGACUCUGCCUCAUGACCGGUAACAUGACCGGUCAUGAGGCCUCAUGAGUGGUCAUGAGGCAACAUGACCAGAUCUAUGACAGGAAACCCCCCGCAUGACCACAUCCAUGACCAAGUCGUUCCCCGAGCAUAUAUGCUAUGCUAUGCUAUGCUAUGCUAUGCUAUGCUAUGCUAUGCUAUGCUAUGCUAUGCUAUGCUAUGCUAUGCUAUGCUAUGCUAUGCUAUGCUAUGCUAUGCUAUGCUAUGCUAUGCUAUGCUAUGCUAUGCUAUGCUAUGCUAUGCUAUGCUAUGCUAUGCUAUGCUAUGCUAUGCUAUGCUAUGCUAUGCUAUGUUAUGUAUGCUUUGCUGCGCUAUGCUAUGCUAUGCUAUGCUAUGCUAUGCAAUCUGUAAGCAUAUGCCGUCCGCAAGCAUAUGUGGUCUGCAAGCAUAUGCAGUCUGCAAGCAUAUGCAGUCUGCAAGCAUAUGCAAUCUGCAAGCAUAUGCCGUCUGCAGGCAUAUGCAGUCUGCAAGCAUAUGCAAUCUGUAUGCUUUGCUGCGCUGCACUAUGCUAUGCUAUGCUAUGCUAUGCAAUCUGCAAGCAUAUGCCGUCUGCAAGCAUAUGCAGUCUGCAAGCAUAUGCAAUCUGCAAGCAUAUGCAGUCUGCAGGCAUAUGCAGUCUGCAAGCAUAUGCANNNNNNNNNNNNNNNNNNNNNNNNNNNNNNNNNNNNNNNNNNNNNNNNNNAGGCCAAAAGGAAGUUGCCCUGCUAGCUGGCAUAUACUGAUCUUUUGCGUUGGAUAAGUGCAGCUAAGCCUAAGGGCUUUGUUUACGGCCGCGCCUGAAUGCAUAUCAAGUCACUGCAAGUGGCUGAAACGAAGGUAAUUCAAGUGCACUCCAGAAUCCCGGCAGGGAUGCUGUAUAGUACAUUGUGCACAUUGUUAUAGAGGUAAUAUACUAUGCAGCAUUUCGGAAGGGAUUCCGGAGUCCAUAUGGCAUAUAAUUGUCAUUUUUUAGAAAGGAACAAAACAUGAACACAUAGCCAGCAUAUGACCAUUGGGAACAUGACUGAAUUUCAACAUAUGAGUGGCGAUUCAUGAUCAGUCAUGCUGCACAAGGAGCAUGACAACUGUCAUGACCAUGACUCUGCCUCAUGACCGGUAACAUGACCGGUCAUGAGGCCUCAUGAGUGGUCAUGAGGCAACAUGACCAGAUCUAUGACAGGAAACCCCCCGCAUGACCACAUCCAUGACCAAGUCGUUCCCCGAGUGUAUUAGUUGCCAACAAUGGUGGCUAAUCCGACUGCGGCCACAAAGGGCAGGUCUGUCACCACCAAUGCUGCUUCACUGUUGAACUCCAGCCAGACCCCCAGCACUGAUCGGCUGAGGAAGUCCGGGGAGCUCAGCCCCGCACGUGAGGCUGCUACCGAGGAGCUGACUGUGAAGUUAGUCAUGCCGGGGCAGGUGUACGUUGGAGAGGUGUCCUUGGAGGCCUCAAAGAUAGGCACGACUACUGUAGCCUGGGGCAUGCAAGGAGUGAUAAAUCAUAUACAUAUAUAUGUCAAUAGACUUGUUGCAUUCAGGGAAGGAAGUUGGUAUUCGAACAAUAUACAGAGGCAGGUGGUUGGCAAAGAUUAAGCCCUGACUUCUGCUACCGGCUGACCUGGGUUCAAAUCCGCCUGCUGGCUCCUCGGGUGUUUGAAUUGUGAUGAAAUGGGAGGUGGCCCCCCAUCACAUGGACGAUGUAUUUCGUGAUAAAAUUAAUUUGCGAGCUAACAAGGAACUAAGUUGAUCCGCUAGAUUUGGUUGGAUGCUGGUGGUGAGUUGCCGAACCCAACGAAUACAUUCUGAAGUCGGAUGGGGUGACGGAUUAGGGUGCCCCUCUAGUAAGGGAGAGCAGGGAACUGCCCCGGGAAAGGGGGCCGCUGGCGAAGUUAACCACCCUGUAACAACAUACAUACAGAUCGGAGCGGUGACAUGUACACCCUUGUUGUGAACACACAUUCAUGCACCUAAUGGAUGGCCAGCAGCCGCCGACACAUGCACGCAAACCUUCAGCACCCACCGUGCUGCCGGAUCCUCCGCCUGACAGCAGCAGCUUGACACUGGUUAUCAGCGGGUCCAGGACUCCCCGGUUGAGCAGGAAUAACCCCACUGCCCGGACCUGGGAGGCACUGGUGGCUGGAAAGGUCACCUGCAACAGCCGCUGGGAGGCCUGCGGGCAGGAGGGUGUGGACACAUUGAAUUUUGACAAAGGUGCCCCCCAGCAGGAUAUUGAACAUAUUCCUGUACACCGUCCACCAGGGUGCUUGCUUCCCCUACGAACGCGGAGGGGGGUUAAGAACGUUCUUAAGUCGUUCUUAGCCCAGCCAAAUUGAUAAAAUUGAAUAAUCAUUAGAACGUUCUUACACUGCUCUAAGAACGUUCUAAGAACGUUCGUAUGACCUCCGUUUCUCUUAAAACCGUUCUUUCAAAUUCUUAAGCAUUCUUCAGGCCCCAGCAGUCUUACGUAUUCUCUUCCAUUCUUUGGGGUGUUCUUAUACGUUCUUAGGCCAACUUAUUGAUUCUUUGUCUAAAGCAUACUAAGCUGCUCUUUGGCCGGUUUUAACCGUUCUUACCAUAGGUUCGCUAAGUAUGGCACUCAUUCUUAAGUCAUAUUCUCAGGAAAUUCUUUUUGCUGCUUACAUUCUUAAGCCUUAAAAAUGUGGGAUUCUUAAGGGGUGGUCAUGAAAAAGCCAUUCAGUCACAUGUAACGACCUCUGCUUUCUCACCUAUACUUCUGUUGACAAUCGCCCUUUCCUGGUGUCUGCAGACCACUUGGGAAAUCUCAUAUUAAAUUUUUCAAAUUGUGUGUUUUCCGCUAGGAUCGAACCUAAGACUACGAACCUUUUGUGAUGAAUUUAUCACUAAACCUAUGCUUUUAGAAAAGACAACCUUAAGAUGCUAAAGUUUCGCAAGACACCUGUAUCUUCUAUGCUGAAACGUGUGCGUAUACUGUGAGCUGCGCCAAGUGCCGUACACGAACAUAUGUGCGUGUACGACAAACAACUCAACACCUGUUCAGCAACUCAACUAUCAGCCCUGGCCCCUGUACAAAAAACUGGCGUGCAGCCUGGCAUGGCCACGCAGUCCACUGCCCAACACCAUCCCUGGCUGCUGCAGCUGCAUGAAAAACAAGAGGCGCCCCGAGGCCACUGCCAUGUUUAGCUGAAUCCAAAUGGAAGCAUCCUUGCUUGCCAUGGAGAGGCUGGCCGACUCAUGUGUUUUCUACAAGCCCCCACAAGAAGAGUUUGGGGCUACUGAAACUGUAGCAGUCGCUCACCUGGGUGGACGACUGGCUUUGCGGAAGCGUGGAAUUUAGAGUCCUUGCUGAGGCAGGAAGAAGUCCAACCCAUCGAUAAGCACUAGCAUACAUAGACCCGUACGAAACAAUCUGAGAUGGCGGCAGCGGAGUCUUGAACUCUGAACACCAAGUAGUCGUGAUACUUAAGUGCCUCACCAUAGCACCCCGCCCAGGUAGCUUACAUCUCGGCCUACCUGCCGGAGAUUCCCUACUACGUUCCUGCCGUGCUAGGAUACUGUCGGUGUAUCCUCCGGUGGCAGGGUGGUACAGGAGGGUACCCUCCGGUGGCAAGGUGUUACAGGAGGGUAUCCUCCGGUGGCAGGUUGGUACAGGAGGGUACCCUCCGGUGGCAGGGUGGUACAGGAGGGUAUCCUCCGGUGGCAGGGUGGUACAGGAGGGUACCCUCCGGUGGCAAGGUGGUACAGGAGGGUAUCCUCCGGUGGCAAGGUGGUACAGGAGGGUAUCCUCCGGUGGCAGGGUGGUACAGGAGGGUAUCCUCCAGUGGCAGGGUGAUACAGGAGGGUACCCGCCGGUGGCAAGGUGGUACAGGAGGGUAUCCUCCGGUGGCAAGAAGGUAAAAGAGGGUACCCUCCGGUGGCAGGGUGGUACAGGAGGGUAUCCUCCGGUGGCAGGGUGGUACAGGAGGGUACCCUCCGGUGGCAGGAUGGUACAGGAGGGUAUCCUCCGGUGCCACCCCUUUGACACCGAAGGUUCUCCCCAAAGGGGAGGAAGCUUAUCCCUUACGGUGUAUCUCCCAUGUCCCUUGGGUGUCCCUUGGGUGUCCCUUCCACGUGUCCUUUGGUGUCCCUUGGGUGUCUCUUCCAUGUCCCUUUGGUGUCUCUUCCCUGUCUUUCAGGUGUCCCUUGGGUGUCCCUUGGGUGUCUCUUCCAUGUCCCUUUGGUGUCUCUUCCCUGUCUUUUGGGUGUCCCUUGGGUGUCCCUUGGGUGUCCCUUCCAUGUCCCUUUGGUGUCUCUUCCCUGUCUUUUCGGAGUCCCUUGGGUGUCCCUUGGGUGUCCCUUCCAUGUGUCCUUUGGUGUCUCUUCCGUGUCCCUUCCAUAUGUCCUUUGGAGUCCCUUGGGCGUCCCUUCCAUGUCCCUUUGGUGUCUCUUCCCUGUCUUUUGGGUGUCCCUUGGGUGUCCCUUGGGCGUCCCUUGGGUAUCCUUUGGUGCCCUUGGGUGUCCCUCCCGUGUCCCUUGGGUGCCCCUUGGGUGCCCCUUGGGUGUCCUUUGGGUGUCCCUUGGGUGUCCCUUCCACGUGUCCUUUGGUGUCCCUUGGGUGUCCCUUCCCACAUGUCCUUUGGUGUCCCUUGGGUGUCUCUUCCAUGUCCCUUUGGUGUCUCUUCCCUGUCUUUCGGGUGUCCCUUGGGUGUCCCUUGGGUGUCUCUUCCAUGUCCCUUUGGUGUCUCUUCCAUGUCUUUUGGGAGUCCCUUGGGUGUCCCUUCCACAUGUCCUUUGGAGUCCCUUUGGUGUCUCUUCCAUGUCCUAUUGGUGUCUCUUCCCUGUCUUUCGGGUGUCCCUUGGGUGUCCCUUGGGUGUCUCUUCCAUGUCCCUUUGGUGUCUCUUCCAUGUCUUUUGGGAGUCCCUUGGGUGUCCCUUCCACAUGUCCUUUGGAGUCCCUUUGGUGUCUCUUCCAUGUCCUAUUGGUGUCUCUUCCCUGUCUUUCGGGUGUCCCUUGGGUGUCCCUUGGAUGUCUCUUCCAUGUCCCUUUGGUGUCUCUUCCAUGUCCCUUGGGUGUCCCUUCCACGUGUCCCUUUGGUGUCCCUUUGGUGCCCUUGGGUAUCCCUCCCGUGCCCCUUGGGUAUCCCUCCCGUGCCCCUUGGGUGUCCCCUGGGCCCCUUGGGCGUUCCUUGGGUGUCCCUUGCAAGGGACACCCAAUUGUGUGUCCCUUCCAUGUCCCUUUGGUGUCUCUUCCAUGUCCUUUUGAUGUCGCUUCCCUGUCUUUUGGGUGUCCCUUGGGUGUCCCUUGAGUGCUGGAGACCGAAUUUACCAAAACCUUCAUUGACAGCUGCACCUGGCUAAUUAUUAACCACCAAGCGUCCCCUUGGUGGCAGAAUGCUCAGUCAGGAUGCAGUGGAGGGUCGAGCACAGGAUACGGAUAGGAAGGAGAAAGGAUAGAAAUGUGGACCCAGGAAGAGUCAACACCAACCCACCAAGGAUGAGGAUGGCAGAGGAUGAGGGGAUGCAGUCAGCAGGGUGUGGGAUGUUAGCAAGCAUUGGCUUGAGGAUUUGGAAAGGGGGUGUAGGAUGUAUCCGACUGGAUGCAUGUUCAUGCAUCCUGCAGCUGCCAAGACUCCCCAAGAAUGCAAGGAUGGGCCGCCAAUUUGACACCCUCCAUCAGUGUACACUGAUGUAUAUGCAGUGUGACCCACUAGAUAUUCAUGGUGAUUGAUAGGGGAUUUAAUUAUUGGCUACAUUGGUGUAGCCAUAGAUGUAGCCAUAGAUAUCUAUGAACUCGCUAAUCCUAAUUAGACCUGUUAGAUCUCGCAUUAUUAGAUCUAAGGUCUAGACCCAGACACAUGUUGAUGGUUUUCAUGAAAUUUCAUGGUAAUUUCACUGUUUCACAAUCACUGUGAUAUAUUACCUAUCCGGGAACUAUAAGAGCUCCAUCAGGCAUUCAUUACAGAAUGUUUUCAUGGCUGAUGCAUUCUUAAUGCAUACUUAUAUGACAUACUUACAUAAAACCGCUUAAUCCCAGUGUAAGAAUGUUUAAGAAUGCACACCCGCCGCCUCCGUGUUCUUCCGACAUUCUUAUCGUUCUUAAGCAUUCUCCUAAGUUUCUUAACCCCCCUCCGCGUUUGUAGGGUUCUUUUAACUGAAGGCCCUCGAGCUGCUUGUAAUAUGCCUUUGGUGUCAAUUUCUUGCCACCAUGCACACCAUGUACGUGUGCCUGUCUCCGCUCUGGACUCUUUGGUGGUGUUUUCCUUCCUCGGCGGCAGCUGGCUGGCUUGUGCCACAAGCGCUUGGUUCAGCCAUCAUUACCUAGGCAGCAAGAGCUUCAACUGCUACUGUAAUCACGCAUUUCAUGCACGAGUCAGCCAUCAUCUGAAGUUCGAUCACUCUGGGAAAAAGGGGGCUCAAACUUCCAUGAAAUAUGGCUUCGAAUUCCUUUUCCAUAGACUUAGGCCUCAUUUCUUCCAUGAAAUGACACAUCCUUUUCCUGAUUCUUCCACAAGAAUAUGAAAUGAUGUUAUGGAAGGCUACCGGAAUCCAUAAAUAUUGCUUCCUAUCAGUCACCAAAAAGGCGGAUGGUGUCUGUCCCAAUUCAGUUAAUCAAUGAGACACCACAUCGCGCUCCUAGGAGGGUGAGGCCUCACCCAGGAACCAAGCCCUGGACCUUCACGGCACUACUAGGAAGAGACACCAGACGUCAGCAGUAGGCUAGCCCAAAGGUUUAAAAAGGAAAAUCAUCUCAUCUCAAUCUCAUUAGAUCAUUAGUUCUAGUUAGAUUGGUGAUGGGGGCCCAACUACCUAGUGUAAGAAGGGUUCAGCUCCCUUGGCAUCUCCCUGAGUACUCUUUGCCUGGUGUUACACCUAGUGGGGGCCCAACUACCUACUAGGUAGUUGGCUGUUAUAAGAGCCGGGACACGGGGGUUCACUCCUGCAGCGCAACUUGCUGCAGCUGCACAACUUGUCCGUGGCCACAUGGAUAGACUCUGGAUAGACCGUGGAUAGACCGUGGGUGGAACUGUUAUCUUCAGACACGGUCUGCAGACUGUGACAGCUGUGCAACAAGUCCUUACCACAAGCACCAUUUAUCAAUUAUGCCAGAUAUGAUGGAAAUCAGCUCAGUGUUUACCCCUGUUGCGUUCAUGUAUGUACAUUAGAUAGGUAGAGCCCUUUGAUGAGUAGAUACCCACCUUGCGUGAUGCUGGCGCCCAUGCCAAGGAUGCAGUGGGUCGGGUGCACUCGGUGAUUCCGAGCACUGCAGUGUUGGGCGGACCCACCACCUUCUUGGCUUGCUCAGGGUUCUGCUUUAUCAUUAACAUCCAUGCACAUGCGUUGCCAGUCGGCCGGCCGGCCGGCCGGCGGGCAGGCAGGCAGGGCAGAGAUUAAAAAUAUGGAUGGGAUUUGCUGUAAUAGCUGGCCGCUGGAAGCGGCUCUUGUAGCAGCCGGUACACAGUACGGUGCUAUAAAUACGCGCAGAGCGCGACCGCCAGCAACUCGAGAGACCUUUUCAGCGGUCGGCUGCUACAGCUCUCAAGACGUUGGCAGGGUGCUUUUAACGCGCAUAAUGGCUUCAUACCCACUAAUGUAAGUAUAACAGCUACUAGAUUCCUACCUUCCUCUACCUCGGGCCCUUAUGGCCACAUUAUUAUUGGCCUUUUAUCCGCAGACCACCUGCUUUCGGCAGCAGCAGGGCCCUAACUCACACCACGUCAUGCCCACGUCAUGCGCCCUUUGGUUUCCACGUGCAGCGUCGUCACAAUCAGCAAAAGCUACUCUUUACAUUCUGACAAUCAGAUCGUGCCAAGAAUCGUCAUGAUGGUGACCUAGCCAUCCCCUACUGCAAUUAUGUGUAAUAAUGUCUAACAUGUAGAGGAGGUUGAACCGGCACCUUGAACCUAAAUAUGUAUAUACGUUAUCCAAAGUCUCAUACCAUUUGUUGAAGCUGCGCCUAAAAGGGCCUCCCGCGGUACUGGGAUGAUAAUUUAGUGGGUUUUAUAUGUCGAUGCUAGGUGUGCCGCACUACUAUAUGAUUUAUACAUAUCAGGAUGGCAUGCAUGCAGUGACAAACUGGGCGGUCGUGAUUCUGUGGUGUCAUCGUGCUUACAUCCGCAGUUGUGGCGUUGGUUGCCCAGAUAACUGUUGUAGGAGGGAGGUAAGGUGGUGGAGAAAUAGGGACUGGCGGCAGUGGCAGCCGGGUUGAAUUCAAGACCAGCGGUGGUGGCGGUAGUGAUGUACGGCGCCGAGGGGGUUGGUGGGCUGGCAGCGGGGGUGGGAGCACCCUUGGUGGUGGUGAUGGUGGCGGUAGUGGAGGCAUUGAGCUCAGUGGAGGAGGGGGCUUGGGCCGCUUGGGACGCAGCGGGGGCGAUGCCAGUCCUGGUGAUGGUGAAAAUAUAUCACGAAGUGGAGAAGGUGAAGUGGGUAACAGGGGUGGUGUGCUAGGCGAUGGUGCAGGAGGGGAAGAAGGAUGUGAGGAAGGAGGUGGUGGGGAAGGAGGCUGUGGGAAAGGUGGUGGGAGUGAGGGGGGAAGGUAUGGAUGAGGUGAUGGAGGAGGCGACUGCAAGGGGCUAGGCAGGGUGGGAGGUGGAGGUAUGGGCAAUGGGGGGUGGGGACUAGGUGGAGAUGAGAGUGUAGGGCUGGGCGGCCUGGAUAGUGGUGGUGGUGGUGGUGGUGGGGGAGAUGGCAAAGGUGGCCGUGGUGGUGGUGGUAAAGAAGGUGGACGACGCGGUGGGAAUGGUGGCGGCCGUGGAGGUUUUGGGGGCUUCGGUGGUGACGGGGGCGGAGAAGGUGGAACCAGCGGUGGAAACGGUGGCGUGGAGGGUUUCUGAGCGAUCGUUGCAUUGGUUGCUGCUGCCAAGAAAUCAGCAGUUAUGGGCGGGGUUGGGGGUGGUCGAGGCGGGCGGGGAGGUGGAGGUGGCGGGCUGGGUGAUUCAAUUACGCCAGGAGGGUUGGGUGGUCGAGGUGGGGGCGAGGGUGGAAAAGGUACCUCGAUAAACCGGGUGACGCUGAAGUCCAUGUCUAAAUUGUCACCAGUGGUUAGUGAACGACGCUGCUGAUGUUGACACUGAAAUUUCUUUGCUCCGUUCCUGCCACCAGUUGCAGUGAGCCAGCUUUCAUCCGGCCCAGCAUCUCGGCAAGGUGUCUUCGCCAAUGACAGCAUCACCGAGCGUGUAAUUUCCCACUCCUUCUUAGCUUGCAGCUCCUUCGAUGUGUAACUGCUCGCUGGACGUGGCUCACCCACUUGCACAAGGGAGACCAAGCCCAAAGCUCGAAGGUUGGCGAAUCGCGCCCCAUGGAUGUCAAUAGCAUGGUGAACAUCGCCAUCCAUGUUAACAACGUUGUCCAUGGCUGAUUCAGCUGCCGACCGUCGCCGGUGGCGCUGUGCGGCCGGGGCUAAAACAGCCACGGCAUUUACUGCCACGCUCUGAAUCUGCACCUGGCUCACAGGGAUUCCCAAGGAGUCCGCUAUUUGUUGCUUGAGUUUCUCCAUCAUGGCGGUUACAGCUUUCUGUGCACACACACACACACACACACACGCACAUACUGAUAAGUCGUUGUGUGGAGAGAUCGUGGGAAGUGUUUGGAUCAUCAGCAGUUGCUUGUAACGAAAACAGUGCGAAGUACUUCGCACGAUUCGUAGGGUAAGCAAUAAAGUGCAUAACAACAAGUUCGUUGUCAUUUUCUCAGCAGGUAUGUCAUGUGUGCAUGCGUGUUUUACACCUUGAGUUGUGUUAAUUUCAGUAGGUGUGACGGGUCCAUAUGGGCCGCGGCCGGAGGCCAAAGGCGGGCCACCGCCGGUUACCAUCUGUUAGAUUAAAGUGCACUUCAAUCUAUAGACACACGUGUGUCUAUAGACGAUUAUAUUUAUUAUAUAAUAUAUAUCAUAUAUUACACCUAUUGAAAUUAACAUAUAUAUUAUUAUGUUACAUAUAAUAUAUUAUAUGUAAUAUAUUAUAUGUAUGUUGUUACAGGGUGGUUAACUUCGCCAGCGGCCCCCUUUCCCGGGGCAGUCCCUGCUCUCCCCUGCUAGAGGGGCACCCUAAUCCGUCACCCCAUCCGACUUCAGAAUGUAUUCGUUGAGUUCGGCAACUCACCACCAGCAUCCAACCAAAUCUAGCGGAUCAACGGCGCAUCAACUUAGUUCCUGGUCAGCUCGCAAGUUGAUAUUAUCACGUCCUACACCGUCCAUAAGAUGGGGGGCCACCUCCCAUUUCAUCACUCCUCAAACACCCGAGGAGCCGGCAGGCGGAUUUGAACCCGGGUCGACUGGGUCAACUGGGAGCAGAAGUCAGGCCUUAACCUCUGCCAGCCGCCUGCCAUAUAUAUGUAUAAUAUAUAAUCGUCUAUAGACAGACGUGUGUCUAUAGAUUGAAGUGCACUUCAAUCUUACAGAUAGUAACCGGCGGUGGCCCGCCUUUGGCCUCCGGACGCGGCCCAUAUCUCUAUCUCUAUAUCUAUAUCUAUAUCUAUAUCUGACACCAUGCAUGACACGAUCCGAUUUAAAUCUCGGUCCCAUCUAUAUCCGUGGCCAGUGUGUUUACAACGUUUCCACCGUGGUAAUUUGUUAGUGACCAAGUGGUUACUGUGGGGGUUUUCCUUGGUAACCACCUUACAAAGCGUUUUCCCCCUGGCCAGCGAGUAUGCUGAACAAUUGCCCACUAGAACCAUGGAUCCGAAGGAUCCAACUUCACAACGCCCAUUCGCGGCUUUGAACAGUCAUGACGACGCUUAGGUAUUGAUUUGUUUAUUGACACGGAUAUUUGUACAGAUUUGGCUGGAAGCAUGUACAGAUAUCUGUACUUGACGUGUCAAGCUGCGGUGUGUGCAGCGCACACCGCAGCUUGGCACGUCAAGCUUUGUUCUGACUUCAUGCUAGCGCCAACUUCCCACUGCCCGUGGUCUGCGCUGCGGUAGGCAGCCGACUCGUUCCAGUGCUGCAGUGCUGCUUUGUACGGAAAGCUUUUUAGGUGGUCACUACGGGGUUCUGUGGCCCAAUCUAAAAACACUGUCGGUGACCCUGUCUCUAGACCAUAAAAACUAUUGUACCGACAUGUACCGACCCAGCUGAGGGCUCCAUCCACCGUCAGGGUGACCCCCACAAAUCCAGCCUGGAAAUUCGUGGUAAUCUGUUGAAUGCCUGGCGGUGUUGGCGGUGGGGGACUGGGAGGCAAGGGCGGCGGCGGCCCUGCAAAUGAAAAGCGUGGGGAACCAUGCAUGCAGCAGCCGGGUAUGUGAUGCACCUUAACAUUGCGUGGGAUAGGGUGGGACUGUAUGAAACAGAUAAACUUCACCCGUGAGAUAAGCUACAUCCGUGGCCAGUGGCAGACCCUAUAUAUCUUUCCCGUCACAAACUGAUAAUUUUGCCAGUCACCUGCAUAAUGACAAAUGACAAGCUCUUGGGCCUUUGCAAAGGCCAAUGGGCUCGUAUGGGCUUAUUACACCUAUCUGGGUAACACAACCGGGUUGUAACACACACACAGCCACGUCCUGGCCGUUACUUGGUAAUAAUAGGCAUGCCAUCAUUGAUAUCGAGAACGAAGGAGAGCGGGAGCCGAUCCUGGUGUGCACACCUGGAAUUUUUUUAAAAAAACAAACUGAUUCCAAGUACGUCAAUGGAUCCGCAGACGCCUUCAUCCAGCCGUUGACAUUGAAGCCUUGGCAAUCUGGCAACUUGGCACACUCGGUAGCGGCUGCCGCAGCGGAGCCAGGGUUGCCCAGGUCGUCCCCACCGUGGUCGGUGUCCGGAAAUGCAAUGUAGCCAUCGAAACUUGGACAUGCUGUGGAAGUCAGUAUGGGAAACGGUAGGUCAAACGAUGGGAAAUACAGGAAGAUCAUGCAUGCCCAAAAACGAUUGUGUGUUUUAUGGUUGGGGGUGUGCACCCCCAGCCGUGCAACCAACCAUGCAAUCAACGCAUGCGUGACCCCAUACCUGUAGAACUACCCAUACGAACCGAAGGCCCAAAGGCAAGACCUGGACACCUAAAAGCCACGAAAAAAAGGAAAUACCGCACUAUCAGGAGAAGAGAGAAAACUAUAGUUAGCUAGCUAACGCCCAAAGGGGACAACUGAGUUGCAGUGAGCCCACAUACAUAUAAAAACAUUGAGUUCGCAAUAGAAAAUAAGGAGGCCAGCGAAUACUAGCGUCAGGAUGGAGCCUCGGAACAUACAUACACAGUAGUAUAUGCUGUCGAAGUAGCCGUCCAUCCCCCCAACUCUUACCACUGGUUGGUGGUUCCGGAGAGGGCGGUAGUAGGGGUGGAGGAGGAGAUUCUGCGCGAAGGCAUCGCGGUUACGCUCGAUUUAUUUCUGGUAUGCGCAUGCAAGGCAGUAUGACACGUGCAUACAGAACAGGUUUGUCAAGCGUUGGUGCCAGAUUCUGACGGAGAAAAAUAAUGGUGCAAACGGUACCACCGGUGGUAAUUCGGUACCGGUGGUAAUUCCUGCUGGAAUUCGAGGAUUCGAAUCCUCGUGUAACGAAAGCGGGCUGAUGAUGUGCACACCUGGAGUUUUUUUAAAAAAACAAACGGAUUCAAAAUAUGUUAAUGGUUCCACAGAGGCCUUCAUCCAGCCGUUGACAUUGAAGCCUUGGCAAUCUGGCAACUUGGCACACUCGGUAGCGGCUGCCGCAGCGGAGCCAGGGUUGCCCAGGUCGUCCCCACCGUGGUCGGUGUCCGGAAAUGCAAUGUAGCCAUCGAAACUUGGACAUGCUGUGGAAGUCGGUACGGGAUGAGAACAAAGGAUUGUUAAAGCAGCUGUAAGAAGGGUUCAAUUACCUGGGCAUCUGCCUGAGUAUUCUUUGCUUGGUGUUACAAAUGAUGAGUCACUUCUGGAUUGUUAGACGUCAGGUCUCGCAGUUUUCAUGUUCGAAACGUGCGCAGUCCAGGUGCAGUUCGGUUCUCUGCUUCUUCAGCCUGCUCACGCUUGUGGAGUGUUCUGGACGUAUCACGGGAUCUGCAUCCGCUGAUCGGUACUUUUCUGAAGUCGUGAUAUAACAAAUGGUAUCGAGCCGAUGUCUCCAUUCCAACCUGGGUUCGUUUCUCAGCUGUAGCGGCUACUAUGUCCGGGAGGUAGCAGUACUUGCGGCCGCAGGUAAUCCUGUGGAUGCUGCCAUCACAAUGGCCCUAAGAUCUUACGGUCAUUGUAUCUAGAUAGGCUGAGGUCGAGUACACCUUCUACAGCUGAGGCAAUACGGUAUAUACCGCUGCUUUACAACAGCCAUGGUCCGUCUGUUGCAUACUGUACAUAAUUGAAUUCGUACAUAACCGGACAAUCAUUCUGGAAUAUGUUGCUGGGGACUGCCUUUCCUUGCUUCUAGGGUUAACCCGGACCACGUUUUCUGGAAUGUUCUGGAACGUUUUCUAGAAUGUUAACGCUUUCCUCAAAAUGAGCGUGUAAAAGCAAAUUUCAGUUUCGGACCGCUUUUUUUGCAAUUACCAAGUUUAAAUCACCAAUUUUGCCCGCUGGUACUGUAUAUGCCUGACGAGGCUGUGUGGGCUUCCCCGAAGCCGGGAAAAGGGCAGGGGGGCCCUUUAAUCCGUACAGGCCCAUCGCUUAGCCACAUGUGCGCAAACGGCUGGGCUGUCUCGCUGUGCAGAGUGUGGUGGGGAAAGCCAACACACUUUGCAAGAGCAGUCCGUAAGCCGACGCACUUAAAAAAAGCAGUAGUCAGGAAUGCCGACACACCUUUCAAGAGCAGUCAGGGAAGCCGGCACGACUUGCAAGACCGGUCAGGAAACGCAGUCGGCCCCUCGAAGGUCCUAAACUUUGUUAUAGAUUUGUGAAAAAAUAUCAUGUCAUUUCAAUAGGAAAACGGGUAUGAUAUCGUGAAGCACGAGGCCUUAAUUAAGGCCUCGGUGGCUUAAGCUUAAGCCACCGCAAGGGUUGCGGAGAGAUGGUCAUGGAAGUUGCAUGUUCGAUUUGCAUGACACCGUCAGCUGCAUGUCCUCUAAUAAGAAACACGGCGUCAUGUAGGCCAAAUUAUAGCAUGUGAAACAUUUCCUUACUCAUCCGUAUUAGUACAAUGUUUGUCAUACCUGAUCAGCUACAGGAAAUAUACGUUGUAAUAGAGAUUAUUUAAGGUUAUGUAGAUGGCUUUACAGCUGGGCGAGAUAUUGUGUUCGGUAUUUCACACUGACACAGACUUGGACAUGGCCAAUUCUAGGGGUCCUCGGAGCGCUUCACGCUGGGGCCCCGCCCAAGAAUAGAUAGACGGUCUUUAGACAUUCCUCAAUUGUAUGGACACUAGUGGGAGUACUCCCGCCCAUCCAACCAAGUCUUGCGACAGCAUAUGUCCUAGGACAGGAGGCCUGGACAGGCGGCCAUCUGUCCACCAUCUAAACCCAAUGCCAGACCUCUUUCAUGGACAAGACGAUUUUGCACUAAGUACUCGCCUGCAGUUGGAGGUGGUGGUGUGCCGUCUGCAAUAGUUCAAGUCCGUCCAGGAUGGGUCAGUUCAUGCAUUCACAGCACAUAUCUACAAACUAGCAGGAAUAUGCCCGGUACACAACAAGUGCGGUUUAAAUGAAAUGGCUACGUAUCCAGCCAAGAAGGACGUUCCUGGAAAGUAGCACAAUUGGCUUGCAAGCCAGCACAAGCAAAGCAAUUGCGGUGCUUCCGGAAGGAAAUAAUAGUAUGUGUGCCUGCCUUACACCACCCAGAUGGCAAUCGCUGUAAGCGGCCAUAGCCCAUAUAAUUCAAGAACCCAUGCAAGGGCUCCAAGCAAAAGGUUGUGAAUUUGGAAAGGUUGCCUUCCGCAAGACCAUAUUAGUGCUUUUCGUUCGCUUCCACUGCACAAGGACUUACCAAUGGCUUGAGAACAGUACACUCCAAAGAAUGCCAGAAGCGAAAUGAAUAGCUGAAUUACUAUGAAGCAAGAUAGAUUGUUGGAAUGGUAAAGGGCCAUUGCACUGCCACCAAACCAGGCCAUCCAAAAUCUUUUUGAAUUAAACUAUGUUCGUUGAACUCUAUCCUAUAUCACUUACAACGGGGACAGAAACGUAUUUGCUGUGGGGGACUGCAGCAAGCUGAGGUACGUUGGAAUGUCUGGGAAUGUCUGGGAGUACGUGGUAAUAUUAUGUACGGUGUGUCUGGGAGGUUUACUAAGCAUGAGAGGACGAAAUGUAGUUACCCGGGUGCUAUAUUGAUAAAACUUUUAAUGCAGAUAUUUGAGCCUUGCUGCGUAGAGCUUAAGCGGUGUUAAAUUAUUUAUUAAUUGUACUGCGGCCGUAGUACUCCAGCAAUCAUAAUGCGAAAUGCCACUGGAUGGGCCGUCAACGACGCCCAUCCAACUAGCAGCAAUAUUAUUCUCUUUCGUGCCAAAGAAAACCAACCAAAGCUUGUCAUAUCAUGGACAUGCACGGCAGCAAGUUGAAAAAAGUUAAGGGAUUUGAGGCUGUUUGAGAUAUGUCGUCCGUCUAGCAUUAUUGCUUCCUGCACCUCCGGCGUCGAUAUCAGCUUAGUAUUAUGUACAGAGUGGACGAACUCCUCGACCCUAGUAUUAUAGACUGAUUUAAUUGCUCGCGUUAAAUCAUUUUUAGUUUAGUUACACAUAAAGGGAAAUGAAGACGGUAAUACGCAAGUCGGGCCAAGCAUUAUCGCAAAGGCCCCUGCUGCUGCUGCUGCCGCGCGCUUCCUAGACAGCUAGCCAUCUGGAAGGUUUAAAUUUACGGGCAUUACAAUUCAACAUCAUGACGCUAUUGCAAUGCGUGCAAGCAAAGAUUAAUAAAAUCAGCGGCUUGCGAUUUCAGUUAUUAUCGAUCUACCAGUUUGAUGAUGCAUCAUGAAGCUGAACACAGGUCGCUCCUAAUUUUAUAAAACAUUACAGACGCAGUACAGCUGUACUGCAGCAGAGCAAUAUCGCAAGGUAAUUACGCCUUCUGAAACGAACAUUUGGCCUGCACUUCCGUCUCUGCCGGCGCGGCAGCAGACCCAUGCAUUACUGUAACUUGGUUACUAAUUAGGGUAACAUUAUGUAUAUGGCAUUCCCCAAAGUCGCAAGAAGCACGAUAAGGUGUGCCUGCGGAAGCUAGCUAACCCCGCGUUAGACGUACGCGGCUAGCUAGCUGCUGAGAUGUGAAGUCGUAAUCAUUGUUGAUGGAUCUAGUUUCGCACGCUGGAAUGGUGGCGAUUACUGAACCCUCUGUCUCUACGGAUGUUUGGGUGAAUGGAUGAGGAGGGAUUCUAGAAGGCAGGUUCAUCCGCCUUGGACUUCCAGUUCGUAUGCAUAUGGCGUGGUACCGUGUGGCAAUGGCAGUGGAUGGUACUGUAUGGUGUGAUAAAUCGUAGAAUUGACAAUGUGUUCAAGUGGCCCAGAAGCCUCCAACUCUGAAACAAUUCAAAAUUCAAAUGCAGCUAAAACCCUCGACCCACUUGCUCCAUGGGGGCGGACUGGAGGACAAGACCAUGUCUUGCAAUGCAAGUGGAGAGGUGAAAAAGGUAUAGGUCCUGAUGAUUGUGGCUCAUCAUCGAUUUGGGAGCCCGCCUGAGGAUAAAAACCUGGUCAUGGUUACGAAACACGGCCAGUACUGGACAAAUCGCGUGCUCCACUUUUUAUCUGCCCACCGGCUUUCCAACGUUUUUAUCGAUUCAUCGUUUAUAAUUCUUGACCUUGCCCUGCUACGUACAUUCAAUAGGGACGAGACCGUCCUGAUAUUAUACUAAGGCUGUCUAGGGCACAAUCUAUGUAUAGACAAAUUUACAAAUCAAAUUUACAGAUCUAGACACACUUUACAAACAACGCCUAGCCCGAAGCGUCAAGCUACAUAAGGUUAAUGAACCUUAUAAGGGUACGCACACACAUGCAGAUACGGACGAACACAAAGGAUCCCAGAAAAUAAAGAUGACGCCACAUAAGAUACCGGAAUUUAAAGUGUAACGACUUAUUGCAAUAAGUCCAAUUGAACUGCUAUGAGAUAGGGGGGCCUUGGCUAUAUAUAAUAAUGAGUGUAGGCGCUAGGUAACAACGGUCCUGCACCAGGCACAUCGCCAGCAGGGUUGCACAGGGAAGCGCAUACAGUGGUGGGCCGCAGGUCUGCACUCAUGGUCCACUUGAACAUAAAGGAAGCCCAUACUAACUAACUACCGUUGAUGAUGCUGCACGAGCCAAUAUUUAGCUCACCAUACAGCAGGCGGCAAGCGGAAGUACUAGUCUACGAUUCUGACAUUUAUUUAUUGUUUUUUCUUGUCUAUGUGCCUUCCUAAGUAUAACACUUCUGGUUAUCUAUAUCUUAUCUACCGCAUCAGGAGCCUUGCCAAAGCUCUUCACUGAGCUACCUUCAUCAUGGUGCGCGAAUGUAAGCUUACGAACGGUGUGCUUGCGUAGUUUGCAUUCAAUAAAGAAGUAUGUGCACAUCGUGUUUGCACCAUGCUUGCACUGUGCAAAAAGUUAUGCUUACAUCCAUGCAGGCUGCGCACGUACAGCCGGCAUGAACACACAGCGGAUAUAUAUCGAGCAGACGAUACCCCCUUAAGCUUGCACAUUAAGCGACGCCAUGGAGCCAAUGCUUGGCUGCAGAUAUGCAAGGUGGUUUUUUUUGUCAGUUGACAACGAUGAUGGCUAACUUAGUACUACAGUCAUUCCGACUGCGGCCACAAAGGGCAGGUCUGUUACCGCCAAUGCUGCUUCACUGUUGAACUCCAGCCAGACACCCAGCACUGAUCGGCUGAGGAAGUCCGGGGAGCUCAGCCCUGCACGUGAGGCUGCUACCGAGGAGCUGACUGUGAAGUUAGUCAUGCCGGGGCAGGUGUACGUUGGAGAGGUGUCCUUGGAGGCCUCAAAGAUAGGCGCGACUACUGUAGCCUGGGGCAUGCAAGGAGUGAUAAAUCAUAUACAUAUAUGUCAAUAGACUUGUUGCAUUCAGGGAAGGAAGUAGGUAUUCGAACAUACAUACAGAUCGGAACGGCGACACCCUUGAUGUGAACACACAUUCAUGCACCUAAUGGAUAGCCAGCAGCAGCCGACACAUGCACGCAAACCUUCAGCACCCACCGUGCUGCCGGAUCCUCCGCCUGACAGCAGCAGCUUGACACUGGUUAUCAGCGGGUCCAGGACUCCCCGGUUGAGCAGGAAUAACCCCACUGCCCGGACCUGGGAGGCACUGGUGGCUGGAAAGGUCACCUGCAACAGCCGCUGGGAGGCCUGCAUGCAAGUGCAAUGGAGGUUAGCAGUGAACAGCAGGGGUUCAGAUAGGACUGUGGAUCUUAGCCACGGUGUCUUCUUAUGUUAGGGCUGGCUGCUGCUGCCAGGUACUCAACCUUGCAAGAGCCCCAUGUGCUAAUACAAGCGAAAUGUACCUGGCCGUGCUGUAAUUUGUGAUCCCAGCCGCGGCAGCAGAUAUAUCCAUAGGUACGAUGUACCAAUCAUCAGCUAGCUAUCAAGCAAUGGCAAGCAGACACACGUUGCGGCUACCUGUGAGCGUGUGCAUAUGUUGCUCGCAGAAGCAGCAGGCUUCGUUUGGAGGCGAAUUCCGUACAUCAGUCGGUAUCUUCACCGGAAUCAUGAUUUGGUAUGCUGUCCUGGCUGGUCUGCAAAGUAGUGGACGGUGAAACCAGGUCAGCACAUACCUUGCGUGGCGCCGGCGCCCAGGCAAGGAGUGCGGCAGGCCGGGUGCAUUUGGUAAUUUGAAGCACCGCACUUCUUGGAGGACCCACCACCUUCUUUGCCUGAUCAGGGGCCUGCUUACACACGGAAAAGAACAGGAAAAACACAAUACAUGCAACAGUGGGCGUGGCAUAUAAAGGGGACAAAUGGAUGACAUGGAUGCUGUGAUAAUAACGUCGCGACCGGCAUACAAAAUCUGCAUAACCAUGAUGAACCAUUACUUCUUCCUAACUGAACGAGCUAUGUAUGGCAUCUACACCUACAACAUCGACACGCUUGAGACUUCAUGUAAUAGCUUACAUCUGCUGUUACAGCAUCUGUUGCCCAUAUAAUCGUCGUAGGAGCAGGUGGUGGUGCGGGUGAAAGAGGCAGUGGUCGUGGCGGUAAUGAUGGGAAUGGCAGCGGUGGUGGUGGUGAUGUACGGCGGCGGGGUGGUGGUGGCAGGGUUUGGCGGACAGGCGGCAGCAGGGGAGGAGCUGGGCUCGGUUGUGGCGGUGGUAAUCCGGGCGGUGGUGAUGGUGGCGGCGGGGACGGUGAUAAUGUACGGCGCCGAGGAGGCGGUGGCAGGGGCGGGUGGUCUGGCGGUGGUGGCGGGAGAACCCUUGGUGAUGCUGAUGGUGAUGGUGGCUGUAGUGGAGGCACCGGGCUCAGUGUAGGAGGUUGCUUGGGGCGCUUAGGACGCAGCGGGGCCGGUGCAAAUUGUGGUGAUGGCCAUAAAGGUGAAAAUGUACCAGGGAAUGGAGAAGGUAAUGGAGAUGGUGGUUUAGAUGAGGGUAAGGAAGAAGGGGAUGGGGAGGGAGGUGUUGGGGAAGGCGGAGGCGAAACAAUGGGGGGAGGAGCAGAUGGUGGCGGAUUAGAUAAUUGCGGUGAGGGUUGAAGGCCUGGAGCAUGGGCUGGAGGCGAUGGCCUAGAUGAUGUGGGCAAUGGAGUGAGAGGUAUCUGUGGAGGUGGGCUGAUUGUAAGGUUGUGCACAGGGCUCGGCGGCCUAAAUGUUCGAGGAGGUGGCGGUGGUGGGGGAGAUGGCCGUGGGGGCGGUGGGGAUGAUAGGACAGGAGGCGGAGGUGGAGAAACCAUAGCGGCUGGCGGUGGUGGCGAAGACGAAGUUGAUGGCGGUGGUGAUGGAGGAGAAGGCGCUGGGGGUGAUGGUGUUGGUAAUGGAGGACUUGGAGGUGGCCUUGGUGGUUUUGGGGGCUGAGGUGUUCGUGGGGGAGGAUCCGGUGGUGCAACCGGAGGCGAUGGUGGACCAAAGGGUUUCUGGACGAUAGUAGCUCCGGUUGCAGCUGCCAGAGUAUCGACAGUCAGGGGUGGGCUGGGGGGUGGGCGAGGCGGGCGAGGCGGGCGAGGUGGCGGGCUGGGUGAUUCUAUGACACCAGGACGGUUAGGUGGUCGGGGUGGGGGUGAGGGUGGAAAAGGUACGUCAAUGAACUGGAGGACGUCGAAAUCAAUCUCUGCAGUGUCGUUACUGGUGGCGAGGGACCGCCGCUGGAUAUGGCCAUGGGUGAAACUCUUCGCAUCAUCACUGUGGCCCCUGCCAGCAAAGAGCUCGCCUUUAGCUGCUGUGUGUAUUCCGUGAUGGAUAUGUCCAUUUGCCCCAUCAGAAUGGACAUCUGCUGCGGCUGUCUUCCUAUCGUUCUUCUUCAACUGCAGUAGUAGUGACCGUAUCAUUUCCUCCUCCUUAGCUUGCACCUCCAUUAAGGUAUAGCUGUCCGCUGGUUGUGGCUCACCAAUUUGUUCCAGCCAUACCAAGCCCAGAGCUCGAAGGCUGGCAAAGUGUGGGCCAUUAAUAUCAAGGGCACAACGACCACUCAAAGCCCUUGCUGUCUCCCCAUGCCCCUCAACCAUGGUUACAUCAGCCACGGACCGUCGUCGGCUGGAUGGUGAGGGAGAGGGACCCCGAUAGGUGAUUUUGAAAGUACGGACCGUCACUUGCUCCACAGGAAUGCCCAGAGCAUCUGCCACCCUUUGCUUGAACUCGGCCACCGCUGCAGCAACAGCUUCCUACGUCAAGUGGAUCGAUCGAACCAUGCAGUCAGGUGAGUGUACGCCUGUAAAAUGGAGAAAUGUCUAUAGGCCAUCUACAGACUACCUAUCAUACCAUGGCACGAUCUAUUAUAGACUGUGCCAUGGCUCUUCACACAAUAUUGUAAUAACUUCUGUCUCGGUCCUAACUAUUACACGAUGACCCUUCUUUGUAAUUUUUUAAUGGUCUACAGAUUUAUAGUAGGAACGAGCGGAUUAUGAGGCAUGCAGGAUGAAAGUGAUCCCAAAGCCAAGCAAGCAUUGAGUAAGCAUGUCUGUAAAGUUAUGUAUGGUCCUAUAUCUUGUGCGUACAAACACCAAACACAGUCCGUGGCUAACAGCAAACAUCCACAGUACAUGUCGGUAAUCAACAGCCCUACAUGAUGAAUGCACAGUUCCAAGUACAUAUACACCAAUCUACCUACAUCGCUAAGGCUGCCAUCCACCAUUAGGUUCACAAUCGCUACACCCGCCGUAUAUCUGGUGAUGGCCAACCUAACGCCCGGGGGAUUAGGUGGCGGGGGCCUUGGAGGUCUUGGAGGCGGCGGAGCUGCAAAUAGACAGCAGGGAAUGGAGCGUGGCCACAGCAGGGACUGGUGGGAAGCACAGCCGCGACAGGGAAGCAUGGUCACAUUGGUGUGUGUGACACCUUCUAUGGACAUGCAUGCCUGAACUAUAGCUAUAUGCCUUCGAUGCAGGCAGAGAUGGGUUGUCCUGGGUUCCACUAUGUAAUGUAAUGUAAUGUUACAUGCAAAUAGCCUAGCCUAGCCUAGCCUAGUCUAUCUAGUCUAGCCUAGUUUAGUACAAUGUACAAGGAUGUAAAUGUGACGCUUGGAUCCAAGGUAUGUUGGUAAAUUAACCCUAAAAUCUGACUGACUGGCACCUUUUGCUUAUGCGCACGGGUUUUACAUGGGUUGAGUUGCUAUCGAUGGAUGACAGUGAGCCUAAGCUAGCUGAAGGUGCAGGCAGGUGGCAGGCUGUUGCACAAACCUGGAAUUUUUUUAAAAAAACAAACUGAUUCCAAGUACGUCAAUGGAUCCGCAGACGCCUUCAUCCAGCCGUUGGCGUUGAAGCCUUGGCAUCCUGGCAACUUGGCACACUCGGUAGCGGCUGCCGCAGCGGAGCCAGGGUUGCCCAGGUCGUCCCCACCGUGGUCGGUGUCCGGAAAUGCAAUGUAGCCAUCAAAGCUUGGACAUGCUGUGGAAGUUGGUACGGGAAGAUAACCUUAUUUGGAAUGUCCAUGCCUUCUCGGCAGGCAAGUUUAACCAGAUUAAGGCUAUUUGUGGAUUGCUCAAUCAUGAUGUAAUCGCCCUUACAGAGACGAAGGCGCUCGUUAAUCACACUCGCGCCAAGGAGCAACUAGUAUUACAGGGCUAUAGCCACCUUGCAUGCACUAGAACACCGUGCACAGGCUCUCGAAGGUCCGGCGGGGUAUCUGUGUUUGUGCGUGAUGAGCUGGCCCCCUGUGUGAGAGGAGUGGGCUUGACGAAUGCACCUGUUGGGGUGGAAAUCGUCUGGUUGCGAUUCCAUAGCGUUCUCCCUGGAGGGCGGGCGCUCCUACUUGGGACUGGUUACUGCUCGCCCCAGGGGUCCAGCGUUUAUAGCAGCACGGAUGGUAGUGGCCUGGUGUAUAGCGAGGCCCCCGACACUGCAGCCACAGCUGUUUUCGGAAGCAUUACUGGCGAGCUAGAUAGCAGGGUUCGACACUGACCUUCCUGAAACUUGCGGGCUCCCCCGUACCUCCCAAAUUUUCCUUACGGAGGGGCCCCCGUACCAGGCUCCUGUACCGGCCGAAAACCUUACGGGGCCCCCUGUAACCCCCGCAAAACCUUUAGGGGGGCACUGUCCUUGGCUGAAACGCUGUGGAAAGUGACGCUUUGCAUUUUUUUGCCCUGUAAAUCGUUAUUUUCGUUAUCUUCUCGUACGGCCUCUUAUAAAUCCUUAAAAUCCUUACGGGAGCCACUGUAACCAGCCUUCGGCCGGUCCGGGGGCGGCCCCAUACCGGGCGCUUCACGCCCCAAAAUCCUUACGGGAGCCACCGAAAAGUCCUACGGGCCCUGACGGGGAUACCGAAAAAUGGCCAGAAACUUACGGGCCCCGUACGGGGUGUCGAACCCUGCUAGAUAGACUGCGGUGCAUGGGUGAUGAGGUGCUUAUCACAGGUGAUUUUAAUGCCCGUAUAGCAGCUAUUCUAGACUUGUCCGAAGUAAAUGGAAUAGGGGCACAUUCCCUUGUCGGCGUUCCCCGUAAAAAAAGAGAUAAUGGACUCAAUUACUUUGGCCGCCGGUUGGCACAAAUGUGUCUUGACACAGGGCUAGCCAUUGUCAAUGGGCGGGCACCUUGCGAUGUGCCCGGGGGCUUCACGUACUCCAACUCAACUGAGGGUCACAGUUCUAUUGAUCUGUGCCUUGAAUCUCACGGGCUCUUCGAGCAGAUAAACACCUUAGUCCUUAAAUCUUAUUUAUGGGUGAGUCUAAUGUGCUCAGUGAUCAUCACCCGCUUAUCCUUUGCCUACAUGCCGAUUUGAGGCCAGGGGCUGCACGGGGUCGGAAGCCUCACCUAGCACGUGAACGGAUCCCUAUUUUUGAUAUUUCACGCAAGGGCCGCUUCACUGAGUGUUUUCGUGAACCAGAUGGCAUUGUUACAGCGACCAUCAACUCUAUCAAGGAAAAGCUUGUGGAAGGGGCCCCUUGUGAUGAAAGCAUGAAUGACUUGCACACCCUUAAUGGCACGUGUGCUAGAGAGACGUUCGGCGUUGCACGGGGGAUGGUAAAGUCUGUGAAGCGUGACCGGUGGAACGAGGACUUUGCAGCUGCAUGGAAUGAUAUGAUGAGUUUCCGUAAGGAGGUCAGGGACCCCGUCUGGGGCAAGCUGCCCGAUCUACAUAAGGCCACCUGGAAGGCCAAGCACCGUGUCUUUAAGAUGGCUAGGAAGGCCGCUAUUCAGGAGACCGAAAUGGAGGAUAUGCGGAGGAGGAUUAGGACGCCCGGUCCAACCCACGCGCCUUGUGUGUAACACCAGGCAAAGAGUACUCAGUUGGGAGAUGCCAGGGGAGCUGAUCCCUCUCACAUUGGGGGAAAACCACCUCCUUGCGGGAUCUCAGAUAUUAAUGCUUUUACCGAGCACUUUUCCAAGGUGCUUAAUGGUACGGGAGAGGCGAGGCAAUGCCGCGAUGAGGGUAUCCAAUUUAAAUGGCUGGACGAGGACGGGGUGACGCACCGACGGGAAUUAGCUGAUUGGCUUAACAAGGAUUUUACGGUGGAUGAAAUUGCUAGUGGCCUUAAGGCUAUGCGCAACUAUAAGUCCGCGGGCCUGGAGGGAACCCCGGCCGAGUAUUAUAAGUACGCUAUCAGGGAAUCUGAAGGGCAGCAGCCCGUGUUUGUAUUGGCGCCUUACUUAACGGUGCUAUACAUCCGCAUAUACGGAGCUGAAUACCCACGAGGAUUCACGACUAGCACCCUGUUCCCCGUAUUCAAAAAAGGGGACGUGUCAUGCUGUGACAAUUACCAUGGAAUAGCAGUUCGGGGUCCCCUGUGCAAACUUUACGCCAAUAUCACAGGGAGCUCCCUGUGAGGGACCUCGAGUCACCUCGAGGCGACUCACCAAUUACUGUGAGGGCAAUAGGCUACGUGCCGCUAGCCGGGCUGGAUGUAGGCAUGGUUUUGGCACCGAGCAUCACUUGUUUACAUUAAGGCAUCUAAUCUCGAAGCACACUGUGACUGGAGCAAGGCCGCUUAUUAUCAUGCAAAUGGACUCUAGCAAGGCGUUCGACUCCGUUGACCAUGAGACACUUUGGGAUUUCCUCAUGUUGUAUGGGCUACACGGGCGCAUCCUUGAUUCUCUAAAGGCUAGCUAUGCUGACGUGAAGUUUCGGGUCAAGUUAGGAAAUAGGUUGGGACCUGAAUUCACGGUAGGGCUUGGUGCUAAGCAAGGGUGCCCCCUUAGCGUAACCCUUUUUGGACUCUUCGUGGAAGUAUUUGCUUCAGUGUUAUUUUUUUCAUUUCUGCCGGUUAAUUUUCCAGUCCGAACGGAGGAAUAGGUUUUUAGUCGGGGGAAUAAAGGUAUUCCGAAUCUGUAAGGCGCUGGGGGGGGGCUCCACCCCCCCCCAGGACCCCCCCCCCGAUGAGUUACAGUUUCGUUCAUGCAAACGCCGGGUUUGGGGAAUGUCGCAACACGCGCACACCAAUCUCUCAAGCACUGAUCGAAUAAAGUUCGUUCACCAUCGUUCGUCUUGCAUCACGUUGAAAGAUAACACUACACGACUUUCCAGUUUGCAGAAGUAAUGAUGCAUAGCAGCAAUGAACCGGAACCACCAAACGCAACCUGUUUCCUGGCCCAUCGCGAUUGUAUCCAUAUAUGGAACAUUGAUGUUUGGCCCGCUCGCUGUUGACAAUCGGAGUGGCAUCAUUGUCGUCGGCUGGCUGCAGCAUUGCGUCCACAUUGCCUACGACCCCUACACCGUCUUCAUUAACGUCGCUAAUGGCUUCAAUGAAAUUUAGUAUCUGCUGUAAUGGCAUUCAAUGCUUUGGGAGCUUCGGGUCCGAAUGUUUUGCAGCGCUUGGUCCGGUCAGAAACAGUCCGAUUCCUUGUUGACUUUCGGGCAUGAGCUUCCUAGCAGUAUACAUGGCAUUAAAGUACUACGAUAUGGGUAACAUGUAUGUCUCCUGUAAGAUUCUAGCGGCUUUGGCAUGGACAGUCCAUUUUUGGCUGGAGGAAUGAACUUGUACGGUUGGAACAUUAUUUAUUCUUAACUUUCAGGACCACGAACAUUUUUUUAUUCCGAAUUCGGAAUAUAUUCCGCAAAAAAAAUAACGCUGAUUUGCUUAUUAUACAUUGAUGCUCACUAUGCUAAUUGCCGUGUACGCCUCCCUAGCCGAUGGAGCACCCAGCAGAGUGUUAGCCUGGCAGGCGGUGAACUCACAUACCUACUCUUCGUUGACGAUGUGUCACUGGUAGCGACAGGGCACGAUAGAGCAGAAUGCCUUCUGGGCCUACUCGAAGCCUACUGCAAAGCGACGGGUAAGGCAGCGAAUGCCGCCAAGUGCGAGGUCCUCAUUUUUGAGGGUGCUACGCGUGCAUGGAAGCGGCUUAUGGAAGCUGAGUACCGGUUAGGUGGGGUGGGGUUGCGGGUGCUGACCGGCAACGAGACGGCCCGGUAUCUCGGGUUGCACUAUGGCCCAGGAGUGCAGUUCUCAGCAUGUACCAAGCAACUACUCACAGCAGGGAGGCGGGCCAGGUUUGGGCUCAGCACCCUGUGCCGAGAUAAGAAAAUUACCACCCCCAAGCUAUAUAUGUCUCUCUACAAUACACUAGUUGUACCGGUGUUUUCUUAUGGAGCGCAAGUUUGGGGACCUGACUUCAUAAAUGUGAGUUUUGAAGGUGCUAUGACUAAUCCCAUGGUCCAGGAAAAGCGUGCAUACAUGCGAUCUAGUUGGGGUGAGGAGCCCGACUAUGGUUAUAUACCGCGGGUUCGGCACCAACCAUGAAGGGCAUGUACAUCAACCGGCAUAACCAAGCGACACGCACUAUUGCCGACUGCGUCAACGGGGCCCACCACGGUGGUGGCUUCAUGAUUAUGGACGCCGGUAAAGAAGAGGAUCUCCCGCCCUACUGCAGUGGGACGCGCGUCCCCAAAUGGAUGCUGCCACACUUAGCGGACGAGGAAAUCCGUCGCCUCCACCCAGACAUCAUGUUCAUCCCCGACCUCCCCGCGCACAGAACCAAGCGCAAACGGUACCAGGGGCCGGAGUGCAAAUCCAAGCACGAUGUAUAUAUACAUUGUUGAAGUGGGCUACACCAGUGACCUGCAGCACUCCGACAAACUCGAACAGAAAACCGCACAGCACGCACGGCUAACAGAGGAACUCACGAAAGCAGGCUGGACGGUGCACUACACCGAGGCGCAAAUUGUCACCCUGGGAAGUACUGGGGCACUAACCAACAUACUAAAACCGCUACUGUGCAGACUCGGCUCGUCCGCUGAGCAGGCCCAGAAGACCUGCCUGCACCUCCACCGGCAAACAAUCGAAGCAGCGGGCACGAUUAUCCGGGCGCGGCGAGUACUGGAGGGUACAGUCAAAUAACCGGUACAACCCGAACGGUCUCCCACGGUGGUGUGGGCAUACAGGAGCGGCUACGCCGCCCCUCAGUUCCCCACCCCCUUAACACACGCCAGGCCCCGGCCGGCGUACUACUACUACUAUUAUUAUUAUUAUUAUUAUUAUUAUUAUUAUUAUUAUUAUUAUUAUUAUUAUUAUUAUUAUUAUUAUUACCGCGGGUUCGGCUCCCUUGGAAUCUCCCUGAGUACUCUUUGCCUGGUAUUACACAUGUGACGUGGACUGGUCACCCACAGCCCGAGAUAGUGGUAGGCAUAGGCUGCAGCCUAUAUAUUUGACUGUUAGGGCCCGAGAUGGAUCCCUCGAAAAGGGAAGGAAUGUAGUGUUGAUGCGAAGGGAUGUCGUGUCGCCCCGUGGCCUGUUUAGGUAACUUAUCAGGUUAUCAUGAGUAACAGCUGUGGCCUGUUUAAGACUGCCCAUCAGACUAUGUGAGCAACGGCCGGCAGGUUCUAGAGUACUGCCAGCUCGUCCAUCAGGAUAAGGUUUCCAAGCCUUUAUAAGGCAUUGCUGUUUAUUGGUAAUAGUACCUCAGAUUCACACGUUUAUGCCUAGGCGAAGGGGCUAUCGGUGGUAGGUAGUACGUGUAACGGCUAAUGUCUCCUUAGUCGUGUCUGCUAGGUCCCAGUGAGAUAGCGUCUCACCAACAUGUAGUAGCUGGUAUACAGUACUGAUAGAGCUGCAACUAAUGAUGCAUGGUGGCGCUAUGCAUCCGGGUUCUUCACCAGGGUACCCAAAAACCCUCUGAAUAACCUAUCGGGGCCCUCCCUGAAUCAACAUGACACUUUUUUCAGACACCCCGAAACUGUCUGAAGCGGUUUUCGGGGUAAAACUUAGCAGGAUUCUAUCGUAAUAUGCUAGGACGGCUGAAUUAACAGGUGUUUGACUUUGUUUUGGAACAUGGUGCCUGGGAGCAAUCGUUCAGGCAAGGAUUUUAUCCAAAACCCUAAGCGUGGAAACAAGACCCACUGACGCAUUCCAGCCCAUGGCCAGGCCCGCUCCCAGGUGGUGCGGCCCAGCUCCAACUGCAAGCAGUGUUUUUUUGGUAAUAUAUUACUUUUUUGGGAAUAAAUGGGGGUCUGAGCCUGGAAGAAAUGGAAUAAUUGGUCAGUUGGCCGUACUGGUUCAUUACUUCGGCCAUAAGUCGCCCCAAAUGCCUUCUGCACAUAUAAAGCUGAACAUUUGGAGCUUAUACACUAUUUAUGUAUAAAAUAUUUGAUGAUAUCACCAUGAGACGGCCCGCUGUUGCAUUCAACUUAGGUCAACGGGGCAUUAGUUCAUUCUUGACCAAAGCAAACGGCUCAGAAAGUCCGCAGACACAAUGUCCCAAACAUUUAGAAGAAGAAUUAGAUAAUACAGAAGACAAGGAUAGGCAUGCCGUAGUUGCCGCUCUUGAAGUCAGUGAAGCAAGCGAUUUGUGCCGAAAGGCCAAAGCGAUGGGAGAUGGCGGGAGAAUGAGGGAGUGCGUCGCUUCCAGGCGCACUGGACAGCUUUGUUCGAAUGGGCUGAGUGUGUUGCGCUAGUGUGCUGCGCUGCAGCCUCCAUAUCCAGCUGGCGAGGUGCAUGACCGUGUCCGGUGCGGUCCCUGCUCCCUCAGCCGGCAGCGGGACAUCACGAUGGAUGCCAGGCAGGCCACACUAAAAAGCCAUGAGCUCACCAAAAACACCAAGAAGCCAUGUGCAACCACGAAGCACGGGCCCUUCAGCACGAGCGACAACCUUUUGUCCAGAGCACUCAGCAAGUCUGAGAGGGGAGUUGUGCAGCAGCUGCGGCAGCUCUUCUUCAUGCUGGAUCACGGGCGCCCCAUCCUCGACUACGUCGGCUCUAAGGAACUGUUCCAGGUGCUGGACGUGCCACACUACCGUGAUAAGCACUGGAGCUGCAACAGUGCCUGGCAGUCUGCAAGGCCAUCUUAUACUUCAUAACUGAUACAUAUUUCUGCAAACCGUCAAGUUCGUUGGCAACAGGCGGUUAGGGCUUGCCGAGUGGCAAAAGUGCACUAGCAACUUCUCCAACUCCUUACGUGCAGUGUAUAACAACGAUUGCUGGUUAACUUCUUGCCACUUUCAUAGUAACGAUGCAAGACUGUCGAUCGACAAAACGACCUUAUCGAAACUUACAGUCAUUGCUCAUUGAAAAUAGGGGUUGGCACGGGUACUAUACUAAAAAAGAGUACUAUACUAUAAUAGUACUAUGCAUAGUACUAUAUAUUAUGCAGGGCUCUAAACUGGCACUAGUUUACGAUGCUCGUACCGUGUUCGUACAUAGUAAAAUAAUAUAGUAAAAAUAGUACUAGAUAGUACUAGAUUUGGGUUUGGAUAGUGUCCAGUAUUAGUUGGACCAAGUCGAGAUCUGCAGUCAAGCUGUAUUUUGAAGGGCUAUAGCCGCGUCUUCGAGCUGUGCUACGUAGUUUUGAUGAAUAAUGUCAAGGGAAUCCAGUAUAAUGAAUGACAAGGCGAUCAGAGGCUUGCAUCCUGGUCCAGACGUCCCCCCUGAAGUAGCUUUUUAACAAGCUACGUAACCAGAAGAAGAACACCAAGACGGGUAGUCUUUGGGACAACUUCGAUGUGGAGUGGUGGGGUGGUCUACCAAAGCUAGUCUGCUUGUUCUGCGAUUAGCGCCGCGAACCCAUCCUUCACCAACGCGCACCACAUCAAGCAAGGUGCUUGCAAGGCUAUCAAACAGCGUGCAGCAUCACUCAGCCAGCAACAGCAACAGAGUGGAACCAGCUCCACUGCAGCGGGCCCCAGCACGAAUUGGAGGGUUACGUACUGGGCCGUUGUAGUGCAGGAACUUCACUAGUAUGGCGUCCGUGUGUUGUCUUGUGAACACUGGGUCUUCUAUCUGUGAUUAUGUCUUUAUGUGCCAUGACACGCCUUGAGACAUGGGGUUUGGGGUCCACCUACCAGGCACUGAACUAACAAAAAGUGAUCUGGAUGACCACAGCGAUCUGCUUUCUAAUGUCUAAGUAGAUAUUUAGAAAGAACAAAAGAAGACCUUUCCAACGGUGUAAUUUUCAGGUACAACGGUUGGUCGUACACCCCCUUCUACUGGGAGCGUGUACCUGCCUAGUAAUAGUAUCAUAGUACUACAUUACUAUAUACAGUACUAUUUCUUAUUAUACUAUACUAUUUGGGUAAAAAAAUAUACUUUUUUUGCCAACCCUAAUUGAAAAUAAGAUGUUCAGCAGCUUUGCCGUUAGCUGCAGGAGUAGAAGCGUGUUUAAAUAUGGAUAUGCUUAGAUGUAUGAAAAUGUGGGAUAUGGAUAUGCUUAAAGGUAUGAAAAUACGUGCGAUACAGCCGCAAUGCACAUUUGUACUUGUUGUUUGACUGGCGACCAAGCGGGCAUUAUACUACAAGCCCGGUUUCCUGGCCCUUUCCGCGCCCAAAAACAUGCAAAUUUACGCUUAAAUAUCGUUCGGUUUUCUCCGAAAAUGCCUUCGGGAGGCUUCAGUGGGGCCCCCGAAGAAAUGCUUCAAAAGGCCCCAAAUACGUUCGGGAUGCUCCGGGCCGCACUAAUUUUCCUUUCGGGCAAAACGGAAAAAUCUCAAAAAUGUUGGGGCCCGGCCAACAUUUUUCGGGGUGAAGAACCCUGCUAUGCAUGCAUCACCACCUGCAGCUCUAUCAGAACACGAGUCCUGGUCCUGAUAAAGUAGCACUAUUUAGAGCUCUAUUCUAGCUAUUCAGGUAUUCUAGCCAUUCAGGUCAUCACCGAAGACUGUAAUCCUUACCUGUGGUAGGCGGUGGCGGGCUUUCUGGAGGUGGUGGCCAGAUGGUGCCUGCGAAUCAAAGGGGAUGACAACGACUACUGGUAGCUGUUCAAGAUAAUUGAAAUAAAAUGCAGGAGCAAAAGGAAUACAACACAUUAUAUAUCUACCACGGCACUAUGUAGUAGGUGGUCGCUGAAAAGGGCUCUCGAGCUGUUGGUUAAGUGCUUUACCCGCAUUUGUAGUCGAUAUGCGUGCCGUACUGUGUACCAGCUAGUACACACUAGGCAUAUACUACUAUGACGACUUUAUAUCACGACCUUUUCCAGAAAAGAACCGAUCGUUGGAUGCAGAACCCAUGAUACGCCCAGACUAUGACAAAUAUCCCUCCCCCAGCUUCAGAUGGCGUCCUCAACCUAGGUCAAUCUCAGGGUCCGGACCCUGGAUCCCUAGGGACCCCUAGGUGCACCUACACCACGUGGUGUCAGCACCCAUAGGACAACCAGAGGUCACGGGGCCUGCCACUUCCCGCCAGCCUACAUCAGACAGGAUUCGAACCUGCAGCUGGAUUCGAUACAGCUGUGUCGACAUCAGAACUAGGAUACCUGCUCGGUAACAAUUAUACGACGUUAUAUCACGACUUUUUCAGGAAAGAACCGAUGUGUGGAAGCAAAUUCCGUCGUAUGCAAAAACAAAACCUGCAUAUGCCCAGAUCUGUUCUAGAACACUACAGGCGUCUGUAGAUUUGUGGAGUGUCAAUGCUUUCAGGCCUGUCUAUAGACAGAUAGCUAUCAUACACAUACCAUGUGCUAUCAUACACAUACCAUGCCCUAUGGCAUAAACAUGCCGGUUACCAACCUUUUGGGGCCCAUUAACCCAACCGGCCGGUUGAAUGGCGUUAACGGCCCGGUUGGGUUAACGGUGGGUUGGGUUAACGGCCAGUUGGGUUAACGAUCAGUUGGGUUAACGGUCGGUUGGGUUAAUGGGCCCCGAACGGUCGGUAACCGGCAUGUUUAUGCCAUAGCGAGUAUCCCGGUAGCGCGGGAACCAUCGUUCGCCAAUAAUAAUUAAAGGCCUCUAAUGCUGCAGGAAAAUUUUAGUAGAAGAUUUAGAACUAUGUAUGUAUUUAGUUUUAGCGUUUGUUCCCGCUUUGAGGGCGUGAAAUGCCGUGUCAUUGUCCCUAAUAAGUCAUUGUCCCGGCAUUUCAAUUGUCGCCCAUAAGCAUGAACCAGGCCACCAACUCACAAGCUUACAUGCAACAACUAAAACCAGGCAAUACUAGCUACGCAAGCUAUGCUAGGACAAACUUUUGAGACGACCAGAGCAGCAUGAAGUGGUGUCAAGCCGAUGUCCCCAAGCAACUGCUUUGAGUCCAUGUCACUAGAUUGGCGCAAUAGGUUGACAAGGUCGUCCAUAUGGCACCUUUCCUUGGACAAGGCAUCCUCCAAUUGGCACGCGGUAAAUUGACUUAGAUUGUUUGCCCUGGCAAACUUAUGUACUCCAAACUCAUCCACUGGACGAUGCUGGCUGUAUUUCUUGCGUGGGCGAUCUUGUCGCCGACGGGCGAUGUUGAACGGUCAAACUCGUACGCGCCGACCUCAUUACCGUUGUCCAUGGACAUUGUGUUGGAAGGAUACGUUAAGGUUCAGAUAAAAUGAAGAAAUGAAGAAGCGCUCCUUCAUAGUAUGGAGAUGGUAGAAUCUUCAAGCAACUUUUGAACGACCAGGGAGAGUUGCUGAUAGGCGAAUUUGUAUGAAGCUAUAGAAUUCCUUUAUUCUUUCAAGGUAAAUGAAUGCUUAUGUAUUCGUCCGUUAGUAGCGUGAAGCUUUGAACACUCUUUGUACGGCAGAUUCGGCACAAUGUUUUGCCUCAUUGCGAUGUUGCCUGAAAAUUUUGAACAGAAGGGAUCACUGCUCAUGCUGGUGCAGCAAGACAUGUAAGGAGAUGGCCUGGUCACAAUCCAGCAGUCAUAUAUCGACAAUCUCAAGCUAUGACAACUUGUUACAUGUGUCUGUAAUAAAAAAGGGACUUUGCGAUGGUGUGGGGAGCUCUUUGAGUGGUGGGACUGUGGAAAUCCAGUUUGUUUCGCCCGUAACAAGUUUGUUACGGGCGAAACAACGUCCCUCUGAAACGUUUGGAUAUGCCUAUGCAACACAUUUCCUCAAUUUCAUGAACUGCAAGUAUUUUAAUCCAACAUCACCCCAAUCUCAGUGUAAACUAGUCUCCAAAUGUGCCUGCACAAGACUGUCACCCCUGUCACCCGGCAUUCACAUUGCCUUAACCUCCUCAAGCUUGUCGGGGUGUGACACGUGGGCAUGAACCUUGUGACAAUGGGCAUUGUCACAAAGAAACUGGUUGCAAUCAGAAAUGCAUUUUUGCUCAUGCCAGGUUACCGACAUCGGUUACCGAUUACUGGGGACGGUUAACUGGACCCGUUAACCGGCCUGGAGUAUGCCAUUGGGAUGGCACGAUCUAUAGACCAACCUAUACAAUAAAUCCUUUUAAAUAUGCGAUGGCCCAAUGGAACACGUUUCAUGGUCUACGUAUAGGGUCAUCAUAAAAAUGUACAUUUAUAUCGCGUUUAGUUGAUACAGAUUAUGGAUGCUAACCAAGCAUUUGAUAUGCACACGCACCUGGAAUUUUUUGAAAAAAACAAACUGAUUUCAAGUACGUCAAUGGAUCCGCAGACGCCUUCAUCCAGCCGUUGACAUUGAAGCCUUGGCAUUCUGGCAACUUGGCACACUCGGUAGCAGCUGCUGCAGCGGAGCCAGGGUUGCCCAGGUCGUCCCCACCGUGGUCGGUGUCCGGAAGUGCAAUGUAGCCAUAAAAACUUGGACAUGCUGUGGAAGUCGGUACGGGAUGAGAACAAAGGAUUGUUAAAGCAGCGGUGGUUGGCAUUCAGGGGCUCAUUAGUGGUAAUUUUGCAGGCACUAGUUCGUUGGUCCCGAGAGCGAGUGAUCCCCAACUCGUACUCGCUCUCGGGACCCGUGAACUAGUGUCUGCAAAUUGUUUUAUGGUUUCUAGCUAGACAGAAUCAUUGUACAAACAAAUACUCUACAACAUUCUGAAGUCGGAUGGGGUGACGGAUUAGGGUGCCCCUCUAGCAGGGGAGAGCAGGGACUGCCCCGGGAAAGGGGGCCGAUGGCGAAGUUAACCACUCUGUAACAACAUACAUACAUACAUUCACACAUAUAGGGUUUGGCACCACUGGUAAGGCGCGACCGUUGCCCCCGGGAUCGAUACCCAUUCGGGUCCAAGACCUUCCAAUGGUGGAAGGCAUUGCGCCCCUAGUUGAUGGACGGUAGUGAUCUGAGAUAAAGUUAACCUGCGAACCUUAAAGUCGCUGUAAGUUUCGAUAAGCUUAUCGAAACUUACAGUCAUUGGUCAUUGAAAUAUGUUCAGCAGCUUUGCCGUUAGCUGCAGGAAUAGAAACGCGUUUAUCUAUGGAUAUGCUUAGAUGUAUGAAAAUGUGGGAUAUGGAUAUGCUUAAAGGUAUGAAAAUAAGUGCGAUACAGCCGCAAUGCACAUUUGUACUUGUUGUUUGACUGGCCACCAAGCGGGCCUUAUACUGCAAGCCCGGUUUCCUGGCCCUUUCCGCGCCCGAAAACAUGCAAAUUUACGCUUAAGUAUCGUUCGGUUUCUCCGAAAAUGCCUUCGGGAGGCUUCAGUGGGGGCCCCGAAGAAAUGCUUCAAAAGGCCUCAAAUCCGUUCGGGAUGCUCCGGGCCGCACUAAUUUUCCUUUCGGGCAAAACGGAAAAAUCUCAAAAACGUUGGGGCCCGCCCAACAUUUUUCGGGGUGAAGAACCCUGCUAUGCAUGCAUCACCACCUGCAGCUCUAUCAGAACACGAGUCCUGGUCCUGAUAAAGUAGCACUAUUUAGAGCUCUAUUCUAGCUAUUCAGGUAUUCUAGCCAUUCAGGUCAUCACCGAAGACUGUAAUCCUUACCUGUGGUAGGCGGUGGCGGGCUUUCUGGAGGUGGUGGCCAGAUGGUGCCUGCGAAUCAAAGGGGAUGACAACGACUACUGGUAGCUGUUCAAGAUAAUUGAAAUAAAAUGCAGGAGCAAAAGGAAUACAACACAGUAUAUAUCUACCACGGCACUAUGUAGUAGGUGGUCGCUGAAAAGGGCUCUCGAGCUGUUGGUUAAGUGCUUUACCCGCAUUUGUAGUCGAUAUGCGUGCCGUACUGUGUACCAGCUAGUACACACUAGGCAUAUACUACUAUGACGACUUUAUAUCACGACCUUUUCCAGAAAAGAACCGAUCGUUGGAUUCAGAACCCAUGAUACGCCCAGACUACGACAAAUAUCCCUCCCCCAGCUUCAGAUGGCGUCCUCAACCUAGGUCAAUCUCAGGGUCCGGACCCUGGAUCCCUAGGGACCCCUAGGUGCACCUACACCACGUGGUGUCAGCACCCAUAGGACAACCAGAGGUCACGGGGCCUGCCACUUCCCGCCAGCCUACAUCAGACAGGAUUCGAACCUGCAGCUGGAUUCGAUACAGCUGUGUCGACAUCAGAACUAGGAUACCUGCUCGGUAACAAUUAUACGACGUUAUAUCACGACUAUUUCAGGAAAGAACCGAUGUGUGGAAGCAAAUUCCGUCAUAUGCAAAAACAAAACCUGCAUAUGCCCAGAUCUGUUCUAGAACACUACAGGCGUCGACGCCUGUAGUGUUCUACAGACGUCUGUAGAUUUGUGGAGUGUCAAUGCUUUCAGGCCUGUCUAUAGACAGAUAGCUAUCAUACACAUACCAUGUGCUAUCAUACACAUACCAUGGCACGAUCUAUAGACCAACCUAUACAAUAAAUCCUUUUUAAUAUGCGAUGGCCCAAUGGAACACGUUUCAUGGUCUACGUAUAGGGUCAUCGUAAAAAUGUACAUUUAUAUCGCGUUUAGUUGAUACAGAUUACGAAUGCUAACCAAGCAUUUGAUAUGCACACGCACCUGGAAUUUUUUGAAAAAAACAAACUGAUUCCAAGUACGUCAGUGGAUCCACAGACGCCUUCAUCCAGCCGUUGGCAUUGAAGCCUCGACAAUCUUGCAACUUGGCACACUCGGUAGCGGCUGCUGCAGUUGAGCCAGGGUUGCCCAGGUCGUCCCCCCCGUGGUCGGUGUCCGGAAGUGCAAUGUAGCCAUAAAAACUUGGACAUGCUGUGGAAUUAGGAAAGGGAAGUGCCAAAACAUUGUGUAUGACCCAUUUAGCUACCAAAAGGCAUUGAUGCUGUGAGUUUCUGCAUGGUGCAGUAAGUUAUACUUAUGGCAUCCACUGGCCUCCCUUGACAAGGGAGGCCUUUUUGCAACACAGCUGACAUUUGUCACCCGUAACUGUUCAGUAUUGCCACAUGACGAUGAAUGUGGUCGUCGACGUCUAUCUUUAAACGGCCUCAAACAAUGGAAAAUGGAACCAAGAAACCGUGACAGCUGCCAUCUGGUGUAGAUAAAGGCCUCUCGAGAUGCUGGACCGGUCGGAUGCUUUGUGCAUAUUUGUAGAUUAAAUGCGAGCCGUACCGUGUACAAGAUACUACAUGAUGUAUAAAUGUAUACAUUUGGUGAAAGUAAUACGUACCAAUCUGGCUUGUAUAUCCUGCCAGGAUAUCACUUAACAGUGAUAAGUGCAGCUGCGGUGGCCUGCAUGUAUGCAGUUCUAUCACCAGCUGCAGCUCUACAAGAACACGAGUCCUGUCCUGGUAAAGUAGCAUUAUAUAGAGCUGUAAUCUAGUCACGUCAGGUCAUCACCGAAGACUGUAAUCCUUACCUGUGGUAGGCGGUGGCGGGCUUUCUGGAGGUGGUGGCCAGAUGGCGCCUGCGAAUCAAAGGGGAUGACAACGACCACUGGUAGCUGUUCAAGAUAAUUAAUGAAAUGCAGGAGGAAAAGAAUUACAACAUAGUUAUAUACCAGAGCACUAUGUAGAAUACUACGAACACGGAGGCGGUUUAAGUACGUUCUUAAGUCGCGAUCGGUCUUAGCCCAGCCAAAUUGAUGAAAAUGAAUAAUCAUUAGAAUGUUCUUUGACCGUUCUAAGAAUGUAUGAACUUCCAUUUACCUCAAUUUUCUUUAGUAUUCUUAAGGCCUAGCAAUCUUAUGGAUUCUCUUUGAUUCUUUGGGGUGUUCUUAUACGUUCUUAGGGUAACUGAUUAAUUCUUCGACCAAAGCAUACUUAGCUGCUCUUUGGCGGGUUUUAACCAUUCUUACCACUAAUUUGCUAAGUAUGGCUCUCAUUCUUAGGUCUUAUACUCAGGGCAUUCUUUUUGCUGCUUACAUUCUUAAGCUUUAAAAAUACAUUCUUAAGGGUGUUCUUGAUGGAAAAACCAUCGACCUUUCAGCCACAUUCACCGGCCUGUGCUUCCCUAUCUAGCCUUGUAUCUAAUUAGAUUGUUGAGUGCACAUGUUUCAGUGCACCCACUGAUGUUUUACGGUAUGAUUUCCUGGACGAUGAAACCUAUGGCAUGCACUACAUAUUACUUGCUAGGGUUUGGCAUUACUGGUAACGCGUGACCAUUGCCCUCGGGAGAUCCCGGGAUUGAUACCCGCUAGGGUUAAAAACCCUAGCAUGACACGGCAUGCAUAGGGGGUGGGUGGGGGGGGAAGAGGUUCAUCAGGCGUAAUGUAAUCAGAGUUAAAAUUUGUUGCGUAUUCAACAAAACGGACUGUAAUUAAGGAGCUCGGGGGCGCAUUGCAUGGGCCCAGGCGUGGAGUGGUGCAGUCCGGAGUCGGUGCACGGUCCAGUCCAGGAUGAAAAGAAAAGAACAAUAAACGAUGACGACACGAAAAACGAACCACAUGAUGACGAAAGUUAACCUGCGAGCCGACCAGGAAUGGAGCUGGGCCGCUGUCAACCCGGCAGAUUCCAUUGGAUGCUGGUGGUGGGUGUGGAACCUGAGCGAUCCACUGAGAAGUUGACUAGCUAGGGUGACUGGAUCAGGGUGACUAUAGGGUGACUGGAUGAGGGUGCCUAUAGGGUGCCUAUAGGGUGCCUAUAGGGUGACUGGAUGAGGGUGCCCCGAAAUACCGGGGAAGGCAGGGUUUCGCAGGGUAGCUGCCACGGGCGAAGAUACACUCCCCUGUUUCACACAUCACAUUACUUGUUAGGGUCGAACCUAUAAUUUCAGACAAUUAAAGCUAAUCACUAUCUCGAAUCUUAUUGUACAAGAAAAGACCUCACAAGAUGCCCAUCCAGCGCUUCGAUACUAUAUAUACUAAAUGCGUGUGCAGUAUACUGUGAGCUGCACCAAGCGCCGUACCCUAACAGAUGUGCGUGUACGACAGACAACCCAACACCUGUUCAGCAACUCAGCUAUGAGCCCUGGCCCCUGUAAAAAACCCUGGCAUGCUGUAAGAGGGAUCAGCUCCCCUGACAUCUCCCUGAGUACUCUUUGCCUGGUGUCACAUUGGUGCGAAUUGCUAGGAGGUGGGAACUCCCUAGAUCGAUUCCAGAUGCGAACAUAGCUAUAGCGCACACCAGGUAAGAUGCAGCAUACUCUUACCCCAAAGGUGGAUGCCCGGGUGGGCGAGAAGUCUACCAGCUGAGUAAAAACAAAAUCCACCAUCUCGGAUGGGGACUGACGAAAUGUUACAAUAACAAACAAAUUCACAAUCCUACGGGAUCUCAAGCAACCAAAAUAUCCUACGGGAUAUGCCUGGGGGCGCCCGAGGACGUUCACUUGAGGGGGGGAGGAAUGUAAGAGGGAUCAGCUCCCCUGGCAUCUCCCUGAGUACUGUUUGCCUGGUGUUACGCGUGCAGCCAGACAGGGCCACAUACCUGCUGCAGCUCACUGCCCAACGCCAUCCCUGGCUACUGUAGCUGCAUGAAAAACAAGAGGAGCCCCGAAGCCGCUGUCAUGUUUAGCUGAAUCCAAAUGGAAGCAUCCUUGCUUGCCAUGGAGAGCCUGGCAGACUCAUGUGUUUUCUACAAGCCCCCACCAGAAGAGUUUGGGCCUACUGGAACCCUCACCUACCAGCAAUGCAUGUACUGGACUGUUACCAACACCUCUGAGCCUGCAGUCUCCACAGAGCACAUGUGCAACGGGCGGGGCUACAAGGAAAAGAACCGGGGGCACGACUUAAUGAUUCCCAGCUCCUACAGCUGCAUGAUAUGUACAUCUGCCACAGCACGGAAUAUUCGUGGGUCUUCACAGUUUACAUGAACUGGCUCUGGGACCAUUGGUCAGACAACAGCACGGCCACUACAUGCCAAGCAUCCUCACCCACCUGCGGCUAAAACACCUCGGUGCUUUGCAACCCAAGUCCGAGCAAUUCUGUCGUAUGGCUGCCAGGUGUGGGGUCCUUUUGCACUGGCAGAGGUCGUGGACAGAGCGGGAAGGUGGCGGGAUAAAGCCAACCUUGUGGAGGUGUAGUAAGCUACAUUUCCCUUAGGAUAUUUUAACGAUUACUGUUAACAAUAACUGUUAAUUCGUUAACGAUUCGACUCGAGUUUCGUACAUGUUACAAGUUUCGUCACAUGUCUUGAACAUGGCAGUUGUUCGUAAGCGAACCUAACGGGUUGGGGCCCCGGGCCCCAAGGACAUUAUCCUAGUACGGCAGGACCGUGGUAGGGAAUCUCCGGCAGGUAGGCCGAGAUAUAAGUAGGGUUGCGCCGACCAUUAGAAGUAGAAUUCUAACGUAGAAUAAUUCUAAUGAGAAAUCACCCUAUAAAUGAGAAGGGCCUGCUUCUGGGAUUAGGAUGAGAAAGCUGUACGACAGCCUGGAUCCUGCAUUAGAAUCGCCAGAAACAGAUGCUUGUGCAUUAUAAUACUUGCACAUUAGUACCUUACCUAUAGAUGUUACUCUGGGUCAGCUAUGGCAGAUCAAGCGGACAAGCCUGACACAAAGCAACCUGACCAUCAGCCCGACAACAUUGAAGUUUACAAGUAUGGUGACAAGAAUUUAGACGCCCCUGCCUAUGCUAAUGUUCUCAAAGAAGCUAAGGCAAAGGCGCACGUCGUGGUGGGUUCGUUUCAACGUCCUGCUGACAGCUGGCGCUGUGUGGCGCCAAUGUGUCCGCUGCAACAAGAUCCUGAGCGCUAAGAAUCCGUCACAAUUUUGCUCUCAGCACGUCAGAGGACUGAGACUGUGAAGCCGAGCCUGGGGCCGUUGCGUACCCCUGAGUACUUGGGACUCUCGUUCUAUUGAGGUUCCUGACGCAGAUUGUUGGGUUUGAAUUUAGCGUACUGGUGUCUGUAUCCGUCUGGCCGUCGGGCCUGGGGGCCGUUGCGUAUCCCUGAGUACAUGAAUGGAAUGGUUGGUGGGACUGCGUGCCUUCCACUAUAGUGACGGCAUGUUCAUACAGGCCUUUCGGUUCCGUGAGGCAGGGUGGGGUUCCCAGACAGUGACUGCAUUGCCCCAUGCAACUGGCUGGAAAUAACAACACUUGGCAAGGUUAGCUUUGCAUUCUAAGGGGGGUAUAUAUGGCCAAGAGGUACACCCUUCUGGGUUACGACCCCCGCCAUCGACUUUCGGCCUAAAAAAGUUGGAAACGCCUGGAUAACCAUGAGCCGCCAUGCCCGCAAAUGCUCAGUUAAUUCUUCGCGCUGGGUGAAAAGAUAGCAAAGUAAUUCUCAUUCUCAUUCUCAUAUUCUAAUUAGAAAUGAUAUGAGAAGGAUUUUCCUUCUACAGUUAGGAACAAGCUAAGAUAUAAGGACGUGUUCACAUGUGGGCGAAUCAGAGUUGAUUCAUGCGAAUUGGAUUCUGAAUUGGACCUGAUUGGACCCGAAUCGGAAUUGGGGUCCGGGGGGGCCUCUUCGGGUAUGAAUCGACGUGAUUCACAGUUUUCUUUCUCAAAACAAAGUUGUUUAACAAACCGUUUCUCAUACCCUAUGGCAUAAACAUGCCGGUUACCGACCGNUUGGGGCCCAUUAACCCAACCGGCCGGNUGAAUGGCGUUAACGGCCCGGUUGGGUUAACGGUCGGUUGGGUUAACAGCCAGUUGGGUUAACGAUCAGUUGGGCUAACGGUCGGUUGGGUUAAUGGGCCCCAAACGGUCGGUAACCGGCAUGUUUAUGCCAUAGGGUAUGAGAAACGGUUUGUUAAACAACUUUGNNNNNNNNNNNNNNNNNNNNNNNNNNNNNNNNNNNNNNNNNNNNNNNNNNNNNNNNNNNNNNNNNNNNNNNNNNNNNNNNNNNNNNNNNNNNNNNNNNNNNNNNNNNNNNNNNNNNNNNNNNNNNNNNNNNNNNNNNNNNNNNNNNNNNNNNNNNNNNNNNNNNNNNNNNNNNNNNNNNNNNNNNNNNNNNNNNNNNNNNNNNNNNNNNNNNNNNNNNNNNNNNNNNNNNNNNNNNNNNNNNNNNNNNNNNNNNNNNNNNNNNNNNNNNNNNNNNNNNNNNNNNNNNNNNNNNNNNNNNNNNNNNNNNNNNNNNNNNNNNNNNNNNNNNNNNNNNNNNNNNNNNNCCGAUGUUGCCUGAAAAUUUUGAACAGAAGGGAUCACUGCUCAUGCUGGUGCAGCAAGACAUGUAAGGAGAUGGCCUGGUCACAAUCCAGCAGUCAUAUAUCGACAAUCUCAAGCUAUGACAACUUGUUACAUGUGUCUGUAAUAAAAAAGGGACUUUGCGAUGGUGUGGGGAGCUCUUUGAGUGGUGGGACUGUGGAAAUCCAGUUUGUUUCGCCCGUAACAAGUUUGUUACGGGCGAAACAACGUCCCUCUGAAACGUUUGGAUAUGCCUAUGCAACACAUUUCUUCAAUUUCAUGAACUGCAAGUAUUCUAAUCCAACAUCACCCCAAUCUCAGUGUAAACUAGUCUCCAAAUGUGCCUGCACAAGACUGUCACCCCUGUCACCCGGCAUUCACAUUGCCUUAACCUCCUCAAGCUUGUCGGGGUGUGACACGUGGGCAUGAACCUUGUGACAAUGGGCAUUGUCACAAAGAAACUGGUACAAUCAGAAAUGCAUUUUUGCUCAUGCCAGGUUACCGACAUCGGUUACCGAUUACUGGGGACGGUUAACGGAUAACGGUUCGCCCGGUAAUCCUACCGACCGGUUACCCAUCUCGUUAACUGGACCCGUUAGGUCGGAACCGGGCCGGAACCGGCCUGGAGUAUGCCAUUGGGAUAAUUACCAUUAUAAGGGGGUGUUUCCACUUGGAUUAAAAGUCGCGGAUUAAGGUAUUUUUAAGCCGCGCCAAUCCACCGCUAAUCCGUCGGAGUGUUUCAUACGUCUGGAUUAAGAAACGGAUUGAAGUACGACACUUGCUCAUUCCGUGCAUAAAAUGCAAAAACGAGUAUUGCCAGACAUUUAAAAGACUAUCGAGUAUCAACAUGAAGGCCUUGUAGCACCUUUGAAGAACACCCACGGUGUGGUGCAUAAUGCCGAACAAGAAGCACAAAGCUUCCACAAAACUAGGAACACCUACAGCCUUUAUAAAGGAUAAACUUCCAACCUAUCACUCAGGCUUUUUAUGAGGCGUCGUGAAAAGUGUUAAUCCGAGAUUGUCAAUUUGAUACCUGGUGGCCACCAGGUAGCAAAUGUUUCGCACCGAGUUUGAGCUUUUAGUAUAAGCAGAAAGCUCGCAUUUCAUAGCAUAUUAAUCUAUAAUUAAUCCGCGAAGCGCGUGAAUACGGACGGAAAUCUCUAACUAAUCGCGCCAACCUUAAUCCGCCUAAUCCGUUCUAAUCCGCGCGAUGUUUCCAUAUGCGACGGAUUAAGCCUUAAUCCGCGACUUUUAAUCCAAGUGGAAACACCCCCUAAUACUAUAGGAACAUUUUCCAAUUGUUAAUUCACGCAAAGCGCACCGAGCAUUUUUCACGAACUCCUGCAGCUAUGUAUGUACAAGCCUGGUGAUAAUUUUCGCCAUAGAAACGAUACUUAUACUGUUCUGUUCCUAGAUAAUGCUGGCUUGCCUUGGGUGAUGGGGUGUAGCCGCGGAGCUUCAGCUGGGCGCGGUGGCACCUCCCGAUUCCAGUUGCCGUGCAGUGAAUCGUAUGUGAACACAAUUCAGAAAGCCGCCCCGAAUCGGACUCCCAAUCAGACUCUCAAUUGGACUACAUGUGAACACACCCUAAGCUACCCGGGCGGGGUGCUCUGGCCAGACACUGAAGUAUCACGACUACUAGGUGUUCGGACUUCAAGACUCGGCGGCAGCGGAGUCUUGAAGUCCCCGCUGCCGCCGUAUAGAUUGUUUUCGUACGUGUCUAUGUAUGCUAGUGCUUGCCGCUGGGUUGGACUUCUUCCUGCCUCGGCGAGGACUGUCAACUCAACACUUCCACUUAGUCAGUCGACCCGUCUGGUGAGCGACUGCUACAGGAGGGCAUGUUUGAAGCCUGUUUGAAGGAUAGUGCAGUCCAGCUGCAGAUUUUAUUCAUGAGGCAGGUAGUGGGGACGGCACGGCCAUCCCACAGGCUGUUGUAUGCGGAGCUGGCUGAACUCCCCUUACAGUAUUACAUGGUGAAACAGAUCCUCCGUUUCUGGAACCGCCUUCAAAAGCAAGUGAGUCCAUUGCUCAUGCAGUUUUACAGCAGGAGAUCACCGAUGCCCUGACCAACCCAGAAUGGGAGGGUUGGGGAACCUCAAUGUUACGACUUCUUGGAGUGCAAUAUUUGGAGCAGAAUACCGCAAGAAGUCAUGGGGGUAAAGUAGCGUGUUGACUGGUUGUUGAGUAGGCCUCUACCCGAAGGAGCGAUGAUAACAGCACUAAGAGAGCGUUUGGUGAGCGGCUGGGACCUUACGCGUCUGACUGUCUUGCCAGAGGAGGUACCCAUCAGAUGGGAAGCAACCGGGAGUGCAAAUGGCGAAGUAUAAGCACUGGAUGGGGCUGCCCUUUAUCGGAAGCCGCAGCCGCCAUGUGGCCAACACAUGCUAAGGUUUUCAUUCCUCGUUUAGCACAUCAUAAGCUAAUGCAGUUUCGUUUAUGUUGCUGGGCUCUGGAGGCAAACAGAGCAGGAAGGGGCAAGUACCAUGUCCCCAGGGGACAGCGGUUUUGCCGCUGUUGUGGUACUAAUAGCCGAAUCGAUGAUGAAAAACACAUGUUGUUGGGAUGCCAGCCUAUAAUGAUAUUCGUGCUGAAGAGGGAUUCGAUCAUCAACAGAGCAUGUUGGAGGCCAUGAAAUGGGAACCAGUAUGUCUGGCGAGGAUGUUGGAACAUAUGUGGGCUCACUGAAACUCAGUUACCCCCUUUCGAUGCUAGCCUGGGCUGAUGUGCUGUGUUUCCUGUUCUCUGUGGCUUUUAGGUCUAUAGGUAUUGCCCUUGGGCCUUCGGCUCGCAUGGGUAGUUUUACAGGUAUGUCACACACACCCCAACCAUGUGACACACACACACAUACACACACAACACCUCAGGUGUGGUUACAUGCUGGAAAAGGAUGGUGCCACUGUCAGGAAACAAGUCAGGUGUCGGCUUCCUCGAAGCCAGGAAAAGGGUGGGGCCCCCAUGCAUCUGUACAGGCCGGUAGCUAGCACGGCACGUGUGACAAUUGAUGGGUAGUGUCAACAUGGUGGGAGAUGUGCUUUGUAGCAGCAGUGCUGAUGGUGUGGGAGCUAAGCUUGCACCGGCGGAAUCGUCAGCACCGUCUGCGGGCUCCACAUGAAUCGCAUCCAUCCCGGGUGCAUGCCGCAUGGACAGUGUGGCAGAUCGCAAGUCGGCAGAUCGCAAGUCGGAAGGCCCGGGUGGCAAGUCGGAAUGCCAGUGCAGGCAAAUGGUAACACAAGCUGAGUGUUCAAGUUAUCAUACGCUGUCAUCUCAGAAUUCAAUUAUGAGAUACACGGCACCUUUUGAAAAGAAGUUUAGCCUGAGAGGCGUUGAUGUGACUUUGAGCUUGGUCAAUGGAGACUCAUUUGUGCUCAUACGAUUUUUGUUGGCUACAGGCGAGGUACCUUGCAAUAGAGAAUGCAGUAUAUUACCGAUAAUGCGUUUCAGCCGGGUGAAAUAUUAUGUUUGGUCCGGUACACAUGGCUACACUGCCACACGGCCACACGGCCACAUGGCCACACGGCCACACGGCCACACGGCCACACGGCCACACGGCCACACGGCCACAUGGCCACACGGCCACAUGGCCACAUGGCCACAUGGCCACAUGGCCACAUGGCCACAUGGCCACAUGGCCACAUGGCCACAUGGCCACAUGGCCACAUGGCCACACGGCCACAUGGCCACACGGCCACAUGGCCACACGGCCACACGGCCACACAGCCACACAGCCACACGGCCACACGGCCACACGGCCACACGGCCACACGGCCACACGGCCACACGGCCACACGGCCACACGGCCACACGGCCACACGGCCACACGGCCACACGGCCACACGGCCACACGGCCACACGGCCACACGGCCACACGGCCACACGGCCACACGGCCACAUGGCCACACGGCCACAUGGCCACAUGGCCACAUGGCCACAUGGCCACAUGGCCACAUGGCCACAUGGCCACAUGGCCACAUGGCCACAUGGCCACAUGGCCACAUGGCCACAUGGCCACACAGACAUGGGCAAUUCUACAGGGCGGGUCCCCCUGGGUGCUUCACGCUGGGGCCCCGCCCCAAAACAGGUGGUAGGUAUAAUAGUUGGGACGGCUGAUAAAAUUACUUAUAUACAUACAUACCAAGGUUUGGCACUAGGGUUUGGCAUUACUGGUAACGCGUGACCAUUGCCCCAGGGAGAUCUUGGGAUUGAUACCCGUUAGGGUCAAAAAUCCUUCCGAUGGUGGAAGGUAUUGCGCCCCUAGUUGAUGGACGGUGGUGACACCCACAUCCAGUCACCCUAGUCAACUUCUGAGUGGAUCGCUCAGGUUCUGCACCCACCACCAGCAUCCAACGGAAUCUGCCGGGUCGACAGCGGCCCAACUCCAUUCUCGGCCGGAUUGCAGGCUAACUUCAUCCCAGGUCACCGCCGUUCAUCAACUAGGGGCACAAUACCAUACCACAUUGGAAGGAUUUUCGACACUAUCAUAUCUCGAUCCCGGGAUCUCCCGGGGCAAUGGUCACGCGUUACCAAUAGUGCCAAAACCUAGUAUGCCCUGCCAUGCAUGGGUGGAGAAAUGCAGUAAGGGUCAAAUGUUUGCAUCCUCAUGUAUGUACCCCUUGGUCAUCGUCAGAACACAUGUUCAAGUAGUGUAGAUGGACCCCACUGUCAGCAUCUUCCCACCAUGACCCAUCCCCACUAUCCACAUCCUUUUCAAUGACCACUUCACUGAUGAUUGAAUCUUCCAGCGGUCGCCACUCACACUACUGUUGGAUCUCCCUGCCAUGACCCACCCAUGCUGUCUGCAUCUUCAUGACCGACCCCCAUUCCGCAUAUAACCAUAUUGCAUCUCUCCUGCAUGUGCAGGCAUUCAUGCAUUAAUGUAGUAUUACUGCCUUUGGGAGCUCUGGUGUUGUGACUCUUGGAUUACACCUGGGCUCAUUAUGGAUGGCCGACCUGUUACUGAUGAAGUUCGGCUUGCAACAUCCUUCACCGAGCGCCUGGCAUCUGUAACCCUCAACAGCUAUCUGCAGCUUCAACCCUUCAAUGAAGGCAACAAAAUUGCUCUUCACGAGUGGCGGUUCAUCAUCAGUCAAUGCCCUUCCAGUUCAGAAAUGUGCGCGGGGAAAAUCAUGGACAUCUUUUGUUACAAAUCACCCAUUCAUCCAGGCAAUGAUGUGGUUCUUGAAGUUGAGUGUCAUGCCCCGAUGGUCGGCAGGCAAGGCCAGCCAAUUACUGAUGAAGGGAUGAAUAAUAGUUAGUGCUAAGGCUGCCACCCUGUGUUCAUGUGGUUCCACUAAAUUUAGUUUUAGGGUUUAAAACCCUAAAGCCCUAAGCUUACUACAUGGCCCAGGACAUAGCUCCCUGCAGGGUGCACACCCUGACCCACCCCACCAACAAGGCAGCUCUGUGUGUGCUAUCAAAAAGCGUCUCCUUCAUGCGUUUGGCGGGCUGCGAGCCAUUACACACACUCACCAGGCAGGCUGCAAACAUGUGCUGAAGGAGGGUACCCUCCAGUGGCAGGGUGGUGCAAGAGGGUACCCUCCAGUGCCACCCCUUUGACACUGAAGGUUCUCCCCAAAGGGGAGGAAGCUCGUCCCUUACAGUGUCCCAUGGGUGUCCCUUGGGUGUCCCUUUGGUGCCUCUUCGGUGUCCCUUGGGUGUCCCUUACGGUGUCCCUUGGGUGUCCCUUACGGUGUCCCUUGGGUGUCCCUUUGGUGUCCCUUUGGUGCCUCUUCGGUGCCCGAGACCGAAUUUACCAAAACCUUGGUUGACAGUAGCACCUGGCUAAUUAUUAACCACCAAGCGUCCCCUUAAUGGCAGAAUGCUCAUUCAGGAUGCAGUGGAGGGUCGAGCACAGGAUACGGUUGGGAAGGAGUGGGAUAGAAAUGUGGACCCAGGAAGAGUCAACGUUGACUCUUCCUGGGUGUUAACACCAACCCACCAAAGAUGAGGAUGGCAGAGGAUGAGGGGAUGCAGUCACCUGGGUGUGGGAUGUUUGCAAGCAUUGUAUUGUGUAUUAUUGUGUAUUGUGUAUUGUCUAUUGUCUAUUGCCUAUAGACAAUAGCUAUUGUCUAUUGUACAAUCUAUAUACCAAUCAAUACAAUAAUCUAUCAACAAUCUAUUCCUCGGUCCUUAUAUAUAUCCCUAUAUGUAGACCAUGAAACAUUUACCGAUGCAUUUAGGUGAUACAGAUUGCAGAUGCUAAUUAAUUGGUUAUACCCAAUUGGUUGCCAGCAUUUGCUGUGCACACACACCUGGAAUUUUUUGAAAAAAACAAACUGAUUCCAAGUACGUCAGUGGAUCUGCAGACGCCUUCAUCCAGCCGUUGACAUUGAAGCCUUGGCAAUCUGGCAACUUGGCACACUCGGUAGCGGCUGCUGCAGCGGAGCCAGGGUUGCCCAGGUCGUCCCCACCGUGGUCGGUGUCCGGAAGUGCAAUGUAGCCAUAAAAACUUGGACAUGCUGUGGAAUUAGGAAAGGGAAGUGCCAAAACACUGUGUAUGACCCAUUUCGCUACCAAAAGGCAUUGAUGCUGUGAGUUUCUGCAUGGUGCAGUAAGUUAUACUUAUGCAUGAACUAUGUAAACUAACCUUGCAUUGUACACAUCCACAUAUGCUAUCCAAAUUUAUUUAGUCUUCUGGCCCUGUUCACUGCUGUAGUGGGAACAGGAAAGGGCCUGUGCAAGCUACAUCAUGUCACACUGUGGCACUACUUGGAAACAUAUUUAAGUUUUUAAGUACAUACAUUAUUAGUUCAGUAUGACUGCUGGGGUGCAUGGCCAUGGACGUUCGUUACAGUGAAGGUUGUUGAAACACGUAAUAUCUGGGGAUAACAACGCAGGCGGCUGGCAGAGCUGACUGCUGCUCCCAGCCGACCCGGGUUCAAAUUCGCCUGCCGACCUCUCGGGUGUUAGAGAGGGGGUGAAAUGGGAGGUGGCCCCCCAUCUUGUGGACGAUGAAGGACGUGAUAAAAUCAACUUGCGAGCUGACCAGGAAUUAAGAUGAGGCGCCGUUGAUCCGUUAGAUUUGGUUGGAUGCUGGUGGUGAGUUGCCAAACUCAAAGAGUACACUCUGAAGUCGGAUGGGGUGAAUGGCUUAGGGUCAGGGGAGAGCAGGAAAUUGCCUCGGGAAGGAGGCCACUGGUGAAGCUUAACCACCUGUAACAACAUCAACAACGCCCAACUGUAAGAGGGAUCAGCUCCCCUGGCAUCUCCCUGAGUACUCUUUGCCUGGUGUCACAUUGGUGCGAAUUGCUAGGAGGUGUGAAUUCCCCGGAUCGAAUCCGGUUGUGAACAUAGCGCACACCAGGCAUGAUGCAGCAUACUCUUACCCCUAAGGUGGAUGCCCGGGUGGGUGAGAAGUCUACCAGCUGAGUAAAAACAAAGUCCUCCAUCUCGGACGGGAACUGACGAAAUUCCACAAUAACAAACAUACUCACAAUCCUACGGGAUCUCAAACAACCUAAAAUCCCACGGGAUAUGCUCGGGGGCGCCUGAGGACGUUCACUCUAAGGGGGGAGGAAUGUAAGAGGGAUCAGCUCCCCUGACAUCUCCCUGAGUACUCUUUGCCUGGUGUCACACCAACCAGGCACCGGUGCCGGUCAGAGUUUCUUAGCUUAAACGCAGAUGCAGCUAACAACCACCUCUAUCGACAUGAGCACCGUUUAGACAUGGUUGGGCUCAUUGUGAAUGAUCAUCCAAGGGAGGCCUAGGCCUUUUUGCAACACAGCUGACAUUUGUCACCCGUAACUGUUCAGUAUUGCCACAUGACGAUGAAUGUGGUCGUCGACAUCUUAUCUUUAAACGGCCUCAAACAAUGGAAAAUGGAACCAAGAAACCGUGACAGGCUGCCAUCUGGUGUAGAUAAAGGCCUCUCGAGAUGCUGGACUGGUCGAAUGCUUUGUGUGUAUUUGUAGAUUAUAUGUGUGCCGUAAGUGUUUUCUUUUUCACUUUUGCCGGUUAAAUUUCCAGUCCGAACGGAGGAAUAUGUUUCUAGUCGCGGGAAUAAAAGUAUUCCGAAUCUGUAAGAUGCUUGGGGCGGGCUACACCCCCCCCCCGGGCCCCCCGAUGAGUUAUAGUUUAGUUCGUACAAACACGGAGGUUGGGGAAUGUCACAACACGUGCACACCACAAUUUCUCCAUAGAGGUGUCUCUUGCACGCCAGGAAGCGGCGCGCACUUGGACGCUUUGUCAGGAACCCCGAUUGCACGGGCGACUGCUGUUGCAGAACCCAAGCAAACACAGCUGUCUGCAGACCCGUUAACCCCUACUCAAGCACUGAUCGAAUAGAGUUCUUCACCAUCGUUCGUUUUGCAUCACGUUGAGAUAACACUAAAAGAUAACACUACACGACUUUCCAGAUCGCAAAAGUAAUGAUGCAUAGCAGCAAUGAACCAGAACCACCAAACGCAACCUCUGCCAUUGGUUGCAGCCCCUGCUGUUGAUGCUGCAUGCUAGUUAGUGGUUCAUCAUGUACCGGCCCCUGCUGUUGCUGGCCUUCCACUUCUCCAGUGCCGCCUCAAAGGGGAACACAUCCUCACAUUCGCUGUAAUGCACUGCGCCCAUGUAAACAUAGCUCCGAAGUACAGCUGCCACUUGAGGGGAUGCUUGUCCUUCUUCUCCAGCCACGUGCCAUAGCUCUGCCCCUUCACAACCCGCUGCAUCUCCGGUCGUGGCGUCUUUGCACCGCAGAGAGUGGGGUUAGGAGUCUUAGCUGUAGCGCCGGGGUCGCUGCAGCCAUCGACCACGACGGCCGUGUUUCCUGGCCCAUCGCGAUUGUAUCCAUAUGAAGAACGUUGACGUUUGGCCCGCUCACUGUCGACAACCAGAGUGGCAUCAUUGUCGUCUGCUGGCUGCAGCAUUGCGUCCACAUUGCCUACGACCUCUACACCGUCUUCAUUAAUGUCGCUUAUGGCUCCAGUGUAGUUUAAUAUCUGCUUUAAUGGCUUGCCACGCUUUGGGAGCUUCGGGUCCGAAUAUUUUGCAGUAUUUGGUCCGGUCAGAAACAGUCCGCCGCUGAUUCCUCGUUCACUUUCGGGCAUGACCUUCCUAACAGUAUCCAUGGCAUUAAAGUACUAUGAUAUUGUUAACAUAUAUGUCUGUAUGUCUCCAGUAAGAUUCUAGCGGCUUUGGCAUGGACAGUCCAUUUUUGGCUGAAGGAAUGAACUUGUACGGUCGGAACAAUAUCUAUUCUUUAUUUUCAGGACCGCGAACAAUUUUUAUUCCGAGUUCGGAAUAUAUUCCGCAAAAAAAGUUGCACUUAACAGCGAUAAGUGAUGCUGCGGUGGCCUGCAUGUGUGCAGUUCUAUCACCAGCUGCAGCUCUACCAGAACACGAGUCCUGUCCUGGUAAAGUAGCACUAUUUAGAGCUGUAAUCUAGUCACUUUAGGUCAUCAAUGAAGACUGUAAUCCUUACCUGUGGUAGGCGGUGGCGGGCUUUCUGGAGGUGGUGGCCAGAUGGUGCCUGCGAAUCAAAGGGGAUGACAACGACCACUAGUUACUGGUAGCUGUACAGCUACAUUGAUGAUCUUGAAGAUGUUCAAGAUAAUGGUUGAAAUGCAGGAGCAAAAGAAUUACAACAUACAGGGUGUUUCCACUUGGCCGAACACUAGUGUUCUAGCACUAGUACUAACACUAAGUUUGAAUGUUCUUCGUCCUGGACUCGUCUCUGGCUGUUCUAAAUGCAUAUAUUGAUACUACUAAUGAUAGUAGAAAAUAUUCAUCAAACAAAUCGGAGGUUGGGGCACUCCUGGCGGAGAACCGUAAGGCCUAGUGGAAACACCCAGUACACUAAGUCCACACUAGCGCACACUAAAGUUAAUUGGACCUCAGACCUGCCAUUAACUUUAGUACCUAGCACUAACUAUUUGGCGGGCAACUUUUAUGAGCUGGAUUGUCCCUUCUGACCAUAGACUUUAGACGUAAGCAGCUAUCUUUUUUCCUUCCUGCAAACGCCGCGUUGACUUGCGCACGCCCAACACCGACAGCCUCAGAACACCGCCAUUUUGCAAUGGAGCCCUCCUUCAAUAACUUUCAGCAAAAAUAUACCGCUAGUUUGCCUUCCUUCGCUGGCCGGACGUUGCCAAUGCACCAUGCGGACUUCAUGGCGGACAUCAUGAUGCAGGCUGCACCGCAGCGGACCUCAAAUACGCGAAUUCUUACAGACCUUGACAAUUAUCAGCAAUUAAUCCCUGGCGCUAAAACAUUCAAAAUACGAAAACAAUUUUGGUUUCGGCGCUCCUUAGUGCCGCUAGUGGAAACACCGUCACACUAGCACUACACUGAAACCCUAAGUCCACACUAGCACAUAGCGUACCGAAGAUAGUGUUCGGACAAGUGGAAACACCCUGAUAGCUAUAUACCAGGGCACUAUGUAGUAGCUAGCUGGCCACUGGCCGCUGGAAAGGCCUCUCGAGAUGUUAUAACCUAUUAUAACAUAAUUAGUUAAGACCUUCACGCAUAUAAUUUGUAGUCAAUAUGUGUGCAGUACUGUACCAGCUACUACACACUCGGUAUCUAUACGUCUGUAAAAUUGUGGAGUUUCAGGCCGGUCUAUUAAUAGACAAUAUUGUACCAUGGCACGCGUCAAUUGUGCAAUCUGUAUACCAACCGAUACAAUAAAUCUAUCAACAAUCUAUUCCUCAGUCCUUUUUAUUAUAUGAUUACGCUAUGCGUAGACCAUGAAACAUUUACCGAUGCAUUUAGGCGAUACAGAUUACAGAUGCUAACCAAGCAUUUGCUGCCCACACGCACCUGGAAUUUUUUGAAAAAAACAAACUGAUUCCAAGUACGUCAAUGGAUCCGCAGACGCCUUCAUCCAGCCGUUGACAUUGAAGCCUUGGCAUUCUGGCAACUUGGCACACUCGGUAGCGGCUGCUGCAGCGGAGCCAGGGUUGCCCAGGUCGUCCCCACCGUGGUCGGUGUCCGGAAAUGCAAUGUAGCCAUAAAAACUUGGACAUGCUGUGGAAUCGGGAAAGGGAAAGGUCAAAACAUUGCGUAUGACCCAUUUAGCUACCAAAAGGCAUAUGCAUUGCAAAACAUCAAUCGGCUUUGAUGGACAUCCCCGCACUCGUGCAGAACUUGUUACUUGCAAGUAACAAUUGUAACUUCUUACUAGUUCAAUGGAUGCUGUGUGUUUCUGCAUGCAUGAACUAUUAAGAUGUUACAAGUAACAAGAUCUGCACGAUGCAGGGAUGUCCAUAAAAGCUGGGGCCCUGUGGACGUACGGUAAAUCAUUUUUAGUGCGGUUAACGUUACAUGGUGCACCAUUUAACGCCCUCUAGAGGUCUAGGUGCAUGUGAGUUCAGCAUAUGAUGUGGCUUAUAGUGUGGGAGGGGGUAGGCGCAGUGUGUUCCCUAGCAUCUCAAGAGGCCUUUUCGGCGGCCAGCUAACACACAUAACAGCGGGCGCUGGCUGGGCCUUGAUUCUCAUGCCUUACAUGCCAUUCGGUAAGGGAACAAUAAUGGAUACCGCUGCUGAUACAACACGCAAUCCCUCUCAUGAUUGCCUUUGCCACUAGGUGUACGAUUGACAUGUAAGCAGCCUUGUCUCGCAGUUCAGGCGUCACUCUUCCAUGUCUACCGCUACCUUGUCUACCCUAUACAAGCAGAAACCUGCUGAUUGCCCAUUACUCUUCAUGUUAUAAAGUAAAGGUACAACAUGGAUUUUUCUUUGCACUUCUCUCAUGCCCAGCUUGUGAGCAGCCGUGCGGAGGAGUCAUAAUAUUAAGACCAUUAAUGCAUGGUCAUCAUAACACUAAUGCAAGGCAUAACUAUAAGAAGGGUUCAGCUCCCUUGGCAUCUCCCUUGAGUACUCUUUGCCUGGUGUUACAUUGGUGCGAAUUAAAAGGUGGGAAUUUCCCGGACCGAAUCCGGUUACAAACAUAGCGCAUUCCAGAUGCAGCACACUCUUACCCCAAAGGUGGAUGCCAGUAAAGUCUACCAGCUGAUCACUCAUGCGUGAAUGUCAUAAUAGCAAAGAAACUCACAAUCCUACGGGAUCUCAAACAACCUUAAUCCUACGGGAUAUGCCCGGGGGCGCUCGAGGACGUUCCCUCGAGGGUGGGAAGAAUGUAAGAAGGGUUCAGCUCCCUUAGCAUCUCCAUGCAUGGAGAUGCAAAGAGUACUCAUAUGAGUACUCUUUUGCCUGGUGUUACAAUAACUGGAAUCUGCUGUUUUCUGCCGAUUGUUGUCUGAUGCUGUCAAUAAAAUUUUUAAUUAUCUAUAUGUGGUGUCUUAAUAAAAUGGAAAGGAACGCUUAAUAUACCAGACGGUCAAACCUUUUCCAGAUGAGUGCUGCCAAAAACUGGACAUUCGGCUUGCAAGCCUCAAUUGAGAAGGCUGGGCAGUAGUAAAAUGAGGCAUGCACCCCACGUGCAGGGUGAGCAGGGAGGCAUGCCUCCUGCAUGCGCAUGCAUGCAGGACAGGCUUGCAACGGGCGGGAAAGACAUGUGUGUGUAUGCCCAUGCAGGAAGGCAUGAUAUAUGUGCAUUGGCAACGAGGCAGGCAUGUGUGUGUNNNNNNNNNNNNNNNNNNNNNNNNNNNNNNNNNNNNNNNNNNNNNNNNNNCACACACAUGCCUGAUCUGAGGCGUGAUGAGGCAGGCCCGCCUCAUCGCAUACACCUAGGUGUAUGUGAGAUGGGCAUGACAUGUAUGCAUGUAAUGUAAUGUAAUGUAAUGCAUUACAUUACAUAUGACCUUGACAUAUGUCAAGGUAGGUGAGGCAGUUGUAUGCUUACAUUACAUUACAUGCAUGCAUAUGUGUCAAGGUAGGUGAGGCAGUUGUACAUGCAUGCACAGGCGUAGAUAGAUGAAGCAGAUGUGGGUGGAGGAAGGUGCAUGAGAUGGGUAUGCAUAGGGGCAAGCUUCUUUGGGCGCAUUUAUGGAAGCCUGGACUAUAUUCUCUCCCAUGUCUCCAAGUAGGGAGAGUAGGAUACUACUAGUAGUACCCUUUCCCAGGGUAAGGUUGCACACCCGCCGUCCUGCUUCAGACAUGCCCGUGUUGCCACCUCCCUUUACCUGGUUAACUCCCUACCCCUGGGUGGGCUUACUGACCCCGGGGUCAGUAACGAGGAGCCCCUCGUUACUACAGGGGUUCAGAGGCCUCUCUCCCUAGGAUCCUAAGAGGCUUCACCGCCCUAGGGCGCCCUAGGCACUAAAAGGCCUUAAGAAGCUUCUAGUGCCACGGCCGUUGGAUGGCAGGCCACGCAAGCAAGCCAAGAGUACUAGUGUGGGGAAGAAGGGCUUGGAGAAAUUUGCUAGCUAGUUGCCUGCCCACACGAACGUAUAAGAGCAUCCCAAUGAAUAAAAGAGAAUCCAUAAGACUUCUGGGCCAUGAAGAAUGCUAAAGAAAAUUAAAGAAUGGUUUUAAGAUAAACGGAGGUCAUACGAACGUUCUUAGAACGGUCAAAGAACUUUUGGUUAUCCAAAUUUGGCUGGGCUAAGACUGACUUAAGAACGUUCUUAAACCGCCUCCGUGUUCGUAGGGACAUGUGUGUACAUAUGUGCAUGUAUUCAGUAUGCACCUGGCUAAACACAGACAUAGGCAUUCCACUGUGCUCCCUUUGCUUCAAGAAAGUGUACAUGUACAUGUAGUAGCUGGCCACUGAAAAGGCCGCUAGCUAUGAUGCGGGGGGAGCAACUUAGCGCGUAGUUAACGUUACAGAAGAUAUGUGUGCCGUACUAUGUACAGCUACUACAUUCCUCUCCCGCUGAGAUGACAUGCCCCGAAUAGCCCCGACUAGUCGGCUAGUCGGGGCUAUAGUACUAUAGCUCGUAGUCAUAUAUAUGCUGGGGGAAUGUUAAUAUUCCCCCAUCCCCCGACUACAACACCUGAAUUUUAAGGUGUUGUACCCUAGGUACAUAUCCUGAUUAUUAGUCAUGUUAACAUUGGCAUGUGUGCCCACAUUAUCAGAACACGAGUCCUGUCCUGGCAAGGUAGCAUGUUUUAGAGCUGUAUUCCAGUCACGCUAGGUCAUCGCUGACUGUAAUCCUUACCUGCGGUAGGUGGUGGCGGGCUUCCUGGAGGUGUCGGGGUUUCUGGAGGUGGUGACCAGAUUGUGCCUGUGAAUCGAAGAGACAACGAGCAUCACUGGUAGCUGGUCAAAGAUAGUGAUUAAAUACAGGGGCAAAAGAAAUACAAUGUAGUAGCUACUGGCUAAGACUGCAUCGUGUGAACAUCCACUUAUAUCAGUGCAUGUUAUACCGUACUGCUAUUGUACAUUCCUGAUAUUCAUAUACUGCCAUAGGGUACCCGCGGGUUAUACCCCGUCUGUAAAAGUUUUCAUAUGAAAACUUUUACAGAUGAUGCAUCACUCAUCUUUUGACCAUCUAUUUUCAGGCCUACCUAAUGCACCGUGGCACGUUCUAUAUAUCAUCCUUUACAAUGAAUUUAUAUAUGUUUUGUUUAUUCCUCUGUCCUGUCUAUUCACUGGAUCCGGAUCCAGUGUCUUCCAAGACACUCUUCCGGAAUUCCGGAAUUCCGGAUCCGUUCAGAUUUGGGCGUGCAUAUGCACGAAGCGUACUUAAGUACCCUGUCGCACUUAAUCGACCCAUUCUUUAAUUCUGUAUCGAGGAUUUAAAAUUGCAAAGCAUACUUGCUUCCGACGCUCUAGACGCACCGGUUGUACGUGUACGAGUGUGCUUGCACACUCCAGAUCCGGAGUGUGCAACUCCGGAGUGUGCAGGAUCCUGCGGCCUUAGGUGGGGCAGCAUGCCAUAUCUGGCUCCUAUCCCUAGACAGCCCCUAUGGCAGUCCGGAGACGUGUAACUCGUCAGGCUCAGUAGCUACGGGGCAGUUGUCUGGACAGCUGUCCAGACCUGACAGCUGUCCAGACAACUGCCUGCAGGUUAUAAUUAUAACCUGGUGAGUAAUUACUCACCAGCUAGAAGCUUGGUUAAUGUGAAACCUUGGAAGUGUGAUAAUUAGGCACAGAUAUGCCCGCUGAAUGUGUCAAAAGUUAUGAUGAGGUUAGUUAAAAUGUUUGCCAGCCAAUAUGAGCGCAGGGAGACAUUGUUUGUCCUGACGACCUGCUCUCUACCUACGGCCAUUUGGCAGUCCGGAGACGUGUAGCGCCAAGGCUCAGCAGCUACGGGACAGUUGUCUGGAUGAGGUUACUGUAGAUGUGCAGCCCCGAAAGCACAAUGGAAAGCAUGAAUAUAACUGGUGAAUGCAUCAUAAGUGAGGUUUAUAAACCUAAUUAGGUGUUUGCCACCUGUAUUGGUGCUCCAAUGUACGGCUUUGGCUAUUAUGGCUUCAAUGUCCUCUCCAUCAAACAAAUAUCUUCAUUAUGAAAGAACAAAGCACGUAGCCAUGACUCCCAACUCAGUCGAGCACGAUAUGGGCCAAAUAUUGUCGCUAAUCGGAACCGCUUUAAGUAAGAAGGUAUUCAGAACAGCUUCAAUUGGGAUAAGGGACUUGUGUUAUCUUUUAGUAUGCCUUGUAGUAACAUCUAAAUAGAACUCACCGCCACUCACUGUCGCUAAACUAACAUUAGUUAUUCCUGGCUGACGUCCAGCCGGGAAUGGAGGCGGGUGGCCACCGUGAGGAGGAAUUGGGCUCGCUUGGAGAGGUGAGUUGGAAGGGAGGGUCGGUGCUCGUAUGUGUUUUAUGUGGGGCGUUAAAACACUGUCGUCUCCGAUAUGGCUAUCGGAGUACGGCAGAUUUGUUUUAUGUAGGCAGGUGGGGGUGGGCCACAUAUGUGUCAGGGUUGUUUUUCUUUGUGGAUUCGUUACCCGUUGCCCUCUUUCUUGUUCCUGAUGCUAUGGAGGGUGGCUGGGGCUGGUUGGGGGGGGGGGCGUGUAUGUUUCGCCUCCGUCAUUGACGUGCCUGCCCUAAUUGUCAAGUUCCAUACACGUGCUGCACGUGCAGCAGGCCUCGGAAGGUGGGGCCGACGUCCAGCCGGGAAUGGAGGUAAGAUGGGAGGGAGGGUCGGGGCUGUUAUGUGUUUUAUGUGGGGCGUCAAAAAGCUGUCGUACUCCGAUAUGUCUAUCGGAACACGGCAGAUUCGUUUUAUGUAGGCAGGUGGGAGUGGGCCACAUAUGUGCCAGUGUUGUUUUUCUUUGUGAAUUCGUUACCCGUUGCCCUCUUUCUUGUUCCUGAUGCUAUGGAGGGGCUGGUUGGGGGAGGGGGGCGUGUAUGUUUUGCCGCCGUCAUUGACGUGCCUGCCCUAAUUUGUCAUGUGUAUAUGUAAAAUUAUGAAUCCACUCAUACAAGGUCUAUCCCUAUCCCUAUGGCAGCCUGGCUGGGAGCUAUGGACCUCCCCCUAGCAACUGGAUUAGUAGCUCCUGAGACGGGUUGCUUCCACNNNNNNNNNNNNNNNNNNNNNNNNNNNNNNNNNNNNNNNNNNNNNNNNNNGUCUCAGGAGCUACUAGUCCAGUUGCUAGGGGGGCCCGUAGCUCCCAGUUUGGCUGCCAUAGGGGCAGCUUACAACCACUAGUUUAAAUCUUAAGCUUGUAGUACAAGCUUAAGCUUGUAGUACAAGCUUAAGCUUGUGGAAGAAUUUAUAAAUUAUGCAUAAUUAUGCUUUACACGUAGAGCUCAUUUUCACACCCAAAUGCUAAAUGCACACCACUUUGCCCUCAUUAGGGCUUAUAAUGGUUCUCAUAAAAUUCCAAAUGCGCUUGCGGCCAUGAAAACACUGCGGUGGCAUCAUGAUAAUCCUCACAUGCAGCACGGGUGGGGGUUGGAUGGUGAGUGAUGGCUGGCUUCUAUGGUCACAAUGGAACAUUCUAUGUCAUAUGAGAUUACGCUUUUAGCUACCGUAGCGAACGAUGGUGACCAUCGUUUAUACUAUAAGAAUAGGAUGCGAUGUUAAUUCCUGCACGGGAAAUGACAGUGAUAUAUCACGUAUAUACGUGGACAGGGUGGCCACCCUGGGGAUAGCUUGUGAAUCCCCAUGGGGAUAGCUUGUGAAGAGGUUCUGUCAGGCUGUUCGGUGGUCCCCUUCGGUGGUCACCCUUCGGUGGUCCGCUGUUCCUACCUCUUUCAGAUCUAGAGUAAGAAAGAAGCUCAAAAAGUCCAAAUCCGGACGAACUUCUGUCCUCCAGUGAUUAUACGAUGCCCCUGUCUAUAGGUGAGGACAAAUUUUACCGGUAAUUUUACCAGUACCAAUGGUAGCGUUUGAUGUGCACACGCACCUGGAAUUUUUUUAAAAAAACAAACUGAUUCCAAGUACGUCAAUGGAUCCGCAGACGCCUUCAUCCAGCCGUUGACAUUGAAGCCUUGGCAUUCUGGCAACUUGGCACACUCGGUAGCGGCUGCUGCAGCGGAGCCAGGGUUGCCCAGGUCGUCCCCACCGUGGUCGGUGUCCGGAAAUGCAAUGUAGCCAUAAAACCUUGGACAUGCUGUGAAGUCGGGAAAGGCCGAGGACAAAAAUUGGUUCGAUUAUUGUGUAUCUAUGGCAUGCAUGCCCGGCAUAUCUGUUGUGCAUCUCUGUGGGAAAGAGGACCAAUUGGUCCUCCCAGUUGCAACUGGGGGGGGGGGAAAUUGUUGAAUGUCUUCUGGCUGCCGUACUUUACUUUCCCAAGAAGCCUCAAAUUGUAGCUGUAGUACAGUAUAGCACACACCAUCAAGCAUAGAUUUGUGAUAAAGUGCAUUCCCAGCAUCUCAUGAUCGCAAGCAGAGCAAGGCUUUUCCGGCACCCAGUGGCUGCAGCCACGUGGCUGCACUGCCCCGACAGUGCACUGCCCCGACAAUGCCUUGUCCUAAGCUGCCUGCAUACUGCGGGUUUAAACCCGCAGUAUGCAGACAGCUUAAUUUAAAAAUUAAGGUUUAAACCCGCAGUAUGCAGACAGCUUAUUUGCUACACAUGUGAACCAUAUCCAUCAUUGUGGACGUUCAUGUGUAGAACCAAAACGUUUCGGGGCGAGGUGUGGCCGUGUCAAGGAUGGACAUAUAUCCAGCGAGAAGUUGAAAGGAGGCGGCCGGAUCCGGAGGCGCCCGCUGUGAAGGUGUGGAGGGUGCGAAGGUGCUAAGAGCUCUUAGGGUGUACUUGCAUGGAUGUUGGUUGGUGGUCCACCUUACUGCGGGAUGCUCUGGGUAUUUCAAAUUUGACUGAGAAAUGCAUAAUAAUAUGUAUUUCAUUUUUUAUUUGGCAUUAAUGCCAAAAGCGUGGCAUGAUCUCUGCAUCCAUCGAUCAGGUUUUUUGGGCGGGGCCCCAGCAUGAAGCGCCCAGCUGGGGGGCCCCGACCUGUAGGAUUGUCCAUAUGGACAUGCAUGUCCGUGUGGCUGUGUGGUGUUGUGGCCGUGUGGCCAUGCACGGCCGUUAGGCCAGUUAAUCUCUAACUCCCAACAGCAUAACCGGAAACACAUAAACACUUGAUGCACUCACAUGAUUGCACCACGUGCACCUGCAGGCUUUGUGACUGUGGGGCAGUUGAAGACAAAUACAUGUUUUUGGGCAGGGCCGCAGCAUGAAGCGCUUCGUGCUGGGGCGUUAGCUGGAGCGCUAGCGCCCAGGGGGGCCCCUGUAGGAUUGCCCAUGCCCAUGUGGCCGUGUGGCUGUGUAUAACAGACCAAACAUAAUAUAUAGCCGUCUGAAACACGUUAUUGGUAAUAACUAGAGAUCGAUACCUUGCAAUAGCGGAUGCAAUUUAUUACCAAUAACGCGUUUCAGACGGCGAUAUAUUAUGUUUGGUCUGUUAUACACGGCCACACGGCCACACGGCCACAUGGGAGUGCCUCCAUUAAACCGUCGGCAUGCCAUAAGGCAGGUAGGGAGGCACGCUCCCUUCACGGACCCCCUGUCUUGCAUGUACGUACAUGCAGGUAGGAUACAUAUAUGUAGGGUACAUGUAGGUUAUAUGUAGGGUACAUAUAUAUAGGGUAUAUACCCUACCGUCUAGGCAUGCCUGUGGGCCUAAAUCCCCAUCUGCAUGCUCGUCCUUAAUCCCACCACGCAUAGUGCAUUCCAAUGCAAUGACGAAAUUCCGUCACCACAUUAAUAAAGUACCAUUCCACAACAGUAUGUAACUAAGCAGGCCAUAAUAACACACGCUGAAGAUCACUGACGGGAACUUUCGAAACUUUAUUGAAUUCAAUAAAGCAAACCUUGUGUCUGCAUGCACAUGCGCGCAUGCGCAUGCAUGCAGAUGCACCUAGUCUGCCGGGCCAUGUAAUGCAGCUGACGUGAGGGUGAUAGCUGUGUCUGCUGCGAUAAAAAAUGCAUCGGGUUGGUGUGCAAAGAGAGCAUGCACAGGAUAUUCUCCUUGGGCAGAUCUGCCCUCUAGAGGUAUACCUCUACGUAGACACACCUUCAGUUGGUGGCGGCAGUGCAUCACCUGCAUUCAUUCAUGUUCAAUCCGGAACAGCAUGCAUGCAUGGCUUGUCAUAAUAACGCAGGAAUAUGGGUUGGCCUGGCAAGAAGGUCUUUAGCCUCUGUGCGUGUGCGGUCGAUAAGCCGUUCAUCGUAUCUGCUUAUCUAGCGAGUCGAAGUGAAGAGUCUCUUGCGACGUCUGAGGGCCCCACCACCCUGCCUCAAGCAAGGCUUAGCAAAGCCCCAACUAUAGGAGUGAAGAUGUGUGGAUAUGAAAAUGAAAAUGGCAUGAGUCAGGUAUGGUAGCUUGCCACAUACUAGCACGCGUAUGUACGGAGCGGACGAACUUCAUGACCCUAGACGGCUCGCUUUACGUUCUCGGUUAAAAUGGAAAACAAAAAAUAAGUCGGACCAUAUUAUAUUAAGCAAGUAAAGGCGCCUGCUGCGCUAUAGCAGACGUGCGCUAGCGUGUUGUUAGAUAGCUAGCCGCCUGUCUGGAAGGUAAACUUUGCAGGCGCUAAUCCCUAACCAAUGCAUACAUAACAACACAUGCAACGAUAAGACUGGGCUAUUUCCAAUUUCAGCUCAUGCUUAUGCCCCGCAUAAAACUUACUAUCAUAAUAUUGAGCACCGGCCACUGCGAACAAAAUUACGAGGAUAGAACAGAGCAAUAUUGCAAGAUAGCGUCUGUUGAAACCACCCUUUGGCCUGCGCAUGCACUGCCACCGCUGCUGGUGCGCCAGAUCCAUUGUAACUUGGUCAUACAUUACUUGUGGGCAUAUAAUAGCAUAAUUUGUUUCUGUUGCAAUGUCGCACAACACAUAAGGAAAUGUACAUGCGGUAAAUGUUAGUUGCCUUCAAUUUAACGUUUCAUAGUACGCCUGAUCUACCAUACAGCAUCAACACUUAAAUUAUUUAUAAACCCUAUUUCAUCGCUCUGAUAAACAAGGCUCAUAUACGUGCGUAAAAUCCUUAUUAGUAUAUUAACUGGGUAACCAUGCUUCCAUUUUCCAAGUGAAAACUGAUAUUCCCGUAUUCCCAGACUUUCCGGAAAUGUCUGGGAUUCCAGACAUGCACUCGAAGGAGUCCCCCACAGCAAAUACGUUUCUGUACCCGUUGUGACAUAGGAUGGAAAUGGACAAAUAUAAUUCAAUCCAAACGUUAGGAUGGCCUGAUUUGCUGGNNGNGCGGGGCGGGACCGCAUGUCAGCAAAUCAGGCCAUCCUAACGUUUGGAUUGAAAUAUAUUUACAUGCAUGUAAAUGGUGACCAUUCAGGCCAUGCAAAUGCCGGUUGUUUUCUAUUCUGUCCAUAACUAUUCUGCUCUGAGCUUCGGCCUUUUAGAAGUUUUGAAACGACCGUUGUUCAACCCAGCAAUAAGUUGAUGUGCCACAUCAGUGCCUCGAGUAAGCCCAAAGCUUAGCCCCACCUGUAAGAAGGGUUCAGCUCCCUUGGCAGUACCGUAGUGCUACUUAUAGUUUGUGAUCGCUUUGUUCGGGGAGGGGUCAAAAAACUUUCUGAAAUUUGUAAGUGCUCUUUGAAUUUCGGGGAAGGCUGGACCAGAUUUUGCGGGCAUGAUACAAAUUUCGGGGCCCCUUCCAAAGUUUCGGGGCUUUUCAAACUGCAGCUUCUAGUCAGUCUCCCUCCCUUAGGCUCAUGGUCUCUCACCAUUUUCGCACUUUGGAAACGCCCUAGCAAAUCCUGGACCGAUCGUACAGUUCAGUACCAGUGGUAACGACCUAAUAACCAACCGGCCGGGCCAAUACAGUGUUUGGGUGGUUGCUACUGAAACGUGUCUUCAUGUGGCUGAAACCCCGACAUAAAAGGCAUUACGACGCAGCUGGAUGCACCAAACAGGAACCCUCACCCCUCACCUCGCAUGAUGCUCAUUUGGUAGCGCUGCGGCGGAACCCUGAUCUGCUGCGAACAGCAUUCACCAGCGCCUGGACCUCGCCCUCAUCCUCCAGCGUUGUUCAUGUCCUACGUUUAUGACUAUAUUUUAUGUAUUUAAGAGCUGAUUUCCGCCUUGAAAUCCUAGUUUUUGCGAAGUUUGAUCGACGGGCUUCGGAGGGUACGAUAUUUCGGGGCUGUGGUCCCUUGGGAUACCUUAGAAUUUGUACGUGCGACAUAUUCGUGGUGCCUCCCGAAUUAUUGUAGCACGAACUAUAAGUAGCACUACGGUACGCUUUGCCUGGUGUUACAUGGGUGUGAAUCGCUGGGAGGUGGGAACUUCCCGGAUCAAAUCCGGAUGCGAACAUCUCCCACACCAGGCACGAUUAUACUCUUAUACUCUUACCCCAAAGGUGGAUGCCCGGGUGGGCGAAAAGCCUACCAGCUGAGUAAAAACAAAAUCCUCCAUCUCUGACGGGGACUGACGAAAUGUCACAAUGACAAGUUGGGUGUCGGCUUCAAGGAAGCCGGAAAAAGGGCGGGGUCCCUCUGCAUCCGUACAGGCAGGUAGCAAUCGACAUCCAGGUGCAUGCCGCAUGGACAUUCGGGUGCAUGCCGCAUCGCAUGGACAGUACGGCAGACCGCAAACGGAGCCAUUGCUUAACAUAUGAAGUCCGGUGCUGUCUGUGAUGUUUAGGUCUUGAAGCACCAGCGGCUACAGGAAAGCACCCCACUGCCGCAUGGCUUUGUAAUAAUUAAACAGAUAAGUAAGAGCGGCAGAGUGCAACUCUUCGGAGGCCCCGUGCAUUGGCCAAAGUAAAUGUACAAACAAGCAGCUUGUGUAUUUCAUAGAGAAAUGAAAGCAAAUUUGUUGGCCUGCUGGUGGCAAUGUUGUAUCCUGUAAAGGUUUUCUGCAACGGUUUGGGCGCCGAAUCCUAACUGUCGGUGGUUAUCUCGUCCACUCCGAUUUACCGAACUUCAAUGUUACUAACACCCAUCAAUUCCGCUGUCGGUGGUUACAGGUUUUAACUAAUACUGCUAUUAGUUUAAUUGCGGCUACUGUUAGCUGCGGCGGCUACGAUUAGUCUACUGCUGUUAGUCGUCCGCCACAUUAAUGCCGCACCGCUGCGGAAGUCCAUGGGCGCCGGCGGCUAAAGCGACUACUGUUAGUCGUCCGCCAUUCAAGUGCCGCACUGCUGCGGAAGUCCAUGGGCGCCGGCGGCUAAAGCGACUACUGUUAGUCGUCCGCCAUUCAAGUGCCGCACUGCUGUGGAAGUCCAUGGGCGCCGGCGGCUAAAGCGACUACUGUUAGUCGUCCACCGUUCAAAUGCCGCACCGUUGCGGAGGUCCAUAGCAGGGUUAGACAGGACCUUCCUAAAAUGGUCGGGUUGCCGGUUUUCCCCUUCCCAUGCCCGUUGGCCCCGCCCGAUAGCGUUUUUGCAUAUCUUUCAAUUUCUGUCGCGAUCGGGUGCCCCGAUAGCCCAUCCCAAAACCUGUCGGGUGACGCAAGAACGAAAUUUCGCUGUGUGCCGCUUGAAAUUACAUUUAUUCGUAUUUUAUAUGCGCAGUUUCCAGUUCUCAGUUUGCAGUUCACAGUUAUGAUAUGCACGAACAAACACACACACAGCAACACAUGCACGCCUGCACGUCUGCCUGUGAGCAUCACAACCCGAGCUCUUCAAGGAGACCCUUAGACACCGUAGGACUGGAGAGGAACAUCUCCCCCUCAUCGGCAACCUCACUGCCAGACUCACUGGACAGUUCUGGAUCCCCAUCACUCAUAAAUGCCUCGCUGGCCUCCUCUUCGUCAUCUUCCCCCUCAUCAGCCGGCUCCUCAUCGCUCUCAACAUCACUAUCCAAGCAUGGCACUGUAGUGCGUGAAACCCCCAUACGAUCGAGCAGGUUCAGCUUGGGAAAGCUGUUUUGGUAAAGCCCACAGACUUACAGGACGAGGCAGCAAAUGUUCGAAAGGGCAAUGUAAAGCUGCAUAUGGUCUUUGUAUUAAUUGAAAAUCACCAAUCCAGUAGCAAAGGAUAAUCCGGGCUGGGAUUGAGCGGCGGCCAUCACCAAUCCCUGUACGUUUGGGAUCCAGGUCGGGUGCCGGACUGCCUAACUCGCAGAAAAGCACACAUAAAGCAAUAUUUCCUGCCAAACUUUACAUUAUAUAGUCAUUACAUUAUUAAAUUAUUACUUGGUCAGCAAGAGUUGCAUCAUGGCAGGAAGGCAGCGCACAAUGUUUGACUUCGCACCGAAGCUGCCCAAGGAUGCGCCAGUGGAUGAGCGUCUGGGGGUCCAGCCUACUAGAAUCGACCCUGAAAUCGUUGCGGCCCAGACUGCUCGCGACGAGGCGGCGAAGGCUGCGAUGCAAGCGCAGAUUGACUCGGCCGCGGAAGCAGACGCCAUCGCUGCCAUUGAGAAGCAACUGGAGCCAGAUGCAGCACAGCUUGGUCGUCCUGCGGGCUCGGCUGCUCAGGCAGCAACUCCGUUGCUGGAGUCUCUCAGGCUCGCGAACGGUGCGGUUAGCGCUGCACGUCUGGCCCCUCCCGCUCGCCCCCGAGUGUCUGGCCCCCGUGGCAACUACCACAUUUUCUCGCACAACGAUAAGCAGACGGUCGUCAACAAGGUCAAGUACCUGACCGGCCACGUGAGUGGAAGCGUUGCAAGGGAGGGAUUCCAACUAUUCAUAUCUCAUCCGCCUGUCAGGAUGUGAAGAAGCCCAAGAUCCAGAGCGCCAUCAACACCCUGUACAAUGAGGCUCCUCACCUGUUCAGUGAGAAGGACCGGCCUCUUGCAUGGCAGACCGUCAAAAACUGGUGGUUUCAGUGGCUCGAGGACAAGACGGUUUUUACCCGCGCUAAGCAGCUGGGCGGGAGGGCUUUCAAAUCAACCAUUCCUGCAGAGGUGAUGGUCCUCACCAAGACGGCCAUCCAGGACAUGGUCGCCAGCGGCUGCCAGGUGUGCUUACUUCACUUAGGAGCCCCAGAUGUACUUCGUAGAGUUCCUUGCAAGCCCAGGAGGGCCGUUUGAUGUACGUUACCGCCUGUCAUCCCCUCAUCCCAUGCUUUUCAGGCCAAUUCCUCAACCAUGCGGCCCUACAUCGUCGCCACCCUCAAGGCAGAGGGCUACGGCAGCAUUCUGGAGGAGUAUGGUGGCACAUUUCGCUGCAGCGCUUCCUGGAUUCGCAAGGUCUGCAAGAAGCUCAGGCUUUCCCACCGUGCCGCUACCUGCACGGCACAGAAGCUUCCGCCCAACGCCCAGGAGCUGCUCAAGCUCUUCGUGGACCAGGUAGGCCUGGGCACGUUCAAUCAGGCUGGGGAAAUUCCGGUCUUGUAGAGCUGAUUAUGAGAAGUGAUCUACAAGAUGACGCCGCUACCUCAUUUACCACGCCUCAAUCGUAAACCCAAUCCCUCUACUGUGUGUUCAGGUUGCUUGGCUGGUCGGUGAGAAGAAAAUCCCGCCGGCCCUCGUCAUCAACGCCGACCAGACAGGCGCCAACCUCUUCCCCGUCAGCUACCGCACCUACGCUGCCAUUGGUGCUAAGCAGGUCCGGCAGCUGGGGCUGGACGACAAGCGCCAGAUCAUGGCCAUGAUUGCCGUGUCUGCGGCCGGGGAUAUGCUGCCGCUCAAGGUCAUCUUCCAGGUAAAACAAGCGGUUGGGAAGUGUUAACAUGUCUUAGACAGCAGGCACAUAGCAUCCGUAUAGGUACGUAACACUUUUUAUACUGUACCCCAUUUUUUGUAGGGGAAGACCGAGCGCGCCCUGCCAUCAGGCCCUUCCAUGGAGGCGGCCCAGCAAGAGCAGUUCCUCGUCACCUAUUCGGACAACCACUGGGCCAACAAGACGACCAUGCGGGCCUGGGUCGCUCGCGUCCUGCAGCCCUACAUGGAGCGCAUAAAACGGGAGCUGCAGCUGCCUGCGGACCACCCUUGGCUGCUGAUCAUCGACUGCUGGGGUGUGCACCUCACGGAGGAGUUCCAGGUAUGGUUUUGUGGCAUGCACCGUACAGCAUUCCAACCGGACUUACCCAUACCUACCCGUACCCUAUCCCUUUAUGCACUUGCCUGCAGGCAUUCGUCAAGGCGCAGUGCCCUGGGGCCUACAUCAAGUACGUGCCGGCCAACUGCACCUCGAUAGCACUGCCGUGCGAUGUCGGCAUCAACAAGCCGUUUAAGGAUGCACUGCACCGAUCGGCAACCAUGAAGGUCAUCGACACUGUCCGGAAGCUGAAGGACAAGGGUGUGGCGCCCAAGGACAUCAGCAGCAGCCUUCGCAUGUCCCGCCUGAAGCCCCUCACCCUUCUUUUCCUCGUCAAGGCAUACAAGCACAUCAAGUCGCGGCCCAGUGCUGUGAAGGGUGCAUUCGAGCGCUGCGGCCUGCUUGCAGCCUUUACAGCUGAGCGACAGCUGGAGGCCAUGCGGCUGGAGCGUGAUGGAAAGCUCUUCCCGCCAGCUCCAAGCAAGAAGCAGGCGGUGGCUGAGGCAAGCACCGAGCGGCUCAUGCCUGGCCUCGGUAAUGCUCUGGCUGCCCCAAGCACCAGCGAUGAGGACGCUGGGCAGCCUGCUUUAGAUGAGGCCCCGCUCAGCAACCUGCCAUACGACGACGUGGACGACGAUGUCGCUCUGCAGCAGCUGCUGACACACGUGCAACGGCUGCAGGACGAGUCUGAGCAGGGGGAUCUGGCUGCAGCAGCCACGGGGGCAUCGGACGACGAUGAGGGCUGUGCAGACCUCUUGUUCGAGCCCAGCCCAGCCAAGAAGCCCAGGACUGAGGCUGGUGCCAAGAAGCAGCGUGCAAAAAAGCAGCCAGCCAAGCAGCGCACAACCAAGGAGGGCGCUGGAGCAAAGCGCGUUGUUGCCACUGUCUGCACACUGGAUGGGGCUGAGUCCGAGAGCGAGGUGGAACUGAGCGAUAUCCCGUCCGACGACUCGGACACGGAGGAGGGGAGCGGGGAUGAGGAGGAGGUGGUCGAGCUGUGAAAGGUGCAGUCCAUUGCACUGAACCGCGGCCGCAGGACACCAGCUAGGCCGAACCGGUUCGGCUAGACAAACUGUGCAUGAGUUUAAGGGUCACUUUGCUGUAUGCGACGGCGUGCAUCUAGAAACGUUUCAAUGCUUCAUUUGGGAGCUUCGGGUCCAAAUGUUUUGCAGCGUUUGGUCCGGUCAGAAACAGUCCGAUUCCUCGUUGACUUCCGGGCGAGAGCUUCCUAACAGUAUCCAUGGCAUUAAAGUACUAUGAUAUGGGUAACAUGUAUGUCUCCUGUAAGAUUCUAGCGGCUUUGGCAUGGACAGUCCAAUUUUGGCUGGAGGAAUGAACUUGUACGGUUGGAACAUUAUUUAUUCUUAACUUUCAGGACCACGAACAUUUUUUCAUUCCGAAAUCGGAAUAUAUUCCGCAAAACAAUAACGCUGGGGGCAGUCCGGUUGGCGGCUUUCACCAAUUCGGUGGCAAUGGGAAAAAGUGGACGGGGUAACACCAAACCGUAUCACCAAUUCAGCUGCAGCUGGAAAGAUUAAUUCUAGAAGCGUUUUUUACUUUCACCAAUCCAGAAAUCACCAAUCGGCCAUAGCAUUACGGUACAUUACAUAUUUCCAUCCAGUUAUAUUUUUAUGAAUGCCAUUAUGUAUCGCUGUAGCUGUCUGUCGCUGAAGGGCCCACCGAUGACCCACGGCACCCGAUCAGGUGGUCCUAGCGCCCCUACCCAUGUCGGGUCCCCCGACGGGGGCCCUCCGGGCCCCGACGGGGGCUCCCGAUGGCCGUUUGGCAUUUUCCCCCCUUUUUCGUCGGGUCCGCCCGAAAGCAUUUUCAAAGCCUGUCGGGAUUUUCAGGACAAGUGCCAUUCCUGUCGGGCUGUCUCACCCUGGUCCAUAGGCGCAGGCGGCUAAAGCGACUACUGUUAGUCGUCCGCCACCUUAAUGCCGCACCGCUGCGGAAGUCCAUACCUGCGUAUGGGCGGGGGUUUUGCCUACGUAAAGCUGGGACCUGCGUCCCAGUUUCGUCUGACUGAGCGAGAGUAGUUCCUGUGAACUAUGGCUUCUGGAUACCGCGCUGCCCAGUCGUACUGGGGAUUCUUAUCGGCGCGAGGCCCAAGUGGAGCCACUGAUGACUACUUAAUCAAGACACUUGUCUCAAUCCGUAUCUUUCAAUGCUCCCAUUAUGUGGUUGUGUCGUCUGAAGCCUACAACAAAUCUGGUAUCGAGACAGGUUCCUUAUAGCCAGUUCACAUGCUACGUUACGUUAAGACUUUUUGGGAAAAGUGGUCGGUUCGGACAUGGUAAACGGUACGUUACGGGUAACGGUACGUUACCGGUAAAGUGCCCUCCCCCCCCUCCCGGAGUGCCUAUGCCCCGGAGUGGAAGUUGGCUAAAUAGGGGGGUCCUUGUGAAGCAGCUGCCCGCGUUUCCAAGGCACGUAUGGUGUUGGAUUGUAAGGUGCCCAAGUACGUUUGCGAGGAAGAGAAUGUGGCCAGGCUGGAGAGGAAAAUGCAGUGGCAUAUUGGAAUGUGAGAUUAGCGAACAUCAGCAUAGGUCCAAGCCCUCUCGCUUGGAGGGAUAUGCAAACAAACAUCCUGAUAGUUGUAAACUCGCACGCUACCUAGCAUUCAACCGAGCACAUGCAUGCAUAGUUGAAUGGUGAGAUGCGACCCCCCCUUCAUUUCGCGGUCGGCAAGCCAGCCACCGCGUACCAGAUAUGUUGGCGAUGUCAAAGAGACGCUGCACCUCGGUACCUGUGCACAAUGCGUACACUGCUCGACCGUGCCGACCAAAACUACAUGUUCCCAUCUGAAGACAAUCCCCGUGGUUCUUCAGCAGCUUUUGAGCUUGCUGCUGGCUCAAGUCCUUCCGUAGUUGCUGCAACACGGCUAACGCAGGCACGGCUGAAUGCGCUGCGAAAAGCUGUUCCAAGCCCUCAGCGGCAUCCAUUUUACUUGCAAGGUUCUGAACGACUUUCGCGAUUCUUAUCUUUACCUAAUUCUGCGUUUGUUAUUAUUUAUUUCGUAAGAGUGUAAGUUGAGUUUAGUCGGAACCAUGUGCAUUAUGCGCUGCGCUACCGAAAGCAGGCGCCUUAUGGCUUGCACACAACUGCUUCUUCACCGAACGCUUCAUCUUCCCGCGGCAGUUUCACGAGCCCAGUGUUGCAAGCUACGACGUAGGCUUUCGGUGCUUUCAGUUACUGCAAAGCAGCCACGCAAUAGUCCAGCCUGCAUGCCGCGUGUGACUAUGGCCAACAAGACCACCUGGGCAAUGCGCUGGCGCACCUCGGCCUUUUCGCCAGAAAUUUAUAUACACUUGUACACGCGCAAUUUGUGAAUCGCACGCGCGCACCCGCGCGGUGAAAUUCGCUCCUGGCUUUUGGGGCGUGAUGUACGGACCUUUUAUUCGCGAAGUACGACCGGACACAUUUGUGCGAGGGGCUGCUUAACGAACUACGGCGAGGCCAGGAACACCAAUUGAAAGGGAACCAGGCCGCUCCUAACAACUGGGAAGUGCAAGCUGACUUUACUGGCCGAUAUACUUGUGUAAGCACAGAAGAUCGGGCUUUUCAAUUUCAACUUAGACUUACAAUGUUCGUAAAAUGGUCCGCUUAAAUACUCAUGUUAGCGCGCCAUUGUCUCACACGGAGAACCACAAGAUCAAGCUCCACUAGCUCCGAAGUUACGACAUGGUCUCAGAAGCGCGCGCUAACGAACUGCAAAACCUUACACACUCCCCUCCUUAAAAACAAGCACCGUCCUCGGUGCGAGAACGUCACUAAGUGGCCAUAGUCGUGCGCCUCUCCGAUUCCCUGAACGAAAUCGGUACCAGGCUAACUAGGGGAAGGCAAAAGGGAACCGGAGUCAAGGCAAAACCUUCCCCGCACUGGAUACCGGCCUAUAAUGUGGCGCACGACUCCUACCAUAUCCGGCUUAAGAAUCCGGAGAUACGCAAAAGCUGCUACGAAAACGACUUAAAUCUGACUACACGGAACCCAAAUACCCAGACGCGAACAAACACGUGAAAUGCAAUACCACACUACGUUGAACUGACUGGUGUAAUCUACGGACAGGAACAGAACGAAGACGCACAGAUAUACCGAAUACACAUGAUGACACACACACACAUCCAGCCGCAGCUCUACUCUGCCAAAAACUGUACGAUCCUUGGGGCAUGCUCCGGGAACUUGGCUCUGAACCACGCAUAGCGAUCUGAUAGCUUGAACGCGGUCCAGCUUGGGCUCCUCAGGAAGGCACGAAGCGCUGGCAGGUUGUGCAUGUCGUCGUAUGGUUCCCAUGAGGGGUCGCGUUUACUACUAGCGGACCACUGCACGAGGAACAUGACGGACGGGCGUGCGCGCUUGUUAUACCCCAGGCGAACAGCUGUAACAACAGUAUCUGCACUGUCAUAUGGGGAUUCUAGUGCAGUAGGGGCUGCAGGGGGAGGUGGUGGGCGGCCGGGGAAGAGCGCUGGGUUGUUGUCCGUCCAUGGAAGGAGGCGGCUGAUGUGGAAUACUGGAUGCAAGCGGCCGAGGGAGGCUGGAAGGUGAAGGCGGUAUGCAACUGGAGAAAUGACGGAGGAGAUGAGGAAAGGCCCGAGGUAGCGAGGGCGAAGUUUUGGGGAGGGGUAGGUCGGCAGGGUGAGGUGUUCUGUGGACAGGCGGACGCGAUCGCCAACUUUGAAGGUGAUGGCGCGGCGAUGCUGGUUAGCUGUUGCAGCGUAGCGGGUUUUGGCGGCUUGAAUUUCGCGGUUGAUGGUGGCAUGGAUGUCGCUCAUACGCUGCUGUAGUUCUGAAGCCUGCGGGUGAGAGGAAGGUGAAGCGGCUUGGGGGCCGUGGAGGGAGAUGGGAGUGCGCGGGUGGUAACCGUGAUUGGUGUAGAAUGGUGUCAUGCCGGUGCUUGCGUGGGUGGUGUUGUUGUAUGCUGCUUCGGUGAUCGGAAGGUAUGAUGCCCAGUUGUCCUGCAUAGGUUGAGUGUAAGCGCGGAGGAUCUGUUCAAUAGUGCGAUGUGUUCUCUCGGUUUGACCGUCAGUUUGUGGAUGAUAGGCGGAGGAGAUGUUUAGGGACGUGCCAAGGUGCUCCCAGAAGGUGCGCCAGAUGUCGGACAUGAAGCGGGAAUCUCGGUCUGAGACGAGGGUUGUUGGAAGACCGUGUAGACGGUAGACGUGGGUGAGGAAGAGUAGGGCGGUGUCGUGGGUGGUGGUGGUCUUAUUAGUGAGGGCGAAGUGGGCUUGCUUGGUGAACAUAUCGACGAAGGUGAGGAUUGCGGUGUAGGUGCGGCCGUCCAAACCUUUAGAGGGCGGCAGGUCGGUGAUGAAGUCCAGAGACACGUGUGUCCAGGGUUGGGUGGGGGUGGGUAGCAGGUGGAGGAGGCCAGGCGGAGGCUGGGUGGAUGGCUUGGUGCGUUGACAGAUGGGGCAGGACUUGACGUAGGCUUUGACGGUGCGGGCCAUGUAAGGCCACCAGUAGCGGGUUGAUAUCGCGGCGAGGGUGCGACGAAAACCAGGAUGACCAGAGUAAGCAGCAUCGUGGAAUUCGUGAAGUAGGCGGCGGUGUAAGGAUGGGACGUUAUGGAUGGUGAUGCGGUUGGCGAAGUAGAAGAAACCGUCUGGGGAACGUUGGAGGUAGGGCUUGGUGGUUGUUGAAUUGGAGUACAUGGGGUCGGUGGUGUAUCCGAAACGGAUGUCAUCUGCGAGGCUGGGGUCUGGCACGACAUGGGCUGCGAUGGUGAAACAGGCAUGAUGAAGGGCAUGGUUGGCUGCGACGUCGACAGGUGGUGAAGUGGAGGGCCAAAGCGGGGGAGGUGAUGGAGAUGUAAGUGAGGUUAGGUUUUCUGCUGAUGUAAUGGGAGGUGAGGGACUGGGGUCAGAGGUCUCUGGGGUAGGGGCUGGGCUGACCGGGAAGCGGGAGAGGGCGUCGGCCAUGUUUUGAGGGCCGGGGCGAUAAGUGAUUGUGAUGUAGCCUUGGAAUGGGGCGAGGAGCUGAGCCCAACGGGCUUGACGACGAGACAGAUCCUUUUGGGUGAAGAAGCGUUGCAAGGUGUCGUGGUCUGUGCAGAGCAUAAAGUGGCAGCCUUCGAGAUAGCACUGGAACUUACGCACUGCGUGUACGACAGCAAGCAACUCCAGCUCGUGAAUGGGGUAGUUGGCUUCAUGACGGCUGAGCUUGCGGGACUCGAACGCCACGGGAUGUAGGGCGCCGUUGCGUUCUUGAAGGAGCACAGUGCCAAUGCCGAGGAUGGAGGCGUCGGUAUAAAGGGUGAAGGUGGCGUUGGUGCCGGUGUCUGGGAUGAUGAGAGCUGGGGCUGACAUUAGGGCGUCGCGGAGGGCAUGGAAGGCGGCGACGGCGUCGGCGGGUAGGACCUUGGGAAAGGGCUGGGUUGUUUUGGUGAGGGUGGUAAGAGGAAGGGCGAUGCGGGCGUAGUCUUUGAUGAAGCGGCGGUAGAACCCAGUGAAGCCUAGGAAGGCGCGAAUGUCGGUGAUGGAGGAAGGAAUGGGGAAAUUGGCAAGGGCGGUGAGCUUGUCAGGGUCUGUCGUGAUGCCGUCGCGGGAGAUGAUGAAUCCGCAGAACUUGGUGGUGGGUUGCACGAAAGAGCACUUGGAAAAGCGGACAUGGAGGUGGUGGUCUUGAAGUGUGCGUAGAACGGCUUCCACGUCACGGCAAUGGUCUUCAAAGGUGCGGGAGUAGAUGAGGACGUCGUCGAGGUACACAACCGCACACUUGUUGCGGAAGGGGUGGAGGACGUCGUUCAUGAGGGACAUGAAGGUGGCGGGGGCUCCUGUAAGUCCGAAGGGAAGAACAAGCCAUUCGUACAGACCAUACUUACACCGAAAAGCCGUUUUAUGCACAUCGGGUUCGUGCACCCGGACUUGAUGGUAGCCUGACCAGAGGUCCAGCUUGGUGAAAUAGGCUGCGCCGUGCAGCUGGUCAAGGAGCUCGUCCACGCGCGGCAGGGGAUACGCAUUCUUGACUGUUAGCUGGUUGAUUGCACGAAAGUCCACACAGAGGCGCAGACCGUUACCACCAGGUUUACGGGCGAACAGAAUAGGGGCACCAAAGGGUGAUGUUGACGGGCAAAUCCAGCCACGGUCAAGGUAGUUCUUGAGCUGCUUGUCCAGUUCUUGAAGUUCUGCUGGGGACAUGCGAUACUCGCGCUGCUUAGGAGGCUGGGCGUCAGGGACCAACUCGAUGUGGUGGUCGCAUGGGCAUGAUGGUGGUAGACCCGAUGGUUCUUCGAAGAUGGUUGCGUAGCGCUGGAGGACAGACUGAAGGGCUGGUGGUACGGACGGGGAGGCGGUGGGUUGAGGGGGGGCUUCAGGGUCGACUUCGGGAUCUUCGAUGGGAUGGAGGACACCCAUGUAAACAGGUGGUGAUGGGUUGAAUGGAGCUCGCUUGCGAGGGUUGGUGGCAUUGGGUGGUGGCGGUCGGGCGGCAGCUUGGCGAAUGCAUUUCUGCAUGCGGGCGAUGGAGACGAAUUCAAUCUGAAAAGCGGAUGGGCAAUACGAGGAAUGUGGAAUGACGGUGUCACCGAUGGUGACGGUGUUGGUACGCCAGUCGAUUUGGGGGUUGUUGGUAGUAAGCCAGGGUUUCCCAAGGAUGGCGUCGUAUCCGUCAAGGUCGAGGGUGAAGAAGGUGGUGCACUCAUGGUGUGAUUGGAUAGCCAAGGGGGCGUUGGGAAGGGCGGAGGAACAGAGGGCGAGGUGUCCGUUGGCCAAACGAACACGUAAUGACUGCGAAGCUGGAAGGUUGGCGGAGUGUAAUUGGUGAUGUUGGAGGAAGGAGUGGGCAAUGAAGUUGCGGGAAGCACCAGAAUCCAGGAGGACUCGGGCGGGAUGGCCAGCUAUGGUGGCAUCGAAGACGAUAAGGGUGGUGGAGAGAUUGUCGGUGACGGACGCAAUGCGACCUAGGAUAGGCGGGAUGAAGGGGCGUUCCACCGUAGACCUUUGUUCGUCUAUCUGUGGAAGCGAAGCUUGAGGAGCGCGGUGGGGCUGGGGGGUAGGAUGCUGUACGAGGGGGAAAGAUGGUUGGGCUGGCUGGCUGACGGUUGGUGUAGGCGGAGGUGGGGAAGAGGCAGCGGAUGUUGGAGUUUGCGAAAAACGAGCGAUAAGAUUAGCGACAUUAGAGCGUGGUGAUGGAGGGCGGUCCGAUGGCUGGGGCGGCGGUGGGGGAUGGGAGCUGGAAAAAUGUUGGAUGAGAGUUUUGACUGACGACGUGGAUGAUGUUGACGGAUGGUUGGCGGAAGCGAAUGAGGGAUGGGACGAGGUGGAGACGGGAUGAAGGGUGGUAUCGGGAAGCAGGGUGGCGGAUGUAGACGCGAGAGUAAAGGGGGCUGACGAUGGUGGAUCGUGGAGGACUACUACAGGCCAAGGGCUGGGACCCGGUUCUCCAUACCUGGACGGGUCUGAAGAGGUGGGGCGGCAGACGAUCUGGGUGCCGGCAGGGAAGCAGCGGACGAUGGUCAUGUGGCGGAUGAGAGGGGCCCAAGAGGCUUGUGGACGAUCAGGUAGGACAAUGAUGGCAGAGGUUUUGGGGUUGGCGGUCUUGGCGUCGAGGUAGCGGGCGACGAUGGUGGAGGUGUUGUCGACAGGUGGCACCAUCCAUACGCACUCUCCUUCGAUGUCGGUUGAUAGGAAAGGUCGGGACGGUGAGAAAAAGGGUGAGAGCUGUGCAGUUAAGCCGAGGUCAUCACAGUAGGCAUCGACGGUAAAUGGGCCGUACUGUGAAUUGUAUUCAAGAAAAAGCAAUCGCGCGAUUUUCCAAUCGUUGCUUGCCUGGCAUGCUCCCUUCGAUGUCGAGGCUGCAGCUGCGUGAGCACGCUUGCGACCAACACGGCGGGCAGGCUUGCGGACGAUUUGAGCUAGACAUUGAACGUUGAACGCGGUUUCGGACGAGUGCACAGCAGAUGACGUCGGCAGGCUGUGGCUGACCGUUUCUGCCGACGACGGCCUAAGAGCCAAUUUAACGGGGGCCUGGGGAGCAGGAGCGGGUAGGGGAUUUGUCGCUGAUGUGCUGGGAGCGGCGGCCGUGGGAGCUGUUACUGAGGCAGGAGGGAGAACGACCGCGAUGGCUGUGGUUGUCGUAUUGGUGGUGGCUGCGUGAACAUCGAUCCUCGGAGGUGGAGGACGCGGAGGAGCGGGAGGGCGAGCGGGCAGGCGAGCGGGCAGGCGAGCGGGGCGGUUUGCGGCUGUUGUUAGCACCCUGAAAGGAGUGCCGGCGGGAGGAGUUGGGUUGGGAGAUGGUGGUUGCUGCCAGGAGGCGACGAAGUUCCGGGCAGUGUUCCUUGGCGUGCGACUCGUCACCACACUGUAGGCAGACAUGCUGGGCCAUGCGCUGGAGGCGCAAGUUGUAGGGGACUCCGAUGGUUUUGACGCCGCUCGGAAGAGGUAAGUUGCUGUGGUGCGGUGUGGUGGAGUAGACGUUGGCGGUGAGGUCCAUAGGGUCGUCCCGGCGGACGUCUCGGAAGCUGCGUGGCGCGGUGUUGUAGUCAAUGAGAUGAGCAUUGUGGCGCCCGGAAAAGAUGCCCAUCGCCAAGUCAAUGAUGAUCUGCAGGGUCACAUCAGUGCCGUAUUGAGGAAGCCUUGCGUAGACUUCCUCACGGAGGUCCCUGUUGAGACCUUUCACGAAGUGAAAGAUGUGGUCGAGUUCGUGACGGUGAGGAAGGUCGCCCAUAAGGCGUCCGAAAGCGGCCACGUACGACACCAGAGAGUUCGGGCCUGAGCCUUGACGAAUGGUGUCCAUGCUGAUCUGUGCCUGGAGGAGGCGAUCGGGUCUGGGCGCGAGGGGCGUUAGCGCUUGAAGGACCGCAGUUAAGGAAGUAAAGGGGGUACGUUGGUGGCGGAGGAGGGUGUCCAGGGUAGGUCCUUCGAUGGCAGACAGGGCGAUGGCGACAGCAGGCGCACUGUCUUCAUGCAGACCGCAUACCGUAAAGUGGAGGCGGAGGCGGUUGGCCCACGAAGUGAGGUCGGCGUCCUUGGCCGUGGGGUUGAAUCGGGGGGCUGGUCCGCACUGGUUGUUUGACGAAUGAUUCUCUAAGGCACGUACGGCAGCAUGUGCAGCGACUUCUGAGAUUCUAUCCCAGGGGAGAGCGGCUUCGGACGUGGUGGGGGGCGCCGCGGGCGCGGGGUCGGUGGCGGCAGGAAAGGAAGGCGGAAACGGGAACUCGUUCGAGAGAGACAUGGUUGAGGACGAAGAUGAAGAGGACGAAGAUGAAGUGACGAGGGCGAUGACGAAGUGAUCAGGGCGAAGGCGAAGUGAUGAGGGCGAAGGCGAAGCGAUGAGGGCGAAGGCGAAGUGAUGAGGGCGAAGACGAAGACGGAGUGAUGAAGGCGAAGAGGACGAAGACGAAGUGACGAGGGCGAUGACGAAGUGAUCAGGGCGAAGGCGAAGUGAUGAGGGCGAAGGCGAAGCGAUGAGGGCGAAGGCGAAGUGAUGAGGGCGAAGACGAAGACGAAGUGAUGAAGGUGAAGACGAAGUGUAGAGGCGAAGAUGAUGGCGCGAUGGCGCGAUGGCGCGAUGACGACGAAGACGAUGGCAACGACGAUGAAGAGCUCGGCGAGGAGGAUCACCUAGGCUCUGAUACCAAUUGAAAGGGAACCAGGCCGCUCCUAACAACUGGGAAGUGCAAGCUGACUUUACUGGCCGAUAUACUUGCGUAAGCACAGAAGAUCGGGCUUUUCAAUUUCAACUUAGACUUACAAUGUUCGUAAAAUGGUCCGCUUAAAUAGUCAUAUUAGCGCGCCAUUGUCUCACACGGAGAACCACAAGAUCAAGCUCCACUAGCUCCGAAGUUACGACAUGGUCUCAGAAGCGCGCGCUAACGAACUGCAAAACCUUACACCAAUUGAGUUAAUUAUUGCUUUUCUUUGUAGCUUAAAUUUUGCACAAAGCGGUCAUACUUUGGUAGAUGGAAACUGCGACUGCCGGACAGAGGUCACACAUUUACAUAAUGCCAAAUGAACGGACUACAGAAGCUGCAUAGCUAAAGAAAAGUUAUUGCUUUAACUAGUUUAGCAAAGAGCUUCACGCGCGGGCACCUCCGAUUUCGACCUCAGGUUGGCCGAUGAUGAUGACAGGACUUCUCGCUUUGUACCCAUCCAAAAGCACCGAAACGCAUAGGACUGUUGUGGAAUCUAGCACAUGCAAGACAUUGCGUGGUCGACGUUAAGGGGGCGCAUGAUGCCCCGGCAGCGCUUUCUGGGCCUCCAGGAGCCCCAAAACGGAUUGUCUAGGAUUGAUCCAUUGCAGAUAGAUCGUAGGCGCUGGUCUGACGGUCAUAGGGCUCAUAGCAGCUGGAUGGCUUUCAGACUGCCGGUCAUGGGAACCCGGGAGGCGUGCUGUUGGUGGAGGGCAAACCAGGGCUGUCGGGUGACCGGCGGAGAUGGAUGGGUGCACCACCAAUUGAUAUACACAGGGACGUAUCCUAAUCGGGGCGCUCGGCGGUACUCCGCCUGGAGCAAGCAGGUUCAACUCCUGCCGUCCUGUUCCUUUCAUCAUCCUCCCACAAAGAGUCCCGGGGACCAGUCGGGUGGUUAUGAUGAUGCGGUGGCGGCUGCGGUGGUGGCGGUGGCCGCUGGCUAUCACGGUGCGCCCGUCACCGCUGCGGCAGCGGCAGCAGCAACGACCAGCCUGGCGGCGCAGUGCAGCAGUGCAGGCCCCGGGUGGGGCUUGUACGGGAGGGGAUAUGGUGGGGACCAGUCGGGUAGCUACUAAGGUGGCCAUGGGGGUUUUACGACCAGUGACAACGCUCUUUUUUGGUGGGUGAAACCCUGGAAGGGGUGCACCACGCACAGCAGGUCCCGGGUUAAGGCAGUGGAUCUCAGGAUCGAGGUGUAGUGGUGACGGGAUCAGCAAUGUUGCCAGUGUCGGCAAUGUCUCUGAGUGGGGGUGUGGGCACGGAGGGGGGUGUAGGUGACACGUCCACAGCGGAUUGGACAGGCGGGCUUUACUAAAAUCUUAAUUGGAUACGGUGGGAGGGUGGUGAGCAUGCCGAUUGAAGUGGAGGCAUGAGGACGACGGGCAGUGCUGGCUGACACGGACACAACACCGGUGCCAGCGGAACAAUGUAUGUGGGAUGUGGCGGUUGGAAACAAGGAGUAGGCUCAUGGCGGCUGCAAUGAAACAAAGGACAUGCAGACCCAGGCUGGGGACCUCCUGGCGGAGAAAGGCCCAAGACACACUGUAAUGGGUUUUUUGGGUUUGCGCAACUUUGGGAGAAGAGAAAACAGGCAGGGCCUUCAGGCGUGGUUCAGUAGAGGGGGAUUCCCCCGGCUGCCGCCACGCACAUCACGAGCCAGGAUAGGUGUGCCAAGACCUCAAGCGGGGUUUACAAAGGGGGGACCAUUGGGGGUAGGCCUAUGGGUCCACGGUAAUCAUAAUUCACUCAUGGCUCUCAAUGGCAAACAUGUAGGCCCGUGAGCUUAGCCAUUUGCUUCAUGUGAAUCAAUGAACAGGCUGUAAUCCUGCGACUGCUCGCCUCUUUUUCACUCUACAAAGCGGCUCUUUCCUGCAAUUGCGUAUUCUUACACUGGUCUUACGUGGUAUAGUGCUACUGUACCGGUUUCAUCCACCGUCGCCCUGUCACUAUGUCAGUGAAAGCACAGAGAGGUGGAUAACCUUCACGGAUUGGGAUGCAAACGCAGUAGAUAACAGGUGCCUUCUAAACUUUUUGUUAUUUCCCCGUAUCCUACCAAUGAGACUAGUCCUCUGUCGUCUUCGCCCGAGGGUAAGCCACGGGAGGGCCGCAAGCUCUUCCGGAUCUCUUCCUUAAAUCCAGCCGGUCUAGGAGUGCGCUGUGAUGUACAAGAAUUGUGGGGGAAUCUUUGCGGGAGGAUGAUGAAAGGAACAGGACGGCAGGAGUUAAACCUGCUUGCUCCAGGCGGAGUACCGCCGAGCGCCCCGAUUAGGAUACGUCCCUGUGUAUAUCAAUUGGUGGUGCACCCAUCCAUCUCCACCGGUCACCCAACAGCCCUGGUUUGCCCUGCACCAACAGCAUGCCUCCCGGGUUCCCAUGACCGGCAGUCUGAAAGCCAUCCAGCUGCUAUGAGCCCUAUGACCGUCAGACCAGCGCCUACGAUCUAUCUGCAAUGGAUCGAUCCUAGACAAUCCGUUUUGGGGCUCCUGGAGGCCCAGAAAGCGCUGCCGGGGCAUCAUGCGCCCCCUUAACGUCGACCACGCAAUGUCUUGCAUGUGCUAGAUUCCACAACAGUCCUAUGCGUUUCGGUGCUUUUGGAUGGGUACAAAGCGAGAAGUCCUGUCAUCAUCAUCGGCCAACCUGAGGUCGAAAUCGGAGGUGCCCGCGCGUGAAGCUCUUUGCUAAACUAGUUAAAGCAAUAACUUUUCUUUAGCUAUGCAGCUUCUGUAGUCCGUUCAUUUGGCAUUAUGUAAAUGUGUGACCUCUGUCCGGCAGCCCCGAAAUAUCGUACGCUCCGAAGGCGGUCGAUCAAACUUCGCAAAAACUAGGAUUUCCAGGCGGAAAUCAGCUCUUAAAUGUAAGAAAUGUAGUCAUAAACGUAGGACAUGAACGUCGCUCGAAAACGUGCAAGACAGGCAACCCUGCUUCAAUGCGGGAUGAAAUCGCUAGCACCAAACGCUCCGGUGAGCGACCGAGCUGGAUUUGCACCAGUUAGGCUUGAUGAUGCUGUUGUUGAGGCCCAGCGUGAGCGAAUGGAGCCCGAGGAGGUUGCUAGGCGUGAGCGCAAUGCGGUCAAUGCUACGGCAGCCGGCGAGGCGAGGCUUGCGCUCACGCCGCAGCGUGGCAUUCGACCUGUUGGACGUCCUCUUCAACAAAUCCGCGGGUCAACCAUGGCUCGGCUGCAGUUCGCACUGGCCCCUGGCUUCACCAGGCAAGUCAUUGUGACGCCCGCUCAGGUGGCAACCACCACACCCAAGUCUACUGGUCCACGCGGCAUGUACGCUCGAUUCAGCAACGAUGAAAAGCGGAUGGUUGUGGAGUUCAUCAGGGAGCGCUGUGCUGAUUCGGUAAGCCCGCGAUGUCAGGGUUCGGGUGCCGUAAGGAUACGGUAUACGGUAUGGUACUUCAUUCUAACCCUUGCUUGCCUUGUGAUGCAGGUUGCCAUGGGCAUCAACUUCAUGCACCGGGACCACAGCGGCACCUUUAACUCCGAGCACCCCUUGAAGGAGUCCACGGUCUCUGGCUGGCUGGCUAAGUACAAGGAGAACCCGACCAUCUUUGGGGCUGGGGUUGCCACACCCGGCCGUGGCCGCAAAGCCUCCCUGCCGAAUGAUGCGUUCGCCGUGGCCAAGGCCGUGAUCAUGGAGAUGGUGCUCAGUGGGCUCAACGUAAGAAGAAUGGCCGCCUAGCCUGUGUUUGCUCUCGCUUACAGUCCCGAAUUCACAUUGACACCGUGCACAAUCCCUUGUCCUUCUGUAGGUCACCUCAGGGACGCUGCAUGAGCCUAUAAUCGAGAGGCUGCGGGAGGCCGGCUAUGCCUACCUUCUGGCCGGUAGUGGCGGCACCUUUACGUGCAGUCGGGCCUGGAUCCGCAAGGUCUGCAAGGGCCUGCACCUCUCCAACCGGGCUGCAACGUCUGCAGCGCAAAAGCUACCCGCCGACUGGGAAGACAUUGCCCGGCUCUUCCUGCUGCAGGUACAUCGCUGUGGAUCCUGCCAUGAGCAUUAGAAACGGUAGCUGUUUGCACUGCCUCCUUUCCGUGUUCCCCGUUUGCCAAUCAUAGGCAUUGAUAGCCAUGUCGUACUUCUCAAAAGCUUUUCGUACCUACCAACCCUGCUUCGGCCCUUCACCUCCAUCCUUUCAUAACAGAUUGCCUACCUGGCCUUCAAGCACGCAAUCCCGAAGGCGCUGGUCGUGAACGCGGAUCAGACUGGCUGCAACAUUGUGCCCGUCAGCAAGCGUACAUACGGCAGGUCGGCCUGGAUGACAAGCGCCAGAUUACCAUUGUGGUGGCGUCGGCGGCUGACGGUAGCAUGCUACCACCGCAGGUCAUCUUCCAGGUAGGGGUCUCUGAGGCCUACCCUUUAAUAACCAAGUAAACCAAGUAGGAGAUAGGAUUACCUACUUAGGCCAAUUGCUUAGCCGUUCUUGCAUUUCGUACAGUCCCCUUUUGUCAUUGGAUGUGGUUCUGGCUGUUGUAGUCUUCAGACGACACAACCACAUAAUGGGGGCAUCGAAAGAUACCGAUUGAGACAAGUGUCUUGAAUAAGUAGUCAUCAGUGACUCCACUUGGGCCUCGCGCCGAUAAGGAUUCCCAGUACGACUGGGCGGCACCGAAUCCAGAAGCCAUAGUUCGCAGGAACUACUCUCGCUCGGUCAGACGAAACUGGGACGCAGGUCCCAGCUUUACGUAAGUAAAACCCCCGCCCAUACGUAGGUAUGGACUUCCGCAGUGGUGCGGCAUUAAGGUGGCGGACGACUAACAGUAGUCGCUUAGCCGCCAUCGCCCAUACACUUCCGCAGCAGUGCGGCACUUGAAUGGCGGACGACUAACAGUAGUCGUGUUACCCGCCGGCGCCUAUGGACUUCCGCAACAGUGCGGCAUUUGGAUGGCGGACGACUAACAGUAGUCGCUUAGCCGCCGCAGCUAACAGUAGCCGCAAUUAAACUAAUAUCAGUAUUAGUUAAUACCUGUAAUCACCAACCGCGGAAUUGACGGGAGUUAGUUAGUAAUAUUGGAGUUUGGUAAAUCGGAGUGGACGAGCUAACCACCGACAGUUAGGAUUCGGCACCCAAACCGUUGCGGGAAACCUUUACAGGAUACAACAACUAUUCCCCCCCCCUAAAGGCGACGUCCCCGUCGCACACGGCUCGCUAUGCAAAACAAGAUUAGUAAAAACUAACUAACGCGAUACCACCUGGGACUGCACCCUAAGACGAGCCGCAUCGAGCAAUGGUUUGAGGUCGGGGGUGAAGUUACGCGCCGGUUCCCAGCUGUUGUGUUCGGACGAAUACCCAGCCCAUUUGGCUAAGUAUUCGUGCACCGUGCGCUUGCGCCUAGCCUUACCCGCGCGUCGAGUUCGAUAGUCCAAAAUUCGUUCCACUGCAUACAUGGUUUGCCUACCGGACAACCAAGUAGUAGGCGCGGCCUCUAUAGCAGCAGGAGGCGCAGGCGCUUCAGGGAUGGGCACAGACCCACGAUAUGGACGUACUAAGGACACGUGAAAAGUAGGGUGGACGCGCAUUUCAGGAGGGAGUUCAAGUUGUACAGCAACCGAACCCACCAUGCGCACAACAGGGUAAGGCCCAACCCAGCGAGGCAACAGCUUACGGGAACCUUCGGCCAGAGAACGCAGGUUCUUGGUGCUUAGCAUGACCAGUUGGCCCUUGGUGAAGGUGACGUCCCGUUUGGACUUGUUGUAGUAGUCCGCUGCGCGCUGUUGGGCUGAGUCAAGGCAUGCCUUAGCCUCUGUCAGUCGGGACACAAACGACUUGGCAAAGGUCUUAGCCGCGGGGACGUUUACGUCAAGUUCGCGCAAAACAGGCAGAACAGGAUUGUAACCGUAAUUUAGAAAAAAGGGGCUUUGACCAGUCGAGCGGCUAACGGCAUUAUUAAUCGCGAAUUCGGCCGCCGUCAAGCAGGUAUCCCAGACAGAGGGUGUUCGACCCGCGAAGUUACGUAACAUAUCACCUAAAGUCCGGUUAGUUCGCUCGGUUUGGCCAUCGGACUGGGGGUGGUAGGCAGUGGAAAGGUUUAUGCGCAUACCUACCAACUUCCCCAAUGCGUCCCAAAAUUUACUAGUGAAUUGGCCACCACGAUCCGAAACGACAGACUUGGGAACACCAUGCAGACGCACAACGUUAUCAAAAAAUAAACGUGCAGUGUGCUCUGCGGUGCAGGAUGACGUGGUGGGUGCAAGGUGAACCAUUUUCGUCAGGCGGUCGACCAGGACCAACACCGCGUCAUACCCCCCCUCAGUUUUAGGCAACGCCACAACGAAGUCCAUGGAAACACUCUCCCAAGGGGCCGCAGGGACAGGCAAAGGCUGUAGCAAUCCGUGGGGCUUACCAGAGAUAGACUUGUUACGCUGGCAUGAAUCACAGGAGAGGACGUAAUUCUCGGCAUCCUUAGCCAUCCGUGGCCACCAAAAAGAACGCCGAAGAAUUUCGACCAUCCGUGUGCAGCCAGGGUGACCCGCCAACGGACCGUCGUGGAAACGGGAAAGUAGCUCACGACGCAGGGAGUCGUCAUUAGGGACGACGAUUUGCCGAUAAGAGCCUUCCCUGCGGAGCCAAAGACCGUCUUGCAAAAGGAGGUGACCCGUGUUAUUAACGUCAGUAAACCAAGGGUCCGUAGCAAUAGCAGCCUUAAUACGCGCAGACAGAUCGGAGGCCGAAACCGACCGCUCCAGGGAAGCGGUGCGACGAGUUGUAACAGACAGGAUGGCGGAAUGCAGCGAAGGAUGCCGACUAAGAGCGUCAGCCACAUUCAACGAGCCAGACAGAUACUCCCAGUCGAAGUUAAACCGCGCGAAAUAUUCCAUCCAUCUAGCCUGCCGACGAUUUAACGAAGGCACACCUUGGAGAAACGUAAGGGGCUUAUGGUCAGUUUUCAGCGUAAAGGGCCUGCCUUCCAGGUAGCAGCGCCACUCUUUUAAAGCGUGUAAAACGGCAAGUAAUUCCUGUUCCCCGGUGGUGUAACGGGUUUCAGCGCCCGAAAACUUCCUACUCGUAAAAGCCACGGGGCGGCCUUGCUGCAACAGAACAGCACCGGAUCCGUAAAGAGAAGCGUCAGUCACUACCUCGACACGGAAUGGCAACGAGUAAUCGGGAAAACGGAGGAUAAUGUCGUCGGCGACCGCACGUUUUAACGCAUCGAAGGCCUGCUGGCAAUCAGCUGUCCACGCGGAUGGCGACGAAAACGCACCCUUACGAGUCAGGUUGGUUAGCGGCGCAGCUAUCACGGAAUAACGCGCAAUGAACUUACGAAAAUAGUUCGUCAACCCCAGGAACUUACGAAGUUCCUGCAGAGAGGUGGGCGCCGGCCAAUCCCGUACAGCAGCAGUUUUACGGGGAUCCAUCCGAACACCGUCGGCAGAGACGAUGUGGCCAAGGUACUCCACCUGGGGUUGCGACCAAUGGCACUUAGAGAGCUUCGCGUAUAGUUUCUCACGCCGCAACACCUGGAGGACAGAACGCAAGUGCUGCAGGUGCUCUUCGCGCGUUUUAGAAAAGACCAGAAGAUCGUCAAGAUAAACAAUCAGAAACUUGUCAAUGAAAGGAUGAAAAAGACGGUCCAUAACGGCUUGGAAAGUAGCAGGAGCGUUAGUUAAGCCGAAACUAAUGACCGUGUACUCAAAGUGACCAAACGGGGUGCGGAACGCGGUUUUCGGAAUAUCGGACUCGGAAAUACGAAUCUGGUUGUACCCUUGCUGGAGGUCAAUCGAGCUGAAGAAGGCUGACCCGCGCAGCUUAUCAAGCAGGUCGUCAACGCGCGGGAGAGGGUAACGAUUCUUAACCGUCGUAGCAUUCAACCCCCGGUUAUCAAUGCACAUGCGUAGACUACCGUCUUUCUUACCGACAAACAGGAUUGGCGCAGAAUAGGGAGAAGUGCUAGGGCGGAUCAUACCCUUUUUCAGCAAGUCAGUAACCUGGCGCUUGACUUCGUCGAGUUCCAGAGGGCUCAGGCGGUACAUCGGACGAGUCACCGGAGUUGCGCCAGGAGUCAGAGGAAUCGUGUGAUCGACUGGCCGAACAGGAGGAAUCCCUGGAAUUUCCUGAAAAACGUCGGAAAACUCGUUCAACAGGGAUUGCAGCUCAGGGUCCGAUGGGUCAGUAGCGGUAACGGCAGCGUUCAGUUGCAGUUUAGGCCGAACUAACAGACCAUGCGCGCCCUUGCGAAUAAGUCGCACUGCAGCUUUUCGACCUAUGGGUUGAGGGGUGGUGUGCUGGCAGAGCGCGGCUACGGCGUAAUGAACUUGCGGUUCCGACUGCGAGGUACCCUGUUCGGAAGGAUCGCGCUCCACGGUAACAAAAGGCGCCUUAUAAACGAGAGUCCCUUUGCGCAACCGCAGGGUGCACGACUCGAAACUAAGGACGCCCCCGUACCGCGAGAACGUAGAGGACCCUAAGAUGUACGUGGCCGGAGCAGGCAACUCAGGCAACACGUACGGAUGCACCGACAAACGCAAAGGUCCCACCGAAAGACGCAAUGUAACCCGACCUAAGAUAGCCUGCUUAUCCCCAUUCGCGAGCGUGACAUGCGACCAGGAACAGGCACUAGGCGUCAACCCAAGCCGCUUCACCUCAGAGAGAGAGAUAAAGUCGUCGCUGGCGCCAGAAUCAGCGAGCGCGAGUAGAGUAUCGCUGACGACGCGGACUUGGAUAAGAGGCAUCCUUGCACCUGGCAGAGCAGCAGACUGAGGAGAGAGCAGAAAAGCCGAAAGACGAGGUGAAGUGUCACGCAAAGCAACAGCGGGUCGCGGGGGAUCAUACCAAACGUCAAAGGCAGAUGUUGACCCGGGAAACGGCACAGGCCGACCCUCCAGAUCGAGCCCGUUGAACAGCGGUGUCCUGGGACUAAACUGCAGAACGCGCUGCAUCCCGGCCAGCAGGGCCGAAGCACAGGUUGCGGUGUGGGUAGGUGUAAUAACGCACGCUGCAGUUUCCGAGUGCUGACGUUUGCAGAGGUGGUACGCAGUCAGCUGCGCCUGCAACUCUGAAAUAGAAGAGGGGAGGAAGAGAACCGUAUGCCCACGUAGGUCGUUAGCAGAGAGAGACUGGGAACGCGGCACAAGCGGAUUACACAAAGCAUCCCCGUCACUCUUCGCAGAACGAGCAUCAAACGUCAGCUUUCGUCCAAUAGCUCGCUCAACCUGCGCUAACACAGAGGGCAGCAGUGCCCUGGAAGCCCGCAUGGCAGGCAGCUCGGUCUCUACUUCUAACCCAGGAGGAGUCCCCUCCUCAGCGGCCUGGGCAACCCCCUACUUCUUCUUGGGCCACAACGGGCAAACCCCCGUCGAAUGGCCAUCCCCACAACGCAUGCACUUAUUCCUCUUCCUGCGCUCCUCCAGCUCUGCCUUAGUGCAGCAAUACUUCUCUAGCCACUGGUCGUCGUCACGUUUGCGUUUCUGUCCCAUCGGCUGACUAGGCCCGGCCUCGGAAGGACCCUGAUUACUUCUAGGACCUUUUUGCUGCCACCGGCGCUGUUCCCGGGGACCCCCCCUCGGCUUACCGGCACCCGGGGCGGCAACUGUGCCACCCUCUCUGCGCUCAGGACCCCCGACAGCGACAGCAGCGCGAGGAUCGGGUGCCGGCGCCUCAGCAGGGGCGCCAACCGGGUCCAGCUCCGGGGCCUGCGAAAAGAGGGCAUUAGCACGGGGAGCAGAACGAGAAACUUGCUUUCGGGCAUGGUGGCGCAUUUCCACGCCCAAAGCAAAACGGUAAAGGUGGUUGUAAGAGGAAAACGGCAUUCCUAAAAGGUCGGUAGCGCAUUCGCCUAUGAGUUCUUCAGAUAGUCCGCGUUGAAACCAGAAAAUUCUUUCUCCUUCUGUGAAGUCCGCAAUAGGCGUAAUAAGUGCCUCGAAACGCGACUGGUAGGAAGAGACGUUCUCGCCAGGGCGCAUACGGUACGUACCACUCGCAAGAACGGAACGAGCCUCCACGUCGCGGGGCACGACUUCAGGAGCAAAACGGGCAAGUAACGCAGUAAACAGCUCGUCCGAAGUGAACGAAAUCCGUGCCGUUGACCACUGAUCAUACCAGGCUUUGGCGGCACCGUCCAAAGCGUUGGCGAUGAACAGGCAACGAACCGGCUCCCGAUCACCACCUCGAACCAGCUGGAGAUACUGCUCAACAUCCCUAACGAAUGCACGCGUACUAACCGCCGUAGCACGACCUAAAUCACGAGUUCGAGGGUCGGUAGAAAAAUUCAACCUAGGUACUGGGACGGAAAGUCUAAGUACCUCGACGUCCUGCACCGGUAAGGAUGCAGCAGCCGUGGGAGCCCUUUCUGCGCCGCCAGCGCCGUGUGCGGAGGAGGCUACAAGCAUCGGCGGUGGCGGAACAGCGGCGAUAGGUGUGGGAUCCUGUGCUACAGGAGGCACUGGGAUAGCGGCAGGGUUAAUAGGAACUACCGGGGCAGCGAUAGGGACUGUCCGUGCGGGACCACCCUCAACGACUACAUCCGGCGGACCCCAGCGAUUUCGCCUAACCCCGUCCGCUACGUUCCAGGAAGGGGGAACUACACUUAAAGCUCCCUGCUGACCAUCCCCGAGGACAGGUAGAGGCGCGUUUCCGGAGUUGGCAGGCAACAUGACGAAGCGAUCCAACCCGAAAAGCGAAGUAAAAGAGGUAGCUAAGGUAACCCUACCGAAAAGUAAGACUUCCUCAGCACAGCGAUGGACUGCCUCGAUUGCUUGCAAUGCACCACGGGAGAGGUGCACAAGCUCGCGCAAGCGAGGGAUCGCAGCAGAGGUAGGGAUAGCAGAACCCGCUACGACGAGAGGGCCUGCAAAUCUAAAAACAGUUAGGGGAGCGAAAUCUAAGGUUACUUCACUAAAAGGUAGGACGAAUCUACCAACCCGCGGAUGCGGCGGCAGCCAUCACCGCAUUGCCGAGGUCAGCAGCGAAAGUCGCCAAGGGGCCGAAAUCUUCCGAAUCAGCCGAUGUAACCUCUUCACUAGGGAAGUUCAUACUAGUGCCAAAUGAAAGAAAGAGUGCGGAAGCGGAGAUGAGACUGGUCCGUAAGGAACCCGUCUCGAUACCAGAUUUGUUGUAGUCUUCAGACGACACAACCACAUAAUGGGGGCAUCGAAAGAUACCGAUUGAGACAAGUGUCUUGAAUAAGUAGUCAUCAGUGACUCCACUUGGGCCUCGCGCCGAUAAGGAUUCCCAGUACGACUGGGCGGCACCGAAUCCAGAAGCCAUAGUUCGCAGGAACUACUCUCGCUCGGUCAGACGAAACUGGGACGCAGGUCCCAGCUUUACGUAAGUAAAACCCCCGCCCAUACGUAGGUAUGGACUUCCGCAGUGGUGCGGCAUUAAGGUGGCGGACGACUAACAGUAGUCGCUUAGCCGCCGUCGCCCAUACACUUCCGCAGCAGUGCGGCACUUGAAUGGCGGACGACUAACAGUAGUCGUGUUACCCGCCGGCGCCUAUGGACUUCCGCAACAGUGCGGCAUUUGGAUGGCGGACGACUAACAGUAGUCGCUUAGCCGCCGCAGCUAACAGUAGCCGCAAUUAAACUAAUAUCAGUAUUAGUUAAUACCUGUAAUCACCAACCGCGGAAUUGACGGGAGUUAGUUAGUAAUAUUGGAGUUUGGUAAAUCGGAGUGGACGAGCUAACCACCGACAGUUAGGAUUCGGCACCCAAACCGUUGCGGGAAACCUUUACAGGAUACAACAUGGCUGCACUUUAUUUUUCUUAGGCCUCUUGUUGCCAUUGGUGUACCGUACCGUUACUGUACGGUGCCAACACUGGGUAACAAAGCCUUUUAUCCCCACUCAUGUCCAUCACAGGGCGGCACCAAGCGCUUGCUUCCUCCCCAAGAUUGCAGCAAGGGCCUGAUGGACAUCGGGGCGCACCUGGCGUUCUCUGGUCCAACCAGAAGCUGAUGGAACAGUGGGUGGAGUUGGUGCUGCUGCCCUACCUCCAGCGCACCAAGGAGCGGCUUGGGCUGCCGCCUGACCACCCCUGCAUGCUCAUCAUCGACUGCUGGCAGGUGCACCUGUCAGAGGCCUUCCAGGUAAGGGGGAGGCCGAAAGUUUCGCGAACCAAAAGGAUGUGUAUGGUGCUGUGCUGCCGGCCAGGGAUACCCACAUCCUAUCCCACUGCCCUGGUACUGCACUAAAGCUGCCUUUCCACCGUCCUUGGCUUUGCAGGCCCACCUCAAGUGCAAGUGCCCCGGCAUCCUGCUCAAGUAUGUGCCAGCCAACUGCACCUCCAAGCUGCAGCCAGCAGACACGGGCCUGCAGAAGCCACUCAAGGAUGCUAUCCGCAAUGAGGCAAGCAAGGCCUUCCGGUGGCAGCUGGAGUCGCAGUUCAACAGCAGCGUUGCCCCCCAGGAUGCUGUGCUCAACCUGCACACAUCCGCCAUGAAGCCGCUCGUCUGCAGCUUCAUCCUCGCCGCCUGGCUCUACCUAAUAAGCCAACCCCAGAUCGUCCUGCAUGCCUGGGACAGCGCAACACUCUCGAAGGCGUGGGACCAGGAUACCAUCGACCAGGCGGCCCGGAAGGUGCUCAGUGAGGGCAAGGCAGCACUCUUCCCACCACCACGCAGCACCCGUGAGGCAGGCGCCGUCGCCACAGCGGCCACCACGGAUAUGCUGGGCCUCACCGCCACCACCGCUGCUGCUGCUACUGCCGCCAUCACCCCCGUCACCACCAACCCCGCGGCGGAGGAUGAUGAUGACACCACCGACCCCAGCCGCUAUGCCAUUGUUGACGAUGACGAUGACAGCAUGCUUGAGCGUGUACUUGAGCACGUCACGGAGCUGGAUGCAAAGUUCAGCAUGCUACCAGCAGACAAGGUGGAGGCCAUGCGUGCAGCAAUGGCUGCCAAGCGGGCGGCCAAACUUAACGAGCAGGCCAAGCGGCAGGGCGGUGUGAAGGGCGGCCGGACCAAGCAGGGCAACAAGCACGGCCGGGGGACGAAGCGUGCAGAGCCGGAGGGUAGCAAUGAGGAGAUGGAGCACGAGGAGGAUGAGCCAGAGCCCAGCAGCAGCGAGGAGGAGAGCGAGGAAAGCGAGGCUCCAUCCGAUUGCGAGGAUGAGGGGGACGUGGAUGGGGAUAAGGGGGAGGAGAGCGAGGAUGAGGGUGAGGUCCGGGCGCUGGUGAAUGCUGUUCGCAGCAGAUCAGGGCGGGCAAGCGUUCGGCCGCUGCACUACCAAUAGAUGAGCAUAAUGUGAGGUGAGGGGUGGUGGUUCCUGUUUGGUGCAUCCAGCUGCACCGUAAUGCUUUUUUUCGGCAUAAUGUGAGGUGAGGGGUGAGGGUUCCUGUUUGGUGCAUCCAGCUGCAUCGUAAUGCCUUUUACGUCGGGGUUUCAGCCACAUGAAGACACGUUUCAGUAGCAACCACCCAAACACUGUAUUGGCCCGGCCGGUUGGUUAUUAGGUCGUUGCCACUGGUACUGAACUGUACGAUCGGUCCAGAAUUUGCUAGGGCGUUUCCAAAGUGCGAAAAUGGUGAGAGACCAUGAGCCUAAGGGUUCCCGGUGGAGGGAGACUGACUGGAAGCUGCAGUUUGAAAAGCCCCGAAACUUUGGAAGGGGCCCCGAAAUUUUGUAUCAUGCCCGCAAAAUCUUGUCCGGCCUUCCCCAAAAUUCAAAGAGCACGUACAAAUUUCAGCAAGUUUUUUGACCCCUCCCCGAACAAAGCGAUCACGAACUAUAAGUAGCACUACGGUACUUAGACUUUCCGUCCCUGUUCCUAGGUUGAACUUUCCUUCCGAACUUCAACCUCGCGACUUAGGUUGGGCAGCAGCAGGUAGUAUGCGCACAUUCGUUAGGGAUGCGAAGCAGUAUCUCCAGCUAGUUCGGGGUGGUGAUCGGGAACCGGUUCGUUGCCUGUUCAUCGCCAAUGCUUUGGACGGUGCCGCCAAAGCCUGGUAUGAUCAGUGGUCAACGACACGGAUUUCGGGUGUGAUUCGUCCUAGCACUUCUCCGUACUCUGCACCCAUCCUGUUUGUGGGUAAGAAAGAUGGUAGUCUACUCAUGUGCAUCGAUUACCGGGGUUUGAACGCUACAACCCCGGUAAUCGAUGCACAUGAGUAGACUACACUACAACCGUUAAGAAUCGUUAUCCCUUGCUGCGUGUCAAUGACUUACUCGAUAAGCUGCGCGGUUCCGCUUACUUUAGCUCGAUUGACCUUCAACAGGGGUAUAAUCAGAUCCGCAUUGCUGAGUCAGAUAUCCCGAAAACUGCCUUUCACACCCCCUUCGGUCACAUCGUCUCUGCCGAUGGAUGGAUCCCCGUAAAACUGCUGCUGUACGGGAUUGGCCAGCGCCCACCUCUCUGCAGGAACUUCGUAAGUUCCUGGGGUUGACGAACUAUUUUCGUAAGUUUAUUGCGCAUUAUUCCGUGAUAGCUGCACCGCUAACCAAUCUUACUCGUAAGGGUGCGUUUUCGCCCCCUGCCGCAGGCUUUCGAUGUGUUAAAGCGUGCGGUCGCUGACGACCUUAUCCUCCGCUUUUCCGACUACUCGUUGCCGUUCCGUGUCGAGGUAGUGACUGACGCUUCUCUUUACGGAUCCAGCGCUGUUCUGUUGCAGCAAGGCCGCCCUGUCGCCUUUACAAGUAGGAGUUUUCGGGCGCUGAAACAUGUUACACCACCGGGGAACAGGAAUUACUCGCUGUUUUACACGCUUUAAAAGAAUGGUGCUGCUACCUGGAAGGCAGGCCCUUUACGCUGAAAACUGAUCAUAAGCCCCUUACCUUUCUCCAAGGAGUGCCUCCAUUAAACCUUCGGCAGGCUAGAUGGAUGGAAUAUUUCGUGCGGUUUAAUUUCGACUGGGAGUACCUGUCUGGCUCGUUGAAUGUGGCUGACGCUCUUAGUCGGCAUCCUUCACUGCAUUCCGCCAUCCUGUCUGUCACGACUCGUUGCUCGUUGCACCGCUUCUCAGGAGCGGUCGGCUUCAGCCUCCGAUUCUGUCUGCGUGUAUUAAGGCUGCUAUUGCUAUGGACCCUUGGUUUACUGACGUUAAUAACACGGGUCACCUCCUUUUGCAAGACGGUCUUUGGCUCUGCAGGGAAGGCUCUUAUCGACAAAUCGUCGUUCCUAAUGAUGAUUCCCACGACGGUCCGUUGGCGGGGCACCCUGGCUGCACACGGAUGGUCGAAAUUCUUCGGCGUUCUUUUUGGUGGCCGCGGAUGGCUAAGGAUGCCGAGAAUUACAUCCUCUCCUGUGAUUCGUGCCAGCCCAACAAGUCUACCUCUGGUAAGCCCCAUGGACUACUACAGCCUUUGCCUGUCCCUGCAGCCCCUUGGGAGAGUGUCCAUGGACUUCGUUGUUGCGCUGCCCAAAACUGAGGGGGGAUAUGACGCAGUGUUGGUGAUGGUUGACUGCCUGACGAAAAUGGUCCACCUGGCACCCACCACAUCAUCCUGCACUGCAGAGCACACGGCACGUUUGUUCUUUGACAACAUUGUGCGCCUGCAUGGCGUUCCCAAGGCUGUCGUGACUGAUCACGGUAUACGUAGCCAGUUCACUAGUAAAUUCUGGGACACCCUGGGGAAGUUGGUAGGCAUGCGGGUAAAUCUUUCUACUGCCUACCACCCCCAGUCUGAUGGUCAGACCGAGCGUACCAAUAGGACCCUAGGCGAUAUGUUGCGUAAUUAUACUCUUAUACUCUUACCCCAAAGGUGGAUGCCCGGGUGGGCGAAAAGCCUACCAGCUGAGUAAAAAGAAAAUCCUCCAUCUCGGACGGGGACUGACGAAAUGUCACAAUGACAAGUUGGGUGUCAGCUUCAAGGAAGCCAGAAAAAGGGCGGGGCCCCUCUGCAUCCGUACAGGCAGGUAGCAAUCGACAUCCGGGUGCAUGCCAUGCUGUAAAGGUCAGACGAUACAACCACAUAAUGGGGGCAUCGAAAGAUACCGAUUGAGACAAGUGUCUUGAAUAAAUAGUCAUCAGUGACUCCACUUGGGCCUCGCGCCGAUAAGAAUCCCCAGUACGACUGGGCGGCGCUGUAUCCAGAAGCCAUAGUUUGCAGGAACUACUCUCGCUCAGUCAGACGAAACUGGGGCGCAUGUCCCAGCUUUAUGUAGGUAAAACCCCCGCCCAUAUGCAGGUAUGGACUUCCGCAGCGGUGCGGCAUUAAGGUGGCGGACGACUAACAGUAGUCGCUUUAGCCGCCUGCAGCUAACAAUAGCCGCAACGCGCCCAUAUGCAGAUAUGGACUUCCGCAGUAGUGCGGCACUCGAAUGGUGGACGACUAACAGUAGUCGCUUUAGCCGCCGCAGCUAACAGUAGCCGCAAGUAAACUAAUAGCAGUAUUAGUUAAAACCUGUAAUCACCGACCGCGGAAUAAACAGGUGUUUGUUAGUAAUAUUGAAGUUCGGUAAAUCGGAGUGGACGAGAUAACCACCGACAGUUAGGAUUCGGCGCCCAAAACCGUUGCAGAAAACCUUUACAGGAUACAACAUGCCGCAUGGACAUUCGGGUGCAUGCCGCAUCGCAUGGACAGUACGGCAGACCGCAAACGGAGCCGUUGCUUAACAUAUGAAGUUCGGUGCUGUCUGUGAUGUUUAGGUCUUGAAGCACCAGCGGCUACAGGAAAGCACCCCACUGCCGCAUGGCUUUGUAAUAACUAAACAGAUAAGUAAGAGCGGCAGAGUGCAACUCUUCGGAGGCCCCGUGCAUUGGCCAAAGUAAAUGUACAAACAAGCAGCUUGUGUAUUUCAUAGAGAAAUGAAAGCAAAUUAUGUUGGCCUGCUGGUGGCAAGUCGGAUUGCCCAUGCCGGCAAAUGGUAACACAAGCUGGGUGUUCGAGUUAUCAUACGCCGUCAUCUCAGAAUUCCAUUGUAAGAUACGCGGCAGCUUUCGGGAUGAAAUUUAGCGCGAGAGGCGUUGAUGUGACUUUUGAGGUCGGUGAAUGGAGGCAGCUAAACUUGUUUGUGCUCAUACGGUCUUUCUUAGCUACAUGCGAGAUACCUUGCAAUAGAGAAUGCUGUAUAGUACCUAUAACGCGUUUCAGCCAGGCGAGAUAUUAUGUUUGGUCCGUUACACACACACACACACACACACACACACACGGACAUGGGCAAUCCUACAGGUCGGGGCCCCCCUGGGCGCUUCGCGCUGGGGCCCCGCCCAAAAAAGGGGAAUUAACUCCUGAACCGCGUACAGCAGUAUGGAUCCGGAGACGCGCUUGCUGUCCACAUGUGGUGUGUCAUGCUUACGUACUCCAGCUUCCACAAUGUCACGAGUAUCAAUCAGAUCAGCUAACGUCUCAAUGAAGAGUCCAAACAGCUCCGUAGAUAAAGGGCACCCUUGCUUCAUUCCUUGCUUAAGCUUAGACUCAAACUCUCCUCCCACUUUCUCAUUCACAUUAAUCACCAUGGACACCUCCUGUACCUUUUCUCAGAGCAUCGAUGCUAGAUAUCUAGCAUGAUAUACGUGUAUCUAUAAGCACGUAUAUAUAUGCAUAUAUGCAUGCACAUCUUGACUAUGUGACUGUGUGCAUCCCUGCCUCCCCUUUAGCUGUUUCCCGCCAGGCAGAUGAUGAACAAGCCAAGGCUGGCAAGCAGCUUGCAAACAGUUUCGCUCGCUUAAAGAAAUGCAGGUAUAUAGAGUUAGUGCAUGUUAUUAGUUGCCAACAAUGGUGGCUAAUCCGACUGCGGCCACAAAGGGUAGGUCUAGACCACAGAUCUGCCA
rnacentral:lncRNA from 1 species